rnacentral:lncRNA from 1 species
CAAUCACAACUAAUUCUACACAAGUGGAUUUCACAGACUUACUGCCAGGCAGAAACUACUCCAUCACUAUACAGACAGUUAGUAGUAACUGCAGCCAGUCAGCAGCUCCAGUGAUAGAGGCAACAUGUGAGUAUGAUGGGAUCAUUGGGACAGAACUUUACAUUUUAAGCUAAAACCUACUAAUUGAGCACUAACUGAGUCCCUCAGACAAGCUGAAAAUUUAGAUAUAAGGCUUGAUUUAAUAUUUUUGCAUAAGCUUUUCAAAUUACACAAUUUUUUAUGUAUUGUAUUCUGUUGAUUUUGUUUGUAUUAUUAGAUUUUUUAAUAAUUUGGAAAAUGAUUUUGAAAGUUUCUUUAAAUAUAUAUACCGUAUAUUUUUCACUCCAAAAUUGAGGGGAAAUGUCUGUGCGUCUUAUGGAGCGAAUGUGAAGCUUUACUUACCUGUCUUGUAGCGUGGGCCAGCAGCACAGCGCGCACCGCGGUACAGGAACUUCAAUUUCAGAUCCCGGUUUCCGGCGGGACUGAAAGGAAGUGCACACUCAGUGUGCACACUUCCUUUCAGUCCCGCCGGAAACUGGAAACUGAAAUUGAAGUUCCUGUAGCGCUGUGCGCGCUGUUAAGCCGGCCCACGCUAUAAGACAGGUAAGUAAUUAUGGGACGGGGGGGGGGGGGACACUAUGGGAGGGAAAGUGCACUAUGGGACAAGGGAGGGGGACACUAUGGGACAAGGGGAGGGGGGACACUAUGGGACAAGGGGAGGGGGGACAAUAUGGGAGGGAAAGUGCACUAUGGGACAAGGGGAGGGGGGGGACAUUAUGGGAUGAGAACACUAUGGGACAGGGGAGGAGGGGUUAACAAUCACUAUGGGACAGAGGAAAGGAGGUUAAAAAUCACCAUGGGACAGGGGAGGGGGAUUUAAAGAUAACUAUGGGACAGGGGAGGGGGGUUAAAGAUCAUUAUGGGACAGGAGAGGGGAGUGGGUGGUAAGGAACACUAUGGGACAGGGGAGAAAAAAAAAAUAUUCUGAACAAACUGUCCCAUAGUAAGAAACACUAUGGAACAGUUCAGAAUAUUUUUUUUCUGGGUUUCCUCCUCUAAAAACUAGGUGCGUCUUAUGGUGAGGUGCAUCUUAUGGAGCGAAAAAUACGGUACAUACUAAUGAACCAUUAGAAAAGUGUAUCCAAAAAUAUUGAAUCGAGGCCAAAGUGCAUUAUUUUGAGGAUAAUGCAAUAAUGAUUCCUAUAACUAAAUGUUUUGUUUUUUCGUAGAUCCAACCCCUCCAAACUCAUUAAGCUUUACAAAUAUCGGAACAAACACCAUUUCAUUGUCAUGUGGAGAACCAGUAAAUAUGGCCAAUGUGACAAAGACUUUCAAUAUAACUUACAGCAAUUCUUCAUCCUCUUGGACUGUGACAGUAAACACAUUAAAUUUCACACUUCAGAACCUCACAUCUGGCACUAAUUACACAAUUACUGUAGUAACAGUUGGUGCUCAUCAGUAUCAGAGUUCUCCUGUGACCAGUUCCAUCUACACAAGUAGGUUUACAGCUUUCUGUAUGUUCUGCAAUAGAACGUUUUAUUAUGUUAAACUCUGUGUUCUGAGCUGGUUCCACUCAUAGCGCUGCCUGAGAAUGGGAUAUAAUGAGUUUUGCUGAAUAUGUUGGAAUCAACACGAUACUCAACAUUUUUUAUUCAGACAUUUAACAUGUUUGGCUAAAAUUUACGAAAGGCUGGAUUUUAGUGAAUUAAAAAUAAAAUUGGAAAAUUUAGACAAAAACUGUUGAUUAGGUUGAUUCUCCAAUUUGACUAUAGUUACAGCUUGGCUAUUUCACCAUAAAUGUUGGAAAUGUUGGGGGAGCAGAACAGCUGCUAUUCAGUGUGCAAUGUGCUAAGCGCUCAGAGACAUUCUAUAGGUAUCGUAAGUGAUACUGUGCUGCCUGGAAUACACAGCUGUAUUUCUGUCAUGACAGCUCCCUUUGCCUCUCCCUUGCUCUCCCCGCCGCGGUGAAUAAAUGCUUAAAAACCCUUUAUUUACUAACCUGAUCCCAGCGCCGAUAUCACUAUAGUUUCCGUUUAAGACUACAGUAACUAGAAUUCACAAAUAAGUUUUAUUAGGUUAAUUUCUGCAUUAAUGGAGUUUUUCAUUUUCCUACAAUAUUUAGUAGAUUUUUGGCCAAUCAAAUUUUACACAAAAAAAAAGCUUCGGGCAGACAAAAUUUAGUCCACGUGGCAUACUAUGCCUCCAUCCACUCAGAUCUGCUGUGCACGAGCAUCCUGUGAUUCAGUAUCUCCUCCCACUGCAUGCAGACACUGAACUUUCCUCAUAGAGAUUCAUUGAUUCAAUUCAUCUCUAUGAGGAGAUGCUGAUUGGCCAGGGCUGUGUUUGAAUCAUGCUGGCUCUGCCCCUGAUCUGCCUCCUUGUCAGUCUCAGCCAAUCCUAUGGGGAAGCACUGUGAUUGGAUCAAGCUACCACAUGUCAGUAGACUGCUUGUUUUUCCUGAGUCUAACAGCAUGCAGAUUUACACCUUCUGGCUUGAAUACAGUAAGAUUUUUACUAUAUUUAUGGAGACAUGAGGGGCCCAGGGGGGCUAGAUGGUUGUGUUAACACUAUAGGGUCAGGAAUACAUAUAGUUGCACUGGUGUCUAUAGUGUCCCUUGAAGGCUACAGUAUCUAGAAAUCAAAAAAAAGUUUUAUUAGGAGAAUUUUUGCAAUAAUGGAGUUUAUUUCAUUUUUUGUUAGAUACAUAUUAACAUAUAUUUUAUAUGUUAAUAUAAUAUAAUAUAAAUAAUUCCCUGAGAGAACAUUGCAAUCUACAGAAUGAACCAGAUCGUGUUUUAUUUUCUAACUCUAGAACCAAUGCCAGUGAAACAGCUCGGAAAUAAUGGAACAACUACUGUAUCUGUUUUCCUGAUUUGGAAUCAACCUGAUGAGUAUAGAAGUGAUUACAUCUACAGAGUACAAAUAGAAAACAAUUCAUCUGUAGUGAUAAAUCAAACAACGUCAUCAAAUCAACUCAAUGUAACUAAUCUGACACCCGGAGUAACAUAUACAUUCACUGUAUUUACAAGAGCGGCUGAUAAUGUCACUGAAAGUCAAUCUGUCUCAUAUACAACCUGCACAGGUGAGUGUAAACUGGCAUUAAAGGGAAUCGACAUAAAGACACAUGACAAUACAGAGUCUGACUUUUAUUAGUCAUUACAAGGUUAUUUGAAAUGUGUAUUUAAUAAUGUUUGUCUUAAAAUGUAAUAUGCAGGUGAUACUUGUUUGAGGCACUGGGUUGUUUUAAACACAUAGUUACUAAUAUUCUGUGGAGUAAUUAAAACAUAAAAGUGUAAUACCUAUUGUUGCACUUAUUUCUUUUUUUACAAAGCUAAAUUUUUAAUUGUAUCUCUAAACAUGCAGCUCUAUCAUGUGUUCACAUAACAAAUUUAGUGCGAUUUAACUUUAGCUCUCUCCUAUUCAUCUUGGACAAGAAUUUCAUUCUUGAUCUCGUCUAAGCACCAACAUGCUAAAUAAUUUUGUAUUUUCAUAGGCACGAUACAUUUCAUCUCAUCUUUAGCGCCCAUGAGACAUUAAAGGCAUUUACUUGAAAAACGUGGUAGACUCAUUCAUCCACAUUAUGCGCAGCACAUUGGAAUUGUUAGUUAGUACUAAGUAGGCAUUGAAGACCUCUUUGGGUGAUCAUUAGUUAUUUUAUAUUGAGAACAUUCACUUACUUUCACAGCAACCUCCAUUAUAUUCCAGUUAAUAAUUAGUAUUUGUUCCUGUAUUCAUAUUUGAAUGAUUGAUUCUGUUUUGAUAUUGAGAACAAUUGCCCACAACUGAUUCUUAGAUCAUCACGGGGGACGAUUUAUUUAAUUUUCUAAUAUUUUUAUAGCCACUCUUCACGUGCAAGAUACUCAGCCAAAAAUGGGGUAUAUUCAUUCAUGAAUUCAUUUGAAAUAUGAGUAUAGGCAAUUAUGACAAUAAAGAUCUUUCUACUGGUUAUUACCAGUUACUUGAUAUCAAGAACAUCCAGUUAUUUUGACAGUAACUCUAUUUAUUUCUAAGCAUUUUGUCUCUUCGCAAGGACCAUGCAUUUGGUCAUCAUGUGACUGUCUUACUGUGUCUGUGUGAAAUGAUUUUCUUGAUGGAUAUAAAAGAAGUACUCAUGUAAUGACAAAGGACUCAUUAAAAUCGCCUCACAUUUAUUUUUACUUAUGGACGUUGCACAUGGUAGACUGACAUUUUGCAGGCACACCUCACUUACCGCCUGGGUUCCAUUCUUACGACCCCGUUGUAAAAUGAAUUUGUCAGUAGGUGAGGAGUUGAGGGAUUCCCUGCUCUGGUGUGCUUGUUUAUGUCUGGGGGAAAUUUCUACGAACAUAGACGAACGCAGCAGAACAGGGAAUCCCUUAAAUCUAUGUUCGGGGAAAUUUCCCUGAACAUAGAUUAGAGGGAUUCUCUGCUCCGGUGCAUUUGUCUAUGUUCAGGGUAAGUUCCCCAAACAUAGACUAUUGCACCAGAGCAGGGAAUCCCUGUAAUCCCCAUGAUGGCUCACAUAUACCCCCACACUAGAGAGCUGGUCGUAAGUGUGAGCCAUCGUAAAACAGGCAGAUCCUAAAAUGAGAACCACCUGUACUUCAAGAUGUAUUUAAACAGAACAUUCCAUUGAGCUCUACCUUCCCAUAGUCCUACUAAUGACCCUAUAGGGUUGUUCAAUAAUUGCCUAUUCUUUGGUCUGGCCUUAAGCACUGCUUUACCAGGAGUAAGGGGGAUCGACUUAAACUUUUGUUCCCACCUACUGUAUAUGCUCUUCUCCAACAUCAUUGGCAGAUAUGAGUAUACACUUCCCGAAUUUAUAUUCAUUAGUGUCUGACCGUUGAUCGACACAUCUCCUAAGCAAGCUUAGGGGGUAUUGCUGAUAGUAAGUUGCAGCCAAAGUUGAAACGAAGAGAGCACAUGGUCUUCUGCUGUUUUAUUGAUACAGCAUGUUGCUGGUGGCUUAGUUUAUGCUCUGUUACUAUGGAGACAUCACAUGACUUUAGACCAAUAAACCAGCAGUAGGAGAGGGCUAUUUAAAUGUCCGAUCUUGUUAUUGUGUUUUGGUAACUCCUGAGGUUGAAAUGCAUGCUGAGUGCUCAGAUUUGUUUUAUUCUUGUUAUUACCAUUUAACAUUUCCCCCUUUCUCCCCCAUUUUUCUCUUUAUGGUUAAAUAACAAUUCUGUGCUGUAUGCUUGGCAAUUAGGGAUAUUUAGAAAUUAUUAGGGAGAAGACAUUAUAGCACUUCAGUAUCAUAUGUUUUUGCUGUAUACGUUCAAUUGGAGAUUUGGCUAUCUUUGUAAAUAGACUCAGAGAAUAUUUUUCCUCUUUUUCUCUUUUGGUUUUGACUUUUAAUUUUGUGUUAUGUGUAUAGAUGUGAAUUUGCAUAGAAAAAGAAGAGGAACAAGAGAAAUAGGUCUCACAAAGGGAAUAAUCCAACUGUCAGGGCCUAACUCUAAUGAUAACUACAAAAAUGUUCCAAAGAGGUGAACCGAGGGGUGUUGGAUAACCCUUAAGAGUAAGAGCAUACAUACAAUUAGAGUUAAGGAAUCUUUAACUCUAAUUGUAUGCUCUUACUCUUAAGGGUUAUCCAACACCCCUCAGUUCACCUCUUUGGAACAUUUUUGAAUUUGCAUUCUACAUGUGAAUGUUGUGGCGACUUCUAGUGACUAGAAAAGUGUAAUACAAUAAUAGGCAAUCAUCUCGGGCCCAAGACCACAGCGACCCCUCUAGACUAUAGAAGAUUAUUACAACUACUUUAGGUUACCAUGACUUUAGUGGAUGACCUAACUAGGAAUACAUUAUAACAUUAUAUUUCUCCAACAUGUGUUUAUUGAAGUUGAAAUAAAAGCUACAUUUUAGCAACUACAGUUCCACAUUUCUUCUUUUUUCUAUCUUUUCUUGAAUCAUAUUUUAGGGGGGUAAAUCACUAAGUUGUGUUGACAAUUCUUCCAAAUGUAAGGAUUCCAUUAUUAUUUUUACAACAAUAGCGUUAGAAAUACAAACAUUCAUUCCUCACGCUAUAGUGCCAUGGUCACCAUUUAGGUGCCCCCACUACAAGGGUUAAAAAGGGUUGUUGACUUGCUUUUUCUCCAUGCAGCAGUGGUCUCCUCGGUGAAACUCCACAUCAAUGAUCUCAGCCAACCCAUUGCUUUCCCGUAGGCAAAACAUUGCUCUGUGCCAAUCACAUGGUCACUCUUUCUCCAUCUGAUAGAAAUAGUGGAAUAAAACUCCAGAAUUUAGUGGUACUGCCUCUAGUGGUUUUUAGUAUGGCAGUCAUUGGAGGCAAGUAAACCCUGUAUAGAAAACAUUGCCGUUCCAGCAGAACAUAUUUUCAGCUACAGGGUUAAAACAUGGUGGACGUGGCUCCCAGGUCACUUCAUUGAGAUUCCUUUAACCUCCGCAUUACAGCUAUUUUGGUUUGCACUGUGGUCAUAAAUGCUUUGAUAAAGGGAGGAUUUACCGAAAGCUUGUUACUACCAGAGUCUGUUAGCCCAAUAAAAAACUUAUUACAAGAACUGCAAUACUCCAUUAUUUUGUAUCUACAUUACUGAACUAAUACAGCGACUCAAAUAUAAUUAAUGUUCAAAGAGUGAAAUAGGAUGCCUCUACGUUGUCCAUUUUCAGGGUAUUUUCAUGACACCAACUAGUUAAUAGCUAUUGGCUUUUAGCAUAUCUAUUUGUUUGCUUUAGCAGCAGAGGUAACCCAAAUAGUAGAUAUAACUCUGGCUUAAAUUUGAGCAAUCACAUAAAGUAGUGUCCCUUAGUUUGGGUGCCCAAAGUGUACAGCAGCAACAUUUUGUCCACUUCAACAGUCUUCAUCAAGCAUGAAACAUUGCUGUGGUACACUUUGUGCACCUGGAUAAAUGGACACUACUUUCAAAAAAGAGCAGGAAUUUAUUUUUAUACUUUCCUGCAUAAAUACUGGUUUGGGUGGAACUGGAUACCUUGCACACUUGUGUGGUUAAUAGUUGCAGGUCUUAUUUUUAUUUAGGAGUUAUAAAACAUCUUCAAUCUUUUAUUUGCUCAGGCAAAUCUUCCUGAUAGGGUGAUAUUGUACAGCACUAUGGAAUCUGAUAAUAAAAUAAUAAUAAUAAUAUGGCUAUUGAAAUUAUCUUCUUUUUCUUCUUUUUUUUUUUUUACAAAACUGCCUAGAUGCCUUAGACUUUGUUAUUCACAGAAAAUAUAUGUAUUAUUAAUAUGAAAUCAUUUAUUUUUACAUAUGUUGUAUUCUGCUUUCUUUCAGUUCCGGGUCUAGCUCAGAAUAUCACAGUUACUAAUAACAAUACUACUAAUUCACUGAAUGUGAACUGGACAAUACCAGCAGGGAAAGUGGAUAAUUACACAGUCAUUCUGAAUGGAGACGUCAAUACAACAAUCACAACUAAUUCUACACAAGUGGAUUUCACAGACUUACUGCCAGGCAGAAAUUACUCCAUCACUAUACAGACAGUUAGUAGUAACUGCAACCAGUUAGCAGCUCCAGUGAUAGCGGCAACACGUGAGUAUGAUGGGAUCAUUGGGGCAGAACUUUAUGGUUUAUGCUAAAUCCUACAAACUGAAUACUAAUUGAGUCUCUUGGACAAUCUGAAUUCAGAUAUAGGCCUUGAUUUAAUAGUUUUGGAUAAGCUUCUCAAAUUAAAAAAAAUAUAUUUCAUGUAUUAAAACAUGUUUUAAUAUUUUAAAAUAUUUAAUUUUGUUUGUUUAAUACUUUGGAAAAUCAUUGAUUCAUUAGAAAAGUGUAUCCAAAAAUAUUGAGAAGUGCAUUAUUUUGAGGACAAUUCAAUAAUGAUAUCUAUAACUAAAUAUGUGUUUUUUUUCUUUUAUAGAUCCGACCCCUCCAGGCUCCUUAAACUUUACAAAUAUCGGAACAAACACCAUUUCAUUGUCCUGGGGAGAACCAGUAAAUAUGGCCAAUGUGACAAAGACUUUCAAGAUAACUUACAGCAAUUCUUCAUCCUCUUGGACUGUGUCAGUAAACACAUUAAAUGUCACCCUUCAGAACCUCACAUCUGGGACUAAUUACACAAUUACUGUAGUAACACUUGGAGCUCAGCAGUAUCAGAGUUCUCCUGUGACCAGUUCCAUCUACACAAGUAGGUUUACAGCUUUCUGUAUGGUCUGCAAUAGAACCUUUUAUUAUGUUAAACUCUGUGUUCUGAGCUGGUUCCAUUCAAAGCCCUUGCUGAGAAUGGAACAUAAUGACUUUUACUGAAUGUGUUAUAACCAACAGAUAAAGAGUGGUUGGCCAAGAGUCAAAGGGAACAGAACAGGGGGUAACCCUAAUGGGAUUUGUAGCAAAAAAAAAAAAAAAAAAGAAAAGUUCUGUCCCUAAAGAUAGUAUAAAUAAAGGUAAUUACUUAAAAAUCUAGAAAAUACUUUAUUAAACCGAAUAAACUCACAUACAAUAAACAAAAAAACCCUGACUGUAGCUACCGGGUCAAUUACGGCAGACUACGUAAGGAGCACAAAUAAAAGGAAAAGGGAGUGAGAAAUGACACAUAAAAGUGUAAAUAGUGGAGAGAGCGAACUGAGCUGGCACAAAAAUAUAUGUCAAUAUCUGGUAAUAGAUGAAGAGAUAUCAAGUCCACUGGAAAAUAUCCUAACCAUGUGGAAAACUAGUAUCGUUAAUCAUGCAAUAAGCCAGAGCUCAGUAUAAAAUUGUUACAUAUAUUAGAAAAGAUAAAUUGACAAAAGGUAUCAAAAAAGCCCUUUGAGCCCUACUGUCUGCCAAAGAUACACAAGGGCACUCGACCUCCGAUUGUAUCGGGGAAUAAUUGUCUUACGGAAUCCCUUAGUAAGUUUAUCGAAAUAAUCCUUCACCCUAUGGUGUUAACUUUGCCAUCUUAUUUACAGGACACAAAAUCCACUCUCUUGACAUUACAGGAUAUGACAGUUCCCCCCUAUACCCAGAUGGUGAUUUUGGAUGUGGUGGCACUUUAUACCAACAUUCCUCAUGAAAUGGUCUUAAGAGCAUGCAGGUUUUUCUUAGACAACACCGCAUACAACGACCUUCAGAAAAAUUUCAUCUUAGCCAUUCUUGAGUUUAUUUUAACACACAACUAUUUUGUUUUCAAUGACCGAUAUUACUUACAGGUCUCCGGCAAUGCCAUGGGGACGGCCUGUGCACCCACCUACGCUAAUCUGUUUCUGGGGUGGUGGGAGCAGCAUGUAGUCAUGACAUCUCAAUUCAGCCGCUUUCAUGACUACAUCUUGAGCUGGCAUAGAUAUAUUUAUGACAUGCUGCUCCUGUGGACUGGAUCCGUCCCCAUGUUUAUGACACAUAAAAGUGUAAAUAGUGGAGAAAGCGAACUGAGCUGGCAUAAAAAUAUAUCUCUAUAUCUGGUAAUAGAUGAAGAGAAAUCAAGUCCACUGGAAAAUAUCCUAACCAUGUGGAAAACUAGUAUUGUUGGAUUACCAGUGGAGAUAGUCUGUGAGAGACCAGCACUCCACUACAUUGGUUGGCAGCGCCGGGAUCCAGACUCACAAAGGAACAAGUACCAGUGGAGUACGGAUGGAGAUUGAUUACUCCACACUUAAACGGGCCGCGCUAAAAGACCUCCUAGAAGUAAGGAUAUUUCGGCCAGUAAUAAGACUAAAGCGGUUCUCAUCACAGAAGUCAUGGCAGAAUACCGAACGGAGGGCGGUUCGGUUCCCGAACGGAGUGAUUCGCCAGACGGACAGGAGCAAGCAGAGUUUCAAAGACAGCUACAGUUCAGGAUGUCCUUUUAUGGGGAGAAUCCACCGGCAGAUAUAAUCUCCAAGACAAUGACAGAAGUCCAGGAGUUUGUAAUGCGACAAAGGAUACCACAAACCCCAGAAAGAAGCCCAGCAAUGACUAUGGUACAAGAAGGUAAGUCAAAGAUACCCAACCAAGCUUUUAAAAUGUAUGUGGAGGCAGAGGAAGACAUAGAUGCCUUCCUCCAAGAUUUUGAAAGACUUUGCACUCUGCACAAAAUCAAUGCAGGGGAUUGGGUUCCAAUCCUAGCUGGGCAGUUAUCAGGGAGAGCUGCUGAGGCUUACCGCACUGUACCAGACGCAGAGAUCUGGGAUUAUAGCCGGGUAAAAGAGGUUAUCCACACCCGAGGCAUAUCGGAGGCGCUUCAGGGAACUGAAGAAAGCCGAAAAAGAUUUGCAUGCCGAAUGGGCUUGUUGUUUGCACCGGGCAGCCCUCGGAGGGAUACAGGUUAACCAAGCACGAUCCAUGGAGGACUUAUUACAAAUCCAGUUCCACAGAGUGCCAGUAAUGGGUGAGGGGCCGCAAUCCCACCUCCCUCACAGAGGCGGCUAAGAAAGCCGAUGACUAUUUGGAUGCCCGCAGGCAGCACAAACCUAUGGUCAGCAAGGCCGCAGUACGACCCCUAGGGGGAACCAGCUACCCCAACAGCACCACCCCGACAACUACCAACCCCAACACCAGCCACUUCUCAACAGAGGUUACGCCAGCCCAGCUCUGUGCAAUGUCACCAGUGCCAGAGGUGGGGACACUAUAAGAGAGACUGUCCCCAACUCCGACACCGAUCCACCUGGAUCUGACCGGGGCCACCACCACCACCGAGAGCAGCAGCCCACUAUUACCAGGAUGAAACCACAGCCCCCUAUGGCUCUGCAGUUCCACUCACCACCGUGGAACAGUGGGAAGUGCUGCACGAAGCAGACCCCUUACAGGCGAAUGCAGAUAACCACAAGCCUCACAGACAAACCGUCUACCUGGAGGGCAAAGCUGUACAAGGGCUCCGCAACUCAGGAGCCACCAUAACCCUGGUCAAAAGCCACCUAGUAUCUGACAAAGCCAAGAAUAGCAGGACUGUAGCCGUCAGGGUAGCCAGGGGAGCAGUAUACCGGCUACCUACAGCAAGGGUUAAUUUGCAUUGGGGAGCGGGGUCAGGAAAUGUGGAAGUGGUGUUGAUGCCGCAAUUGCCAGUGGAAAUUUUGCUGGGGAAUGAUCUGGGAAAGCUCACUUCUGCUUUUGAGCCCCAGGCCCCAACCACUGGAGAAGCUCAUCCCGUGGUCACCAGGCAACAGGCCCGCACCCAGGAUCACAACACACAUCCGGUAGGAGGUUCAGGUAAGAGAUCCUUCCCCUUCCUUUGACUGUGUCCCCUGGGCCACCCUAACAAAUUUGCAGCAGAGGUGAUCACUGACCCUACCUUACAAAUAUAUAGGGACAAGGUUGCAUCUGACCAACCCGGGGGGAGGGCGAGAGAUUAUAUGGGAUAAGCAUAUGGAUCACAACCCGUUGGUAUGGCUCAACCGGGUAGCUGUGGACAAUGCCAGGCUGCUGCGCUGGAGUUUGGCGCUGCAGCCAUUUUACUUCAACAUCCAGUACCGCCCGGGAAAACUGAAUGGUAACGCUGACAGGUUGUCUAGACAAACUGACCUGGAAAAAUGAUCCGUGAGCAACCCCAGACAUCCCCAAGCCGAUCCGUGCUGGAUCAGACUGUGUAUGCCGGCUUGUCGGCAAGGGGGAGCAGUGUAGCGGAUUGCAUUAAGGUUGUCCUCAAAAUUCUUGUGUUUUAAUAUGCUUUCGUGUAUUGCUUAUUCUAUGUAUUCACAUUGUAUACAGCAUUCGCCUGAUUGUUCGGUAAAAUCACUCAGUUUAUUAUUCGAGUGAAACUACCGAACAAUCAGACCACACCCAGGGAUAAGUGUGCCUCUCAUUACCGUUCGCAACAAUGUUGCAAACCCAUAAUUGGCAAUCAGUACUCUGUUCUAUGGGUGGCCGCCGUUCGGGAUACGAACACGUGGUGGUGGCCAUCUUAACUCCCGAACAACGGUGAUAAAUCUUCCCCUAUGUUUUCAAUACACUGCAAUUCUGAGUUUAAUAAAAGCAACAUAAAGUUUAAGGCUACAGUAUCUAGAAUUCACAAAGGUGUUUCAUUUUGUGAAUUUCUACAAUAAUUGAGUUUAUUUUAUAUUUAUCUACUAAUUAACUAGUUCCUAAUCCAUUUAUUUCAAGAUAAAAAUACAUCUAAUCAGAGGCGUAACUAGAAACCUGCAAAAAUUGCCCUGGCCCCCUCCUCCCCCGUACGUCUACCCCCACGCCACUCUCUCCCCCAUACGUCUAAUGUCCCCCUCCCAUACAUUCCCCCCCGCCCCCACACAUGCAAAGAGACACAUAGACAGACACACAUAUGCAAAGACACACAUAUACACCCACAGACACACACAUACAGGCACACACACAUACACACACACACACACAUAUAUAUAUCCAAAAAUACAUACACACACAAAGACACAUACAUACAGACAGACACACAGACAGACAUACACACACAUACAUACAGACACACAGAUAUACAUACACACAGACAGACACACAGACAGACAUAAGCACAUAUUGACAGACACACAUACAUACAGACACAAAGACAGACAUGCACACACACAUACAUACAUGCACACAUACAGACAGAUAUACACACACGCAUACAUACAAACACACAUACACACGCAUACAUACAGACACACAGACAUACAGACACACAUACAGACAUACAUACAUACACACAUACAGACACACACACACAGAGACAGACAUACACACACAUACAUACACACAGACACACAUACAUACACACAGACAGACAUACACACACACACACACACAGACAGACAUACACACACACAUACAUACAGAUAAGCAGACAGACAGACAUAUACACCCAAAUACAAAGAUUCAUACAGACACAAAUACUUUUUACUGGGGUCCAGUGGCUCAGCUUGAUGGGAGUCAGAGUUUCCACUCUGACUCCCUCCUCUCCUUCCUCCCGGUGGUUGCUGGGAGGAAGUGACCGGGGCAGUCACUUCCUCCCAGCUUCUGACAUCAUCAGAGGGGGCCCGGUCGUGGCAUGGGCCACGAUAGGCCCCUUCACUGCGACUCAGUGGUUACACCGCGCAGGCCAGGGCCACAUUACUUAGCCAGCAGGACCUGCAGUCGCAGGGGUCCCCAAGGCGGCCGGGCCCUCUGGAGUGGCGGGCCCGGUCGCAGCUGCGACCCCUGCGACCGUGGUAGUUCCACCACUGCAUCUAAUGAUAAUAAUUCCCAGAGAGAUCAUUGUAAUCUACAGAAUGAAAUUGAUUGUGUUUUAUUUUCUAACUCUAGAACCGAUGCCAGUGAAACAGCUCGGAAAUAAUGGAACGACUACUGUAUCUGUUUUCCUGAUUUGGAAUCAACCUGAUGAGUAUAGAAGUGAUUACACCUACAGAGUACAAAUAGAAAACAAUUCAUCUGUAGUGAUAAAUCAAACAGCGUCAUCAAAUCAACUCAAUGUAACUAAUCUGACUCCCGGAGUAACAUAUACAUUCACGGUAUUUACAAGAGCGGCUGAUAAUGUCACUGAAAGUCAAUCUGUCUCAUAUACAACCUGCACAGGUGAGUGUAAACUGAUAUUAAAGGGAAUCGACAUAAUGACACAUUACAAUACAGACAAUUCUACUUAUCAUCAAAUAAUAGCAGAUAGAUAAAUGUACUUAACUUAGUACAAAAUGAGAAUAGCUUCCCUGACGGCUUUUCCCUCUAGAGCCUCCGUAAUAUCAAAUGGAUAUGGAUAACAAUAGGGAUACGGCUAGGUGCUAAAAAAUAAGAGAAAAACAGCACAUAGUGAUAUACAGCAUACAACGCUGACACGCAAAAAAUAGUAUAAAAACAGUGAGAGCACUCAACAAGUGAAUUUUACCACAGGUUAUUGAUUGAAUAUACCUGUAAAAAACAUUAAAGAGAAAACGAUAGAGUAGUACAGUUAAAAUCACUUAUUCUUAUUGAACUGUACAUGGUCUCACUCACAUGGUUCUGAGCCACUUAAAAAGCUCUCUUAGACUAGAAGCCUUGUAGAAAAUGGAAAGUUGAGGUAGAUAUUUCUUAGAGUUGGUUUAAAGUGCAGUGCCCAGUUAAUCUAGACGUUCCUUGUCAGCUUACAAAAUUCCAAGAUGCCAGAUAAGUGGCUGAGACCAUAUACAGUUCAAUAAGAAUAAGUGACUUUAACUGUACUACUCUAUGCUUUUCUCUGUAAUGUUUUGUACAGUUCUAUAUUCAAUCAAUAACCUGUUGUAAAAUUAUUUUGUUGAGUGCUCUCACGGUUUUUUAAUAUUAUUUUUAUGUGAAAUAUGUGUUUAACCCCUUAAGGACCAAACUUCUGGAAUAAAAGGGAAUAAUGACAUGUCACACAUGUCAUGUGUCCUUAAGGGGUUCAUGAUUGUCUUAAAAUUUAAUAUGCAGGUGUUGCUCACUUGAGCCAUUUGAUUUUUAAAAAAAGAUGACAAAAUUUUAGUGGAAACAUAAAUAAUAAAUGCUUACUACAUAGUGUUGCAGUUAUGGAGUCCUUUUUCUUUUUAGUAGAAAUGCAUGUUUAAGCUCUAUCUGAAUCAAUGUAUUAAUGCUUGUGUAUGCAAAAUUACAACUACGUAUAAAUGUUUGUGUAAAAACAAAUAGAAGUAUAUAUUUCUGUGAUACGUUGUACAAAAUCCUGCAUUAGUAUAUGUGUUGUAAUUUGUAAAAAUGCCUCCCGGUCAUGUAAAGUCUUUGGUCGUCUUGCAUGAACAGCAUAUUUGAGAUCUCCCCAGAGUGGCUCGAUGAUAUUAAGGUCAGGAGACUGUGAUGGCCACUACAGAACCUUAACCAUUUUCCAUUGAAUGGUCAACUUUUCCUUGUGUUUAGGGUCAUUGUCAUGCUGGAAAGUCCAAAAGCAUCCCAUGCGAAUUGUCUGCCAGUAUUUUCUGAUAACAUGCUGCAUUCAUCUUGCCAUCGGUUUUCACAAGAUUCCCCAUGCCUUUAGAGCACAUACUCCCCCAAAACAUCAGUGAGUCACCACCAUGUUUCACAGUGGGCAUGGUAUUCUUUUCACUACAGGCCUUGUUGACCCCUAUCCAAACAUAGAACUUAUCGUUGUGACCAUAAAGCUUUAUUUUGGUCUCAUCAAUCCUAAUUACAGUGUGCCAGAAGCUGUGAGGCAUGUCAAGGUGUUGUCAGGCAUAUUGUAACCUGGCCUUUUUGUGGCAUAGGUGCAGUAAAGUCUUCUUUCUAGCAACUUGACUAUGCAUCUCAUUUUUGUGCAACUAUUGUUGUAUUGUGCUCCUUGAAACAACCUCACCAUCUUUUUGCAGAGCAACUUGUAUUUCUCUUGAGGUUGCCUGUUGGUUUUUGUUUGUAUCCCGAACAAUUAUUCUGGCAGUUGUGGCUGAAAUCUUUCUUGGUCUACCUGACCUUUGCUUGGUAUAAAGAGAUCUCCAAAUUUUCCACUUCUCAAAAAGUAAUUGGACUGUACAACAAAUAUGUGAUAAUAAAUGGCUUCAUAUGAUCACUGUCCUUCAAAAUAAUAAAUUUUUGCAUGAUCAGUCAUAUUUUCAAAAUCAAUGCCAAAUUUCACAAUUUCUGCCAGGGUAUGCAAACUUUUAAACACAACAGUAAAUGGGGAUUAAAAUUCUCAUUGCUACAAUGCAGUGUGAUUAGUGUUAAAUCACUGCUAACACGAUAGAGUCCCAGGCAUAAAUCGAUAUCUUGGCCUCCCCUUUGUCAGCUGAGGCCAUUUUAAUGGACCCUGAAUGACAGAUGAGCUGCAUGCAGUGCUCAAAUUUAAACACCUAUUGACUGCAAUGUGGUGUGAGCUGCCUUCAAUAUCAUAGUGGCAUAUAUCACAUUUGCAAAGUGCCCAGUAGAAGUGUUGUGUAUGUAAAAAAUUAUACAAAAUGAUGACAGACUUUGGCAUACACGUUUGGUGAGAAAAUGACAGUAUGUUAAUAUACACCAUGCGAUAUGCACAAUAUAACCAUAUGAAAUACCCUGGUGUGUCUAUUUUCACAAAUAGUAGGCCUUUGUGGAGUAAUUUGAACAGUCAAACUGAUAUAAUGACUCAAAAUGAGACAUAGGCCCAUCAAAUUCAUCUAUCAGAAUUCUAAUUGUAAACACUGAAAUGAUCAGGUCUCUUAGAUGGCACUUUAGUUUUAUAGUAUAGUGGCAAGGGCAUACAUUGGGGUAUUGUGCUCAGAAGCUGUAGAUGAAUGCAAUAUGGGGUUGUGUACAGAAAUGGCACAUGUCAGGUUUACGAAGUACAUAUAAAAAAACUGAAAGAGACCAUUUGCUAACAAUAUUUAGCAGAAAUUAACAGUUCAUUGACUAGUCUGUCAUAUCUACUUUAUAUAAAUAUAUACUUUUGUGUGGCAAUUUCGUUUUCUGUGAUGGAUUUUAAACUUAGACGAUAAACAUAUCAAAUUCUAAAAUCUCUCCAUUUUAUUUUAGUCCUAUUUUGUGACCUAUAACUACCAAAAAUAAAUUGAAAUCCUAAACAUAUGAUGUACUCUGAGCCAGGAACCUUUUGUCUCCUUUAGACCAUUCUUGCAUAAUCAGAUGUUCAUGGUACCAUGGACUGGAAAGGUAGCUCCUUUCCUCGUUAAGUAUGAGAAGUAUCUGUUAGACGUGGAAAGUUCCUCUCUGGAAGUGACUUUAAGACUCAAAGAUUUACGGACUCUAGAAAUCCGAUGGUCCACUUGAGCUGGAUCCAGGGAUUCUGGAGUAGGUUGUAUCUCUACCUCUGAGGAAGAAUCUCUUUCCAUGUAUGAUUCCACCUCCAUGGAUUCCUCAGAAGAUUUAUCCACUGAAUACACAAGAGGGUCUGGAUACCUGGGUCUUUUCCAAGGAUGACUUGCCUCCUUGAUGCCCUGGGAAACUGCUUGCUUUAUGAGUUGAAUAAUGUCUGGAGCUGGGUUAGAUGGGCCUGCUGCUGUAGAUAAAUAGCAUGUGCAUAGGUGUUUACCCUCUAAGGCUCUCUUGUCACAGGCUUCACACUGGGACCUUCUUGUAGAUUUUCCGUUUGAUGAUACUGAAGCCUUUUUUCCCUUGGAACUGACAUAUAGAGUAUGACAGUUAGUAAUCUGCACUCUUUUGUUUUAAUACAUGAGAGAAUACAGAAGAUACAAAAUGUACAAAAAUCUUUGUACAGAAAAUAUGGCUUACCUAUGGCUCUUAGAUUGUGACCGAUUAUCUGAAGCUGAUGAAUCAGAAUCCAUUCUUGCUGAUCUUUCUUUUUCCAUUUUAAAUAUGGAAGACUGAAUGAAAGCAAGCAAUACCGAACAAAACUUUUAGUAUGCUCAUAAAGAAAUACAUAGACAAAUUUAAGUUACUGUGUCUUUAAUUUCUACUUACUAGGAAAGGCAGCCGAAGUAAUCAAACAAAGCAAUUGAUAUAAGAAACUAGUGAAAUAAUAUUAUAGAAGAGCUGAUAGGAUUUCCCUAGACUGUGGAAAUGAAUGUUGGUGCUUUUAAUGGGAAGAAUGAUGUCAUCCCGCCAUUUGCAUGUGUGAACCGAACGCAGGGCAUGCAACGGAGCCAAAGCACACAAAUGCCCGUUCGUGUGCCUGCGCUCAAACAGCAAUUUCAGAUGCAUGCACACAAACACUCCAAUGCGAACGCUACAUCCGUUCACAUGAACGGUAGUACCGAAAGCACCUAUUCGCGCGCAUGCAUGCAACCACACGCUUUGCACAUGUGCAAUGGUGCCGAUAGGACGCCAACUAAUAUGGCGAUUCCCAGAAACUCGGGAACUGCUGAAAUAAUGCGAAAUAUUGAUAGAAAAGGGCCGAAAAGUUCCUAAAAGGAGACAAAACUUACCUUAUGUCUAAAAUUAUAAAUAAGAGUGAAAGAACUGCAUGAAAUUCAGGUAGGAAAGUAUUUCACCAUUAGAUAUUGCAGAUAUAUCGUGGCUUGGCAAAUAUUUUGCUACCCCUAGGAUCACUGCAAAUUUUAUAUAUUUUAUGAAUGCCACUCCUGCCUGCUACCUCUUGGUCACUGCAGGAAAUAGUAUCAUGCCAUAGUCUUGCUACCCCUAGGGUCACAGCAAGUAAAACUCCCGGUCACUAAGGGGGUUUCUUCAGGGGUCACCUUUGCGCAGGGACGUAACCUGAAGCAGGAACAAAAGGAAUAAGGGUAGGAAGGGGGGAGGGUAUAUAUACACCUUCUGUUUAAUUAUGUUCCUGUCUAAUUAGGUAUAGGGAGGAGCAACCCAUUGUUGUGCUGCCAUGAGUAUGGCCAGGAAAUAUAGAUAUAUAUACAUAUAUAUAUAUGUAACGGAGCUUCUUGUACCCCGGCUGGGAACCUCUGCCGAAGGAUGCUUCUAGUGCUUACUGAGGGCUCCAAGCACUUCUCCAGACACCAUAAAUACCGCAGACUGCACAAACCGCCGCAGCUUGGUUGGAGUCUCGCCAUCUCCCACCUAUGACAAGGCUCCAGGUUCUAGUGGGUGAACCUCUCUUCCUUCAGACAGCGAAACAGGAACAGCUCUUACAAGAGCUAGUGAUUAUCCAAGGGAGUAUGAUGAUCAUAGCAAUCCCUGUAGUGAUAUAGCAAUUCCCCCCAAUAAGAGACAAGACUCUAGAUUGAGGGUGAAGUAGAACUGGAGGUUUAAUGGAGCAUACUGGUCUUCUAUACAAGUUUCCCCACAAGGUUGCCACCCAGAUGGACCUUGUGGAGCACAGGACAUAAAAUCAACAAGCCAAUAAAAACAGUGUUUUACAUUCAGACACUUCCAGAUACUGUACACAAUCCCUCCCCUCUGCCUGUGAUAUAAUUAAGGCAGAUAAUGCUUUAUCCCCAGGCAGAUUAAACACACAUUUUUAUAAAGUACCAUAAGUACCCCAAAAUACAACAUAUCCCCAUAAAUCUUAUACCCCUGAUAGCUCUGAUCUGGGUGAACAACAUAUCUAUAAUUCGCCCAGAUCAGAUCAGGGAUUCAGAAAUUCUAUGGAAGUCAUAUUUUUGCCCAGGUGAACACAGGAUUUCAUACCCAAAACAGUUGCAUAGAUUCGCGGCUAAGUGCCACUGGAGGACUGACCGGGAACCGCAAGGUUUUCGUGCCAAAAAUAGUUCCAAAGGCAUUCGUGGCUAAGUCCCCCUGAAGUCUAUUCGCGGUUUUAGCCCAUGCGAACAAGAUGGCCGCCACCACAUGUUCGAAUGUCGAAUGGGGGCCACUUCGACUGUUCGGGAGUUUGAAGAACCAUUGUCUAAAGUCCCAAUAGCCACAAAUAGGGUCUUUCAGCCAAAACAAAUUAAAGGGGCCAUAGUCACAGGGCAAAGGGUUGGCAAGUAGUCCUCUCCAAAAACCAGUGGCAAGGUCAGUUUCGCCACAAUAUAUAUUUAAAUAAUAUAUAUUUAUGUCAUAUUUUUACAUAAUUAAAUCAUUUUGUUAAUUACGAUUUGAGGGACCUACCUGACAACCCAGGCAGAAAGUUCACCGAAUUUUGUUUGCAAGCCCUAUAUUUUACUCUGUAACUUUCCACAACACCAUAAAACCUGCACAUGGGGGGUGGCAGGUGAGGGGGGUGGGGUACUGUUUUACUCUGUAGAUUUCGCUGGGCAAAAACAGUAAAAUGUAUCACAACAAUGAUAUCAUCAGUGAAAGUGAAUUUCUUUUUACUUUUCAACCCCAAACAGCACUUUCACUGACAGUAUCAUUGUUGUAAUAUGUUUAAUGUUUUGAAACACUAAUAUUUUUGUUCCGCGAAGUCUCCCAAGCAUAACAUUUCCCCCGCAUGUACAGGUUUAUGAUGUUUUCAAAAGUUACAGAGUCAAAUAUAAGGCUUGCAUUGCAGUUUUUUCACAUUGAAUUUUGCCAGAUUAGUUAUGUUGCCUUUGAGACCGUAUGGUAGCCCUGGAAUGAGAAUUACCCUUAUGAUGGCAUACCCUUUGCAAAAGUAGACAACCCAAGGUAUUACAAAUGGGGAAUACGCAUGUACUGACAGACACAUACACACUCACUGUCAAGACACACAUGCACAAUUACUGACAGAUACACACUCACUGACAGAAAUGCAUACACAAACACUGAGACACACAUAUACUCACUGACAGUUACACAUUGACAAACACACAUACACACUCACUGACAGACAUAUAUACACUCGGUGUCAGACACACACAUUCUCUGACACACAUACACACACUGACAGACACACACUGACAGACAUACACAUUCACUGACAGACACACAUACACAUUCAAUGACAGACACACAUACAUACACUGACAGACACGCAUACACACACUUAGAAACACUCUCAGUGACAGAUACACACACACUGACAGACACAAACACACUCAGUGACAAACACAUAUAAACUCUCACUAACAAACACUCAUACACACCCACUGACAGACACAUAUACACUCUCAGUGACCGACACACACUAACAGACACACACACACACAUUGGUCGGGCAGGCAGGCUCACAUUGGAGGCAGGCGGUGUGGGCGCUCUUAUCUUCCUGUUCCGCUCCCUCGCACGCCUCUAAGUGAAGCUGGGGCCAGAGUGAUGUCAUAUUCCGGCUCUGGCAUCACUGCAUUGAGCGCAAGGGAGCUGAGCAGGGGGAGCUCAGGGGAGAAUGCUCCCUCUCCGCGCAUGCCAGCCUCAGCGGGGGGGCCCUGAAGUGGCUAGCCGGCCAGCUCCUGGGUCCCCCAGGACAAGAAGCUGACCAGGCAUCUUCCGUGGAGAUUGAGGGAUGGCUUUUUUUGCACCCCCUGAAAGAGGGAAUAAAAAUAUGUGUACUUCAUUGCAGUAACAGCUAACAGUAUUAUUGCAUUCACAGUUAAAAUGCCACGCAGAACUAAAAAAAUAACAAACUGUCUUAAUUUCUCAAAUUCUUGUAUAUUUUAUUCAUAUUAGAUUAUGAUUAACAUAUAAAUAUUUGAUAUAAAAUGAAAGCCCUGUUUCUCCUAAACAAAAUGAUAUAUAAUAAGUGCGGGUUCAUUUAAUAUGAAAGAGGUGAAUUAUGGUUACACAGACAUAUAGUGCAAAUUCAAGUUUUUGUUUUGAUCUGAACUUGUACAACUGCCUCAGUCCUUAAGGCGUUAAUCUAGAUCCCUCAGGCUUUGUUAUUCACAGAAGGAAACAUAUUUAGGUAUGAUCAUUUCUUUUUACCUGGAUUGUAUUCUGCUUUCUUUCAGUUCCGGGUCUGGCUCAGAAUAUCACAGUAAAUAAUAAGAAUACUACUAAUUCACUCAGUGUGAACUGGACAAUACCAGCAGGGAAAGUGGAUUAUUACACAGUCACUCUGAAUGGAGACGUCAAUAGAACAAUCACAACUAAUUCUACACAAGUGGAUUUCACAGACUUACUGCCAGGCAGAAACUACUCCAUCACUAUACAGACAGUUAGUAGUAACUGCAGCCAGUCAGCAGCUCCAGUGAUAGAGGCAACAUGUGAGUAUGAUGGGAUCAUUGGGACAGAGCUAUAUCUUUACGUGGAAAUCAUACAAACUGAGUUCUAGUAAACUUUUUUGCAUCAUUUUUAUUUAGAUAUCAUUGGAUUAUUUUCAGAAUAAUGAAAUAUGGAUUUUGUUUAACUAAAUAUUUUGUUCUUGGUUUUCCAUAGAUCCAACCCUUCCAGUGUCCUUAAACAUUACAAAUAUCGGAACAAACUACAUUUCAUUGUCCUGGGGAGAACCAGUAAAUAUGACCAAUGUGACAAAGUCUUUCAAUAUAAUUUACAGCAAUUCUUCAUCCUCUUGGACUGUGACAGUAAACGCAUUAAAUGUCACCCUUCAGAACCUCACGUCUGGGACUAAUUACACAAUUACUGUAGUAACAGUUGGUGCUCGGCAGUAUCAGAGUUCUCCUGUGACCAGUUCCAUCUACACAAGUAGGUUUGCACCUUUCUGUAUGUUAUAGAACGUUAUAUUAUGUUAUACUCUGUGUUCUAAACUGGUUCCUCUCAUAACGCUAGCUGAGAAUGGGGCAUAAUGCGAUUCACUGAAUGUGUUCAAAUCAAAAGAAUAUAGAAUAUUUUUCAUUCACAGGUUACAAGUUUUCGUAUAUAAUUAUUCAAAACUGAAUUUUAGUGAAGUAAAAAACAGAUUUGAAAAUUUAGGCAAAUUUUGCUGAGUUGGAACAAUUUGUCAACUUCACUAUAAAAACAACUUGGCUAUUUUGUCAUACAUGUUGCAAAUAUGUGGGUAGAUUUAUCAAGGCAAAACAGCUGCUAUUGUGAGUGCAAAGUGCUAAAUGCUCAGAGACAUUCUCUAGGUUUCCAUGGUGAUUGCUCCUUAUUUAGCACUUUGCUCCAGAAUAACACCUAUUUUUGUCUACAUAAAUGUUCCCCUAUGUUUUCAAUACACUGCAAUUCUGAGUUUAAUGAAAACAACAUAUAGUUUAAGGCUACAGUAUCUAGAAUUCACUAAGUUGUUUCAUUAGGUGAAUUUCUGCAAUAAUUGACUUCAUUUCAGUUUUAGCUACUAAUUAACAUGUUCCUUAUCCGGUUAUUUCAAGUUAAUAAUACAUCUAAUGAUAAUAAUUCCCUGAGAGAACUUUGCAAUCUACAGAAUGAAACAGAUUGUGUUUUUUUUUUCUAACUCUAGAACCGAUGCCAGUAAAACAGCUCGGAAAUAAUGGAACGACUACUGUAUCUGUUUUCCUGACUUGGAAUCAACCUGAUGAGUAUAGAAGUGAUUACACCUACAGAGUACAAACAGCAAACACCUCAUCUGUAGUGAUAAAUCAAACAACGGCAUCAAAUCAACUCAAUGUAACUAAUCUGACACCCGGAGUAACAUAUACAUUCACUGUAUUUACAAGAGCAGCUGAUAAUAUCACUGAAAGUCAAUCUUUCUCAUAUACAACCUGCACGGGUGAGUGUAAACUGGUAUUAAAGGGAAUCAACCCUCGUUACACGAGGUCCCCCUGACUACACACGAACCAGGGGGCAGACUCUGGAGGGAAUCAUGACGACUCUGGGUUUAACUACUACCACUGGUAGGUGGACUCUUGCCUCCAGUGACCAAGGACCCCAAUCCAACCACUAUGGCCCUACCUAUACCACCUCAGCCCUGGGAGGGUAUUGCACAAAUGUCUUGAGAUGCAACAGUACCCCUAUAGCUUCAGGCCACUGCACGCUAGGCACCGACGUAAGGGAUAGGGCCACAAAUAUGUAUGCCUCCAAGUGCCUCUCCCAGCCCCCUUGCACUAGAGACAAAUUAGGCCCACACAGACGGACACUCCGCACUAGUCAAGACAUGUCGUAAACGAUCAUUGUGCAUAUACGAGGGCUACUGCCUGUAAUCACGUAGCAGGGCAUAAUACAGACACAACUGGGAUUGGGAUACUAGCUACGCAAGUGUCACUCGCUUGCAUGCUGAAGCGCUGUUGUUGCUGAUGUAAUCUGAUCCAAACGUUGCCCCGCUGGAACCCUCUAAGUCAGUUACAGUCACGGCUUUAUUCUAAAUUUUACAAUUGUUAUUCCAGGUCAUUACAAUUUGGUGUUAGGGAAUAAUCUCAUAGAAUUUACCUAAAUUAAUGUUUCUUUGUUUUAGAUUUACUAGAAAGCAUAAUUUUUUGUAUCUAAACAAAAAUGCACAAUAUUAAAUUAAAUGAUUUCUGAUUUGUUUCAGUUCCGGGUCUGGCUCAGAAUAUCACAGUAAAUAAUAAGAAUACUACUAAUUCACUCAGUGUGAACUGGACAAUACCAGCAGGGAAAGUGGAUAAUUACAAAGUCACUCUGAAUGGAGAUGUCAAUAGAACAAUCACAACUAAUUCUACACAAGUCGAUUUCACAGACAUACUGCCAGGCAGAAACUACUCCAUCACUAUACAGACAAUUAGUAGUAACUGCAGCCAGUCAGCAGCUCCAGUGAUAGAGGCAACAUGUGAGUAUGAUGGGAUCAUAGGGACAGAGCUAUAUUUUUACGUGGAAAUCAUACAAACUGAGUUCUAGUAAACUUUUUUGCAUAAUUUUUAUUUAGAUAUCAUUGGAUUAUUUUCAGAAUAAUGAAAUAUGGAUUUCUUUAACUAAUUAUUUUGUUCUUGGUUUUCCAUAGAUCCAACCCUUCCAGUGUCCUUAAACGUUACAAAUAUCGGAACAAACUACAUUUCAUUGUCCUGGGGAGAACCAGUAAAUAUGACCAAUGUGACAAAGUCUUUCAAUAUAAUUUACAGCAAUUCUUCAUCCUCUUGGACUGUGACAGUAAACGCAUUAAAUGUCACCCUUCAGAACCUCACAUCUGGGACUAAUUACACAAUUACUGUAGUAACAGUUGGUGCUCGGCAGUAUCAGAGUCCUCCUGUGACUAGUUCCAUCUACACAAGUAGGUUUGCACCUUUCUGUAUGUUAUAGAACGUUAUAUUAUGUUAUACUCUGUGUUCUAAACUGGUUCCUCUCAUAACGCUAGCUGAGAAUGGGGCAUAAUGCGAUUCACUGAAUGUGUUCAAAUCAAAAGAAUAUAGAAUAUUUUUCAUUCACAGGUUACAAGUUUUCGUCUAUAAUUAUUCAAAACUGAAUUUUAGUGAAGUAAAAAACAGAUUUGAAAAUUUAGGCAAAUUUUGCUGAGUUGGAACAAUUUGUCAACUUCAGUAUAAAAACAACUUGGCUAUUUUGCCAUACAUGUUGCAAAUAUGUGGAUAGAUUUAUCAAGGCAAAACAGCUGCUAUUGUGAGUGCAAAGUGCUAAAUGCUCAGAGACAUUCUCUAGGUUUCCAUGGUGAUUGCUCCUUAUUUAGCACUUUGCCCCAGAAUAACCCCUAUUUUUGUCUACAUAAAUGUUCCCCUAUGUUUUCAAUACACUGCAAUUCUGAGUUUAAUGAAAACAACAUAUAGUUUAAGGCUACAGUAUCUAGAAUUCACUAAGUUGUUUCAUUAGGUGAAUUUCUGCAAUAAUUGACUUCAUUUCAGUUUUAGCUACUAAUUAACAUGUUCCUUAUCCGGUUAUUUCAAGUUAAUAAUACAUCUAAUGAUAAUAAUUCCCUGAGAGAACUUUGCAAUCUACAGAAUGAAACAGAUUGUGUUUUUUUUUUUUUUCUAACUCUAGAACCGAUGCCAGUAAAACAGCUCGGAAAUAAUGGAACAACUACUGUAUCUGUUCUCCUGACUUGGAAUCAACCUGAUGAGUAUAGAAGUGAUUACACCUACAGAGUACAAACAGCAAACACCUCAUCUGUAGUGAUAAAUCAAACAACGGCAUCAAAUCAACUCAAUGUAACUAAUCUGACACCCGGAGUAACAUAUACAUUCACUGUAUUUACAAGAGCAGCUGAUAAUAUCACUGAAAGUCAAUCUUUCUCAUAUACAACCUGCACGGGUGAGUGUAAACUGGUAUUAAAGGGAAUCAACCCUCGUUACACGAGGUCCCCCUGACUACACACGAACCAGGGGGCAGACUCUGGAGGGAAUCAUGACGACUCUGGGUUUAACUACUACCACUGGUAGGUGGACUCUUGCCUCCAGUGACCAAGGACCCCAAUCCAACCACUAUGGCCCUACCUAUACCACCUCAGCCCUGGGAGGGUAUUGCACAAAUGUCUUGAGAUGCAACAGUACCCCUAUAGCUUCAGGCCACUGCACGCUAGGCACCGACGUAAGGGAUAGGGCCACAAAUAUGUAUGCCUCCAAGUGCCUCUCCCAGCCCCCUUGCACUAGAGACAAAUUAGGCCCACACAGACGGACACUCCGCACUAGUCAAGACAUGUCGUAAACGAUCAUUGUGCAUAUACGAGGGCUACUGCCUGUAAUCACGUAGCAGGGCAUAAUACAGACACAACUGGGAUUGGGAUACUAGCUACGCAAGUGUCACUCGCUUGCAUGCUUAAGCGCUGUUGUUGCUGAUGUAAUCUGAUCCAAACGUUGCCCCGGUGGAACCCUCUAAGUCAGUUACAGUCACGGCUUUAUUCAAAAUUUUACAAUUGUUAUUCCAGGUCAUUACAAUUUGGUGUUAGGGAAUAAUCUCAUAGAAUUUACCUAAAUUAAUGUUUCUUUGUUUUAGAUUUACUAGAAAGCAUAAUUUUUUGUAUCUAAACAAAAAUGCACAAUAUUAAAUUAAAUGAUUUCUGAUUUGUUUCAGUUCCAGGUCUGGCUCAGAAUAUCACAGUAAAUAAUAAGAAUACUACUAAUUCACUCAGUGUGAACUGGACAAUACCAGCAGGGAAAGUGGAUAAUUACAAAGUCACUCUGAAUGGAGACGUCAAUAGAACAAUCACAACUAAUUCUACACAAGUGGAUUUCACAGACUUACUGCCAGGCAGAAACUACUCCAUCACUAUACAGACAGUUAGUAGUAACUGCAGCCAGUCAGCAGCUCCAGUGAUAGAGGCAACAUGUGAGUAUGAUGGGAUCAUUGGGACAGAGCUAUAUCUUUACGUGGAAAUCAUACAAACUGAGUUCUAGUAAACUUUUUUGCAUAAUUUUUAUUUAGAUAUCAUUGGAUUAUUUUCAGAAUAAUGAAAUAUGGAUUUCUUUAACUAAUUAUUUUGUUCUUGGUUUUCCAUAGAUCCAACCCUUCCAGUCUCCUUAAACGUUACAAAUAUCGGAACAAACUACAUUUCAUUGUCCUGGGGAGAACCAGUAAAUAUGACCAAUGUGACAAAGUCUUUCAAUAUAAUUUACAGCAAUUCUUCAUCCUCUUGGACUGUGACAGUAAACACAUUAAGUGUCAAUCUUCAAAACCUCACGUCUGGGACUAAUUACACAAUUACUGUAGUAACAGUUGGUGCUCGGCAGUAUCAGAGUUCUCCUGUGACCAGUUCCAUCUACACAAGUAGGUUUACAGCUCUCUGUAUGUUAUAGAACGUUAUAUUAUGUUAUACUCUGUGUUCUAAACUGGUUCCUCUCAUAACGCUAGCUGAGAAUGGGGCAUAAUGCGAUUCACUGAAUGUGUUCAAAUCAAAAGAAUAUAGAAUAUUUUUCAUUCACAGGUUACAAGUUUUCGUCUAUAAUUAUUCAAAACUGAAUUUUAGUGAAGUAAAAAACAGAUUUGAAAAUUUAGGCAAAUUUUGCUGAGUUGGAACAAUUUGUCAACUUCAGUAUAAAAACAACUUGGCUAUUUUGCCAUACAUGUUGCAAAUAUGUGGAUAGAUUUAUCAAGGCAAAACAGCUGCUAUUGUGAGUGCAAAGUGCUAAAUGCUCAGAGACAUUCUCUAGGUUUCCAUGGUGAUUGCUCCUUAUUUAGCACUUUGCUCCAGAAUAACACCUAUUUUUGUCUACAUAAAUGUUCCCCUAUGUUUUCAAUACACUGCAAUUCUGAGUUUAAUGAAAACAACAUAUAGUUUAAGGCUACAGUAUCUAGAAUUCACUAAGUUGUUUCAUUAGGUGAAUUUCUGCAAUAAUUGACUUCAUUUCAGUUUUAGCUACUAAUUAACAUGUUCCUUAUCCGGUUAUUUCAAGUUAAUAAUACAUCUAAUGAUAAUAAUUCCCUGAGAGAACAUUGCAAUCUACAGAAUGAAACAGAUUGUGUUUUUUUUUUUUUUCUAACUCUAGAACCGAUGCCAGUAAAACAGCUCGGAAAUAAUGGAACGACUACUGUAUCUGUUUUCCUGACUUGGAAUCAACCUGAUGAGUAUAGAAGUGAUUACACCUACAGAGUACAAACAGCAAACACCUCAUCUGUAGUGAUAAAUCAAACAACGGCAUCAAAUCAACUCAAUGUAACUAAUCUGACACCCGGAGUAACAUAUACAUUCACUGUAUUUACAAGAGCAGCUGAUAAUAUCACUGAAAGUCAAUCUUUCUCAUAUACAACCUGCACGGGUGAGUGUAAACUGGUAUUAAAGGGAAUCAACCCUCGUUACACGAGGUCCCCCUGACUACACACGAACCAGGGGGCAGACUCUGGAGGGAAUCAUGACGACUCUGGGUUUAACUACUACCACUGGUAGGUGGACUCUUUCCUCCAGUGACCAAGGACCCCAAUCCAACCACUAUGGCCCUACCUAUACCACCUCAGCCCUGGGAGGGUAUUGCACAAAUGUCUUGAGAUGCAACAGUACCCCUAUAGCUUCAGGCCACUGCACGCUAGGCACCGACCUAAGGGAUAGGGCCACAAAUAUGUAUGCCUCCAAGCAUGAGUGCCUCUCCCAGCCCCCUUGCACUAGAGACAAAUUAGGCCCACACAGACGGACACUCCGCACUAGUCAAGACAUGUCGUAAACGAUCAUUGUGCAUAUACGAGGGCUACUGCCUGUAAUCACGUAGCAGGGCAUAAUACAGACACAACUGGGAUUGGGAUACUAGCUACGCAAGUGUCACUCGCUUGCAUGCUGAAGCGCUGUUGUUGCUGAUGUAAUCUGAUCCAAACGUUGCCCCGCUGGAACCCUCUAAGUCAGUUACAGUCACGGCUUUAUUCUAAAUUUUACAAUUGUUAUUCCAGGUCAUUACAAUUUGGUGUUAGGGAAUAAUCUCAUAGAAUUUACCUAAAUGAUUGUUUCUUUGUUUUAGAUUUACUAGAAAGCAUAAUUUUUUGUAUCUAAACAAAAAUGCACAAUAUUAAAUUAAAUGAUUUCUGAUUUGUUUCAGUUCCGGGUCUGGCUCAGAAUAUCACAGUAAAUAAUAAGAAUACUACUAAUUCACUCAGUGUGAACUGGACAAUACCAGCAGGGAAAGUGGAUUAUUUCACAGUCACUCUGAAUGGAGACGUCAAUAGAACAAUCACAACUAAUUCUACACAAGUGGAUUUCACAGACUUACUGCCAGGCAGAAACUACUCCAUCACUAUACAGACAGUUAGUAGUAACUGCAGCCAGUCAGCAGCUCCAGUGAUAGAGGCAACAUGUGAGUAUGAUGGGAUCAUUGGGACAGAGCUAUAUCUUUACGUGGAAAUCAUACAAACUGAGUUCUAGUAAACUUUUUUGCAUAAUUUUUAUUUAGAUAUCAUUGGAUUAUUUUCAGAAUAAUGAAAUAUGGAUUUCUUUAACUAAUUAUUUUGUUCUUGCUUUUCCAUAGAUCCAACCCUUCCAGUGUCCUUAAACGUUACAAAUAUUGGAACAAACUACAUUUCAUUGUCCUGGGGAGAACCAGUAAAUAUGACCAAUGUGACAAAGUCUUUCAAUAUAAUUUACAGCAAUUCUUCAUCCUCUUGGACUGUGACAGUAAACACAUUAAAUGUCACCCUUCAGAACCUCACGUCUGGGACUAAUUACACAAUUACUGUAGUAACAGUUGGUGCUCGGCAGUAUCAGAGUUCUCCUGUGACCAGUUCCAUCUACACAAGUAGGUUUGCACCUUUCUGUAUGUUAUAGAACGUUAUAUUAUGGUAUACUCUGUGUUCUAAACUGGUUCCUCUCAUAACGCUAGCUGAGAAUGGGGCAUAAUGCGAUUCACUUAAUGUGUUCAAAUCAAAAGAAUAUAGAAUAUUUUUCAUUCACAGGUUACAAGUUUUCGUAUAUAAUUAUUCAAAACUGAAUUUUAGUGAAGUAAAAAACAGAUUUGAAAAUUUAGGCAAAUUUUGCUGAGUUGGAACAAUUUGUCAACUUCAGUAUAAAAACAACUUGGCUAUUUUGCCAUACAUGUUGCAAAUAUGUGGAUAGAUUUAUCAAGGCAAAACAGCUGCUAUUGUGAGUGCAAAGUGCUAAAUGCUCAGAGACAUUCUCUAGGUUUCCAUGGUGAUUGCUCCUUAUUUAGCACUUUGCCCCAGAAUAACACCUAUUUUUGUCUACAUAAAUGUUCCCCUAUGUUUUCAAUACAUUGCAAUUCUGAGUUUAAUGAAAACAACAUAUAGUUUAAGGCUACAGUAUCUAGAAUUCACUAAGUUGUUUCAUUAGGUGAAUUUCUGCAAUAAUUGACUUCAUUUCAGUUUUAGCUACUAAUUAACAUGUUCCUUAUCCGGUUAGUUCAAGUUAAUAAUACAUCUAAUGAUAAUAAUUCCCUGAGAGAACUUUGCAAUCUACAGAAUGAAACAGAUUGUGUUUUUUUUUUCUAACUCUAGAACCGAUGCCAGUAAAACAGCUCGGAAAUAAUGGAACGACUACUGUAUCUAUUUUCCUGACUUGGAAUCAACCUGAUGAGUAUAGAAGUGAUUACACCUACAGAGUACAAAUAGCAAACACCUCAACUGUUGUGAUAAAUCAAACAACUGCAUCAAAUCAACUCAAUGUAACUAAUCUGACUCCUGGAGUAGCAUAUACAUUCACGGUAUUUACACGAGCGGCUGAUAAUGUCACUGAAAGUCAACCUGUCUCAUACACAACCUGCACAGGUGAGUGUAAACUGAUAUUAAAGGGAAUCGACACACAGACACAUUACAAUACAGAGUCUGACUAUUAAUAGUCAUUACAAGGUUAUAUGAAAUGUGUGUUUUAUUGUGUUUGUCAUAAAACUCUAUAUGCAUAUGAUGCUCGUUCAGGGGAGGGCUGGCAGCCUUAGGCCUGGGGGGCAAAACCAGUCAAGUGGCCCAUUGCACCACCAAAUCAGUGCAAUGGUGCCCACCUUUUCCUGGUUUUAUAACGGAUAUUGAUGUUAUGCUAAUCAGUAGCUCUUUGCCAUACCCGCUCCUUCAUGACUCUGACUGUCAAUGUUGUCAGAGCGCAGGCUGAGAAUCUCUGAGCGUGUGCUCUGACUCACUAACUGAGCGCCGAAACCACGAGGGAGAGACUAUAAUCUGACUGCACCUACUGCUGGUGCGCACCAGUGGACCACCAGCGAAUCAUUUAAAUUGAAUAGGCUGGUGUCCCCAACUUGUGAGCUGUGUUGUCCGCGGGCGCCUCUGUUGUGAUGGCACCCUGCGUGACCGCACAGCGUGCACACCCCAACGGCUGGCCCUGCUGACACACACUGAUGUUACUACUUAGAAAUCCCUCAAUAUUAAUACAGACAUCAGAGUAAACACCAAUAAACUGUGGAAGCAGAGCUGAUCCCACCCAAUUUUAUAAAGAUUUGCUUACUGGAUUUAUUGUAAGAUUAAAUCAUGCCUCCUCCUCUCUCUCUCCCAUGCGCUGCUCUGUAAGCUGGGAGGAGGUGAAGAGUAAUCACAAUCUCCCAGCACAGUGGCACCUGUGGCUGCAUGGGGAACAGCUGUAUUUGCCGCCCCCCAUGUGACAUCACAAUGCCCCACCUAUAUGAGCUGCCAUACGAACUAACGCCAGUGCCGCCCACAGUAUGUGUUUACAUUAAAAAGCCUGCAGGGACCGGCUAUAGACACCAGAACCACUUCAUUAAGCUCCAGUCGUUCUGGGAAAUAUAGUGUCCCUUUAAUGCGAGGUAAAUUAUAGAUUAGUGUCACUAAUAAUAUACUAGAUUGCCUACUUACAACCAAAUGAGGAUUAUGAUGGGCUGCAGUUUGGCUCCACUGGUCUGGUGUAGAACAGGAUCUCUGGAGGCUGUUUGCAAAUGUGAUCAAAAAACUUAAUGUUCUGGGAGAAUUGGAAGCAGCUCCAUUUUUUUGGGGCCCCUUACACAGCUCAAGGUCUGGGCCCCAGAGCCUGACGGUGAAUAUGCCCACAAGGCCCACUCAUAAGUCCACUUAUAUGUUCCACCCACCCAUGAGUUCGCUCACAGGGAGUGGAGUGUGUAUGUGUUAUUGUAGAUGAUCUAAUAUGUGUGCUUAUGGUAUGUAGUGUAUAGGGAUACCAGUUUGUGCAGGUGAUGCAGUGUGUUUGUAUGUAGUGGAAGCAGUGUGUAUUUGUGUAUAAGGGAUGUAUUGUGUGUUUCUGGUUGUGUGUAAGGGAUGCAUUGUGUGAAUCUGUGUUUGUAUGCAUAAGGGAUACAAGGUGUGUGUCUGUAAGUGUGUGCAUUUAGUGUGUGUUAGUGAUGCAUUGUGUUUCUGUGUGUAUGUAAGAAAAGCAGUGUGUGUGUAAGGGUUUGCAUUGUGUGUUUCUGUGUAUGUGUGCAAAUGAUGCAUUGUCUUUGUGUGUAAGGGUUGCAUUGUGUGUGUGUAAUGGAUGCAUUGUGUGUUUCUCUGUGUGUAAGGGAAGCAUGUUGUGUUUCUGUGUGUGUAGGGAUGCAUUGUGUGUUUCUGUGUAUGUAUAGGGAUGCAUUGUGUGUUUGUGCGCGUAGUGUGAAAGAGCUCCCUGUCUUGCCCCGUGUCCUAUAGAGCUGUCCCUUCUAGCUCUCCCCUGCCCCUUAGUGGUCUCUCCUCACACUCACCCACCCUCCCUGUGAUCUUCUCAUCCACCCUCCAUGUGUUCUUCUUACCCCCUCUCCUCCCUGUGUCCUCCUCACCUCCCCUUCCCUGUGUUCUCCUCACCACCCACCCUCCCUGUGUUCUUCUCAGUCCCCCCAUUCUCCUCAUCUCCCCUUCUCCUCACCACCCACCCUCCCUGUGUUCUUCUCAGUCCCCCCUUCUCCUCAUCUCCCCUUCCCCUCACUCUUACUCUCCCCCUCCUCCUUGUGUUCUUCUUACUCCUCCCUUGUUCUUCUUACCCCCCGUUUUUCAUACCCCAUUCUUCUUCUUACUCCCCCUCCUCCUCCUUCUGUUACUCCCCCCUCCUUCACUUACUCCCCCCUCCUUCACUUACUCUCUCCCUCCUCCUCCUUCUGUUGCUUCCCCCUCCUUCACUUAUUCCACCCCUCCUUCACCUCUUCCCCCUCCUUCCUUAUUCCUCCCCCUUCACUUAUCCCUCCCCUCCUUCAUAUUCCUCCUUCACUUAUUCCCCCUCCUUCCUUAUUCCUCCUCCUUCCUUUAUUCCCCCUUAUUCCCCUCCUUCCUUAUUCCUCCUCCUUCACUUAUUCCCCCUUCUUAUUCCCCUUCCUUGUUCCCCCCUCCUUCCUUAUUCCCCCUUCCUUAUUCCCCUCCUUCACUCCCUCCCCUUCCUUCCUUCCUUGUUCCUCCUUCACUUAUUCCUCCCCUUCUCCUCCCCUCCUUUAUUCCUCCCCUUCACCAUUCCCCCCUCCUUAUUCCUCCCCUCCUUCACUUUUCCCUUCACUUAUUCCCCCUCCUUCCUUCCUUAUUCCUUCACUUCCUUCACUUUUCCCCUUCGCUUAUUUCCCCUCUUCCCCCUUCACUUAUUCCCCCCUUCACUUAUUUAAUAUUUAUGUUUCCACUAAAAAAAGAGUAAUUGCCUCCCUGCCCCCCGGCCCAGCCCGCCCCUGUGCUCGUUUGAGCCUUUUGAUUUAAAAAAAACAAUUACUCUUUUUUUAGUGGAAACAUAAAUAUUAAAUGCUUACUACAUAUUGUUGUAGUUAUAGAGUCAUUCUUAUUUUUAUUUGAAAUCUAUGUUUAAGCUCUACCUGAAUUGAUGUGUUUAUGCUUGUAUACGCAAAAUUAGGGAUGUGCAUGGGCAAAAUAUUUGGUUCGGCACUUCCGAAAUUUGGUACUUCGGCAAUUUGGCACUUCGGUUCGGAUCGGUACUUCCAAAAUUCGGAACUUCGGGAAUUCGAGACUUUGGCAAUUCCCUAACCCUACCUCUAACCCUAGCACCAACCCUAACCCUACCCCCAAUCCUACCCUUAACCCUACUCCUACCUCUACCCUUAAGGAUCACUAUAAGGUCAGGAACACAAACACGUAUUCCUGACCCUAUAGUGUUAACACCACCAUCUAGCCCCCCUGAGCUCCACAUUGCCUCCAUAAAUAUAGUAAAAAUCUUACUGUAUUCAAGCCUGAAGCUGUAAAUCGGCAUGCUGUUAGACUCAGAAAAACCACCAGUUUGCUGACAUGUGGUAGCCUGAUCCAAUCACAGUGCUUCCCCAUAGGAUUGGCUGAGACUGACAAAGAGGCAGAUCAGGGGCAGAGCCAGCAUGAUUCAAACACAGUCCUGGCCAAUCAGCAUCUCCUCAUAGAGAUUAAUUUAAUCAACGAAUCUCUAUGAGGAAAGUUCAAUGUCUGCAUGCAGAGGGAGGAGAUACUGAAUCACAGGAUGCUGUGCACGGUGCUGCCCUGUGCUCUGCUGACAGCAGGUCUGAGUGGAUGGAGGCAUAUUAUGCCUCCAUCAACUCCGAACUCCCUCUGGUUUCACUAUGAGUGACUGCAACUGGAGGUGUUCCUAGCUUUCAAUGUAAACACUGUAUGUUUACAUGAGAAAGGCUUCAGGAAGCUAUAGUUCUCACCUGAACAACCUCAUUAAGCCGAAGUUGUUCAGGUGACUAUAGUGUCCCUUUAACCCUUACCCUAACCCUACCCCUAACCCUGUCUCUACCCAUUACCCUACCCCUACCUCUAACCCUACCUAUACCACUACCCCUAAUCCUACAUCUAUCUCUAACCCUACCUCUUCCCCUAACUCUAACCCUUCCUCUACCCCUAACCCUUACCAUACCUCUACCCCUACUCCUAACCCUACUAGGGUUAGGGGUAGGGUUAGGGUUAGAGGAAAGUUGGGGUAAAUGUUAGGAUUAGGGGUAGGGUUCAGGUUAGGGGUAGGAUUAUGGGUAGAGUUGGGAGUAGGGUUAGGGUUAGUGGUAGAGUUAGGGUUAGAGGAAGGUUGGGGUAAGGGUUAGGGUUAGAGGUAGGGUUAGGGUAGGGCUAGGGUUAGGAGUAGGGUUAGUUUUAGAUUGCUGUCAUCAUUCCCUUAAUUUUCCCUCCCUCUCCUGUUUUGCCUCCAGCAUCAGAUUUUUCCCCUUAGGAAAGCAAUGAAUAAUCCUUUCCUAUGGGGAAAUCCUAAUGCGAGCGCGCCCAUUGCCGUGCAUGCACGUUAGGUCUCCCCCGUGGCUGACGUCAGCGGGUGAGGAGCGUGGGCAGAGCCUGACCAAGCGCCCAAGGACAUCAGCACUGGAUUCAGGUAAGUGACUGGAGGGGUUUUAACACUUUCAGCACUGCAGGAGGGGGGUGCGAGGGAGGGGGGCACUGCAGGAGCCUAUAGUGCUAGGAAACGGGUGUGUUUUCCUGGCACUAUAGAAUCCCUUUAAGCAGUGGUGUAUCCUGGUUUUGUGCUGCCCUAGGCAGGACAAAACUCAGGCGCCCCCCUGCCCCUGCACCACCCCCACGCAACCCUUCCCCCCGCCCCACCUUCUAAAUACACACACACAGUCAGACACAAACACACACACACAGUCAGACACACACACACACACAUACACAAACAGACAAACACAGUCAGACACAAACACACACAUACACAAACACACACACUCACAAACACAGUCAGAUACAAACACACACACACUCACAAACACAGUCAGACACACACAGAGUCAGACACAAACACACACACUCACAAACACAGUCAGAUACAAACACACACACACUCACAAACACAGUCAGACACACACAGAGUCAGACACAAACACACACACUCACAAACACAGUCAGAUACAAACACACACACACUCACAAACACAGUCAGACACACACAGAGUCAGACACAAACACACACACACACUCACAAACACAGUCAGAUACAAACACACACACACUCACAAACACAGUCAGACACACACACAGUCAGACACAUACACAGACACAAACACAGUCAGACAAACACACACACAGUCAGACACACAGUCAGACACAAACACACACACUCACAAACACAGUCAGAUACACACAGAGUCAGACACAAACACACACACAGUCAGACACAUACACAAACAGACACACUCACAAACACAGUCAGACACAAACACACACACACAUACACAAACACAGUCAGACACACACAGAGUCAGACAGUCACACACACAGAUUAACUUUUUUUUUAAUUUAAAUCCCCCCCCAACUUCCUUACCUUUGGGAGUGCUGGGGGGGGGUCUCUCUCCCUGGUGGUCCAGUGGCUGCAGGUCGGGCUGGCAGGCGGGCGGCUGGCGAGGGAGCACUUCCUCUGAGCUGUCAGCUCAGCUCCCUCGCGCGCCGGACCUGCUGCAGAGUGAGGCGGGGAGCCGGGAUAUGACGUCAUCUUCCGGCUCCCAGCCUCACUUUGCGGUGCGCGAGGGAGCUGAGCAGUCAGCUCAUAGGAAGUGCUCCCUCGCCAGCCGCCCGCCUGCCAGCGCCGCCCGCCCGCUCGGGAUGUCAGUUAGCCGCAAGGCUAAAAAGGCAUUUGCCCUGGGCAUUUGGGGGGCGGCGUUUUUUGCCGCCCCCUGAAAAAUGCCGCCCAAGGCAAAUGCCUUGUUUGCCUCGCGGCUAAUACGCCCCUGCCUUUAAGUGCAAGACAAGCAUCAUGGGGUUAUACAGCGAUCAAUCUACUUGCUUUUUAUAUUUCCACUCCAAGCAUUGGAUAUGGGAAGGCUCAUAUCAUGGCUUGUUUCAGUUUAGGAUUGUUUUUCCCAACAUUGUAUUUGAAAUUAUACAGAAUGGCAUUAACAAUAAUGGCGUCGUAGUGUGAUAUUCAACACUCUAGAUGGCCAAAUUCCCCAAUUUGUGGGCAGACCCAGAUGCAAUGAAGAAAAUCACUCCCCACCACCCCGCGCUGCCAACAAGUAGUUUGAUGAGGUUAACAGUUUCAUUCUAUGUUGUUCAUCAGGCACUUGAUAAGCGUGUAGUGAUAGUCCUAGUAUCAAGGGACUGCAAUGAGUUUCGACAAUUUAUCAUAGCUGAGAGAAUGUCAUCGGUGGAGAGGGUUGGGAGAGAAACUAGCCACUUGUGGAUACAGCUUUCUGAGAGGGAGUGGUCAAAAAAAUUUCCCAAUAUGGCCAUAUAGAAAGUUAAUUGAGUAGUGGACAUGGGAAGAACUCCAAAAGAAUAGGGAUGUGCAUGGGCAAAAAAAUUGGUUCAGUUCGGCAUUCCGAAAUUCUGCAAUUCGGGACUUCGGCAAUUAGGGACUUCGGCAAUUCAUUAUAGGUGGGCACUUCUGAAAUUCGGCAAUUCUACACUUUGGUUCGAUUCGGCACUUCCAAAGUUCUGGACUUCGGGAAAUCGGGAUGUAGGGUAAGUAUAGGGGUAGGGUUUGGUUAAGGGUAUGGUUAGGGGUAGGAUUAGGAGUAGGGUUAGGGUUGGUUUAGGAGUAAGGUUAGGGUUGGGUUAGGAGUAGGGUUAGGAGUAGGGUUAGGGUUGGGUUAGGAGUAGGGUCAGGCUUUGGGUAAGGAGUAGGGUUAGGCUUGGGUUAGGAGUAGGGUCAGGCUUUGGGUUAGGAGUAGGGUUAGGAGUACAGUUAGGGUUAGAAGUAGGGUUAGGGUUGGGUUAGGAGUAGGGUUAGGAGUAGGGUUAGGAGCAGGGUUAGGAGUAGGGUUGGGUUAGGAGUAGGGUUAGGGUUGAGUUAUGAUUAUGGUCAGCAAUACGGUUAGGAGUAGGGUUAGAGUAGGGUUAGGAGUAGGGUUAGGUUAGGGUUAGGAGUAGGGAUAGGAGUAGGUUAGGGUUAGGGGUAGAGGUACCCUAACCCUACUCUUAACCAUACCCUACCCCUACUCCUAACCCUAGCCUAACCCUACUCCUAGCCCAACCCUAACCCUACUCCUAACCCUACCCUAACCCCACUCCUAACCCAACCCUAACCCUACUCCUAACCUAACUCUAACCUAACCCUACCCCUAACUGUGGUAGAAUCGUGUUAAUAUAAAAUAGCACACUGACCGCAGUCCACUCUUUCAAAUACUUGGGUAUGUUGCUAGACCCCAAUCUAUCUUUUGGCCUGCACAUAGAAACGCUUGCAUCUAAACUUUAUCCAAAACUAGGUGCCCUGUACAGAAACAUAUCCUGCCUAAGCCCUACAGUAAAGGAAAAGAUUGUACAGCAAAUGCUGAUGCCAAUCAUUGAUUAUGGGGAUGUCAUAUAUGCACCUGCACCACAAUCACAUUAAAGAAACACUGUAGUCACCUAAAUUACUUUGGCUAAAUAAAGCAGUUUUAGUGUAUAGAUCAUUCCCCUGCAAUUUCACUGCUCAAUUCACUGCAUCUAAACUUUAUCUAAAACUAGGUGCCCUGUACAGAAACAAAUCCUGCCUAAGCCCUACAGUACAAAACUGCUAAAGUUUUUCAGGUGACUAUAGUGUCCCUUUAAUAAACUCAAUACAUUGUAUAACUCGUUCUGCCGAUUCGCUCUACAAUGUAAUUACAGGACCCACCAUUGUGACAUGCUAAAAGAACUAAACUGGCUGUUGCUGGAAUCCAGACGCAUCCUUUCCAUCUUUGUUUUUAAGAGCUUUUCUGGAAAGCUCCCACCCUACCUGAACAAAAUGAUCUCCCCAGCUGUUCCCACCUCCUAUAACCUUCGAUCCAGUACCAGCACUUUAUUUAGUCUACCUCAAUACAAAAAGAAAGCUGCCCGAUCCUCCUUUUCCUACAGAGCACCGCAAUUGUGGAACGACCUCCCGCACACUUUAAAAUCUUCCCCAAGCCUAGAGUCCUUUAAGAGAACCCUCUACAUACCUCAAAACAGAAUGCACCUGUAAUGGUUGAUUAUAUAUUUCCUACCUAUUCUAUGUUAAAUUUUGUAUAUAUGGUGUAUUAAUAUUGUUUUUGUAUUUUAUUGUACCCUGAUGUAUCAAUGCAAUGUUUUGGGGACCCAGGACAUACUUGAAAACUAGAGAAAUCUCAAUGUAUCUUUCCUGGUAAAAUAUUUUAUAAAUAAAUAAUAAAUAAAUAAAUAAAUAGUAUAACUUCUAAUUUGUAGGUAUGCAAAGAGAGGCAUGUAAAGUGAUAGGAACUAGUCCCUUGGAUGUGGUAGGGUCAAUACUUUUUGUGUGGAAGUAUCUACACAAUCCCCAAUGCACGACAGGGAACCUGAAUGCCAGGUUCUUAAAUGCUAGUCAGCCAUGCCAUGCCAUUGUGAUGUAAUGACAGGUACUCCCCCUGCUGCCUGAAAAUAAAAUAAAAAACAUUAAAACAGUGUAACAAUAAAUAAUAUAUACUUAGAUCAUAUAUAUAUCUAUUAUCUAUAUGAUCUUAGUAUAUAUAUACACAUAUACACACAUACACAUAAAUACACAUACGCUAAGUGUAUUUCAAUAUUAAUAUAUAUAAAAUUAUAUAUAUAUAUAUUAAUAUCAAUAUACACGUACAAUGAUAUUGAUUAAAUAUAUAAUUAUCAUUAUAUAUAUAUAUAUAUAUAAAAAUAUAAAGUAAAUAUAUUUGUAAAUACGUUAAUAAAUAAAAUUAAAAAAAUAAUAAAAAAUAAAAUAUAUAUAUAUAUGUGUGUGUGUAAUUUUGUUCUAACUGUAUUUUAAAAUUAAUAUAUAUAUAUUGAUAUCAAAAUACACUUAUAUAUAAUAUAAUAUAUAUAUCUAUAUACAUAAGUAUAUACAUAUAUCACUAUAUAUAUAUAAAUAAAAUAAUUUAAAAAAAUGAUAUACAUAUAUAUAUAUAUAUAUAUAUAUAUAUAUACAUAUACACACACGUGUAUAUAUAUAUAAUAAUUCUACGUAUAUAUUUAUGUAAUAAUUUUACAUAAUUAGGUCAUUUUAUUAAUUACAAUUUGCGGGACCUGCCUGACAACCCAGGCAGAAAGUCCAGGGAAUUUAAUUUGCUAUCACUAUAUUUAACCCUGUAACUCUCCAAGACACCAUAAAACCUGUACAUGGGGGGUACUGUUUUACUUGGAAGACUUUGCUGAACACAAAUAUUAGUGUUUCAAAACCGUAAAAUGUAUUACAACGAUGAUAUUGUCAGUGAAAGUGAAAUUUUUUGCAUUUUACACACACAGAUGGCACUUACACGGAUGAUAUAAUUGUCGUGAUACGUUUUAAUGAUAUAUAAUAAGUGUGGGUGCACAUAAUAUGAAAGCGGUGAAUUACGCCUGAAUAGACAUAUUGCGCAAUUUCAAGUUUUUGUUUAUGUUUUGUUUUGAUCACAACGUGUACAUUUGGCUCAGUCCUUAAGGGGUUAAUAUAAAUGAUUUCUCUAAUUGUAUUGUGUUUUCUUUCAGUUCCGGGUCUGGCUCAAAAUAUCACAGUAAAUAAUAAGAAUACUAUUAAUUCGCUCAGUGUGAACUGGACAAUACCAGCAGGGAAAGUGGAUAAUUACACAGUCACUCUGAAUGGAGACGUCAAUAGAACAAUCACAACUAAUUCUACACAAGUGGAUUUCACAGACUUACUGCCAGGCAGAAACUACUCCAUCACUAUACAGACAGUUAGUAGUAACUGCAGCCAGUCAGCAGCUCCAGUGAUAGAGGCAACAUGUGAGUAUGAUGGGAUCAUUGGGACAAAAUAAAAACAAGAAUAAUUAGGUUGAGUAGUACAAGAAAGUGUCAAGUGUCAUUAAUCCAUUUAGAUACAUUUAUUAUAGAUACAAACUACUUUACAUAAAAACUCAAACACUCACAUAUAAAAAUCAACAAUAUAGAAAGUUCAAGCAAGUAAAUCCACUUAAUAUUUUAUAAUCACCCAAAAUAAUCCAACUCAAUAAUAUGGAUCCUAAGGACAAGCACAAGAGUGAACGUAAAGUAAAAGUUCCAAUAAGAUUACUAAUCCCAGUUAGAUGUGCAGGAUAUAACUGAGUUGAUUAAAGUCACAGAACACCCACUGUAUAGCGAGGUGAGUAAUAAUAAUGUUUCAGUUUUUGUGCAUUAAUGUAUCUAUAAUGAAUGUAUCUGUUGAAAAUGUAUCUUUAUUUAUGACACUUGACACUUUCUUGUGCUACUGCACCUAAUUAUUCUUGUUUUGAUUUUUAUGUUCAGUGAGUCACCCUUUACUUAGGUGUAGUUUCUAAUAGCAGGAUCUCAUUAAUAUACAAUUAGUAUAUAUUUAUUUAAUAUUAUUGUUUUUUUUCUGUGAUAUGUGUGUCCUGUCGGUAUAGUUUGUGUUCUGUCUAGAUAUCAUUGGGAUAGAGCUAUAGCAUUAUGUGGAAAUCCUACAAACUGAGUCUUAGUAAUGUUUUUAGUAUAACUUGCAUUCAGAUAUUAUUGGAUUAUUUCCAAGGUAAUUUUUGUUUGUUUGUUUGUUUUUUCAUAGAUCCGACCUCUCCAGGUUCCUUAAACUUUACAAAUAUCGGAACAAACACCAUUUCGUUGUCCUGGGGAGAACCAGUAAAUAUGACCAAUGUGACAAAGUAUUUCAAUAUAAUUUACAGCAAUUCUUCAUCCUCUUGGACUGUGACAGUAAACACAUUAAGUGCCACCCUUCAGAACCUCACAUCUGGGAAUAAUUACACAAUUACUGUAGUAACAGUUGGUGCUCGGCAGUAUCAGAGUUCUCCUGUGACCAGUUCCAUCUACACAAGUAGGUUUACAGCUUUCUGUAUGUUCUGCAAUAGAACGUCUUAUUAUGUUACAUUCUGUGUUCUGAGCUGGUUCCACUCAUAGUGCUGGCUGGCAGAAUAUAGUGUGUUUGUGUUUUCUACUGAUUAAACAUGUUCUGUAUGUUCUUGGGUAUAGUAUCUGUAUUUCAUGAAGCUGUUUCUGUCAGUGAAUAUCUGAAGUUAUAUAUAUCUUUUUUUUUCUUCAUAUUGUUUCUUAUUUCCAGGCAAUAACAUUUUCUUGACAAAUAACUACAAUUUAUAGAAAGAAACUGAUUUUUUUUUUCUCUAGAACCAAUGUUUGUGAAACAGCUCGGAGCAUCUAAUGUGAGUUCGAAUUAUGUUUUCCUGACUUGGAAUCAACCUGAUGAGUAUAGAAGUGAUUACACCUACAGAGUACAAACAGCAAACACCUCAUCUGUAGUGAUAAAUCAAACAACGGCAUCAAAUCAACUCAAUGUAACUAAUCUGACACCCGGAGUAACAUAUACAUUCACGGUAUUUACAAGAGCGGCUGAUAAUGUCACUGAAAGUCAAUCUGUCUCAUAUACAACCUGCACAGGUGAGUGUAAAUUACUUUUAAAAUAAAUUGCCUUAGAGAUACAUUAUUUUUUAAGAACCGCAGUGACAUCUUUGAGAUUAUAAUGAUUCUCCGCCUGUAUGCACAUUCUUGCAUUAUUUAAAUAAAACGUCCUUUACCUUCACCAGUGAUGCCAACACUGCAAUCAAAUACUAAAACAGAGUUUUAUUUUUGUUGUAAAUUGAUUGUUUAUUUUUUAUUUAUGGACUAAUCACUAAAAAGAUAUGUAUUAGCUGCAUUUUCAAAAGUAAAAUUAAGACUUUUAUUUUUUUUUUAAAAGGAGAGACAGGUUUAGAGAGGUGCAUUGAGUGCUGAAGCUAAUGAAAUGGCAAAGAGCAUCUUGUCAACUCAUGUCUUUUGCAAAUACUUGUAUGUAGAUAUUAUUGAAACCAGGGCUAUGAAUUUCAAGUCCCCCUUUACUAGCCAGGCCUUAAAAGUUGCUCAUCACAGCAAGCCUGGUGGGUACACUGCACAACAGUGAUUUUCUAAUUGCCACUUGUGAAUGUUCACUCAUGAAAACAGACUAUAGGUGCUAAGUGCUGGGCAAUAGAAGGAAACUAUUAUUUAUUUGUCAAAUGGACAACUUACCAAUAGCUCCAGAAAUCUGGUAAAUAGGGAAGUAUCCAACUGCAAAUGUGAAUGAAAAAUCAAGCCCAGCCUCAGCAUAAAAGCACGCCAUGCAAGUGUUCUUUCAAAAAUCUUAUUUGGCACUGGACAGGCAUAAAACAGCCUCUUGAACUAGGUGGUCUAUACUCAUAGUCAUCAGCAAAAUGUAAAGACCACCUAGUCUGAAACGCAUACGAUUCUCUGUUGGUUGCCCUUUGUGAUGCUGUUUUUAUACCGAUUAAAUAAGUGCCAAUAAAGUUUUUUAUUGGUCAUGAGAACGGAACCUCGCUGAACAAUAAAAUAAAAGAGGCAGCACACCUGAACGUAGGGCCAGAAACUUGGCAAGUACAACAUAAAACAGGUUGUACCAAAAAGAACAAACAAGGUAAGAAAUCAUAUGUUACACCCCAUCAUCAUCCUGCUGUGAACCGUUGCCUGAGGAAUAUCUUGCAAGUGGGGAUAUAAUACCACUGCAUGCCGUUUUACCCAGAACUGGUUAUAGUUCUACCAGAUGUGAGUUGGCAUUCUCAGACCUUUGUGUCCUGUGUUAUACAUUAUACUACCAUAUUGCACUAUUGGUUCCUUCCUGUUUGUGUUCUAUUUCUAAUGCUGCUAUUGACCGAAAUUGUUCCACAAGUACUUUAUGAAUAUUGGAAGAUGGAAUAUUAUAAUUUUUAGGACUGUGUCUUAUUACCUGGUAUUUUUUAUUCUUUUAUUUUCGGACUGUAUUAAGGACUAUUUUAUACUGUGCUUUUAGAGAUUUUUUUUUAGAUUUCUUAACUUGUUUGUUCUUCUUUGGCGAGAUAAUUUACUACCUUUAGCGAGGGAAUUUAAAAUGUGUAGUUCUUACAGUGUAGACUUUCUUAGCAUACAAACCAUACACCAGGUAGAUUUCAAAGGAAGAGGAGGCGAUGCUCGAAAACUUUGUGUUAUUUGGAGGAUGACUUAAAAGCCAGGGUAUCAAAAUUAUUUAAUUAUGUUUGUCAUGUCAUGUAUUGUAUAGAUCAUUUGUUACUUAUAUUUACUAUAUAUUUGUACUGGAGGCACUUCGUACCAUUUGCAACAGGUUAAUAUCUCUUUUACUAGGUUAUUCCAUUUACACGUAUUUUUCGUGAGAUGAAGUUACAUUAUUUAUAUAUAUAUGAAUUACAUUUACUAUAAGUAUUAUUAGUGCUAUCUUUUUAUAUUAUUCAGUUGUAGAUAUUAGUGAGAUAGGAUUAGAUUAUGUGGGAGCUAUUUACUAUUUUGCAAAAUUAACCAAAUUAGAUUUUGUUAUACUUUUUUCCUCCCCUUGCUGGUACUACUUUGUAUCCACUGUACAACUUUUUGAUAUAUUUUUUCCUCAACAUGGAAUGCUUUUACUAAGUACAAAAAAAAUAGUUUUAUCUUCUGUGUUUUCGGAUUUCUGUGUUUUGGGAUUUUUGUGUCGUCUGUUUGGACAACUCAAUAAAAACGUGAAAAGAAGAGAAAUGAACAUUAAAUUGCUGAAGGUUUAUAAUUUAUUCAUGGUCUUUAAAUUAAAGGGACACUAUUGGCACCCAGACAAUUUAUUCUCAUUGAAGUGGUCUGAUUUCCCUGUCCCUGCCCCCCUUAACAUUGUAUUAGAUAAAUUACAAUGUUUACAUUGCAGUGCCAAGAUUGCCUCUAGUGUGUUCUGCAGGGUUCUUCUCAAUGGUUCCAGGGCCCAGCAAAGUAUGGGGUACAGACCUCUUGGGGACCAUGCUUUGGGCCAAUGUAGGCAACAGGAUUCAAGCUGAGUGUUUAAUCUCUUGUGUUGGCAACUCGGCUUGUGUUGCUUUAAGUUUCAGGCAGGAGAUGCCACCUGCUCCUCCGCUAUUUUUGAGCUUUUUGCAUCUUUAAUACUGGGUGACUAGGAUGAGAGCGUUGGGACGAUACCAUAGGUGAGUAGUCGCUUUUUGCUUAGAAGUGCUUCUUCUGAGUGCCAGUUUUCUCCAAGAUUCAGCGAAUAUGCUGUCCAGUCUGGACUCCAAAUCAGGCAUCUCACUGCAGCAGUCGCAUGAACACAUGGCAUCAGCCAUGUUGUGUGUCAUUGGAUUGGCAAUCUGUAUUCUUUCUUGCUUCAUGUGUGCGGUUUCCCAAUGUUUUGCCUUUUAGGAGGCAACCUGGAUCAACCCCACUGGUCUUCGGGGGGUGGGGGUAGGAGUACAGUGAGUCUGUAUCGCUAAUGUUAGAAUAAAGAGAGCGGCCGCCUCUCCCUGCUCCACCACCCGCAGGCCGCGGCAAGCCACCUCAGGCUCCGGUUUGCAUAAAUGCUUGAGCAACAUGUCGUUAAGUUCACCUGGGCUCCCCUAUCUCAGGUAAUGCCCUAUGGUGUAUUUAUUGGCUUAGUACCUCUUAAUAUACCCGAGAAAUCCGCCGAUUUUUCGGGAGAAACAUAGAAACAUAGAAUGUGACGGCAGAUAAGAACCAUUCGGCCCAUCUAGUCUGCCCAAUUUUCUAAAUACUUUCAUUAGUCCCUAGCCUUAUCUUAUAGUUAGGAUAGCCUUAUGCCUAUCCCACGCAUGCUUAAACUCCUUUACUGUGUUAACCUCUACCACUUCAGCUGGCAGGCUAUUCCAUGCAUCCACUACCCUCUCAGUAAAGUAAUACUUCCUGAUAUUAUUUUUAAACCUUUGUCCCUCUAAUUUAAGACUAUGUCCUCUUGUUGUGGUAGUUUUUCUUCUUUUAAAUAUAGUCUCCUCCUUUACUGUGUUGAUUCCCUUUAUAUAUUUAAUUGUUUCUAUCAUAUCCCCCCUGUCUCGUCUUUCCUCCAAGCUAUACAUGUUAAGAUCCUUUAACCUUUCUUGGUAAGUUUUAUCCCGCAAUCCAUGAACCAGUUUAGUAGCCCUUCUCUGAACCCUCUCUAAGGUAUCAGUAUCCUUCUGAAGAUACAGUCUCCAGUACUGUGUACAAUACUCCAAGUGAGGUCUCACCAGUGUUCUGUACAAUGGCAUGAGCACUUCCCUCUUUCUACUGCUAAUACCUCUCCCUAUACAACCAAGCAUUCUGCUAGCAUUUCCUGCUGCUCUAUUACAUUGUAUGCCUACCUUUAAGUCAUCAGAAAUAAUCACCCCUAAAUCCCUUUCCUCAUUUGUUGAGGUUAGGACUCUAUCAAAUAUUCUGUACUCUGCCCUUGGGUUUUUACGUCCAAGAUGCAUUAUAUUGCACUUAUCCGCAUUAAAUGUCAGUUGCCACAGUUCUGACCAUUUUUCUAGUUUACCUAAAUCAUUUGUCAUUUGGCUUAUCCCUACUGGAACAUCAACCCUGUUACAUAUCUUAGUAUUAUCAGCUAAAAGACAUACCUUACCAUCAAGACCUUCUGCAAUAUCACUAAUUAAAAUAUUAAAGAGAAUGAGUCUGCUCAGCUUGUAAGUCAGGCUCUGCCCCCCUGUGUUCCUUUAAUUUUAAACUAACAUAGUGUACUGCUUUUAAUUGAAUUUCAAAUAUGUAAGUCUCUUUAUAUUACUAAAAUCAAUGUUUUGGUUUCAUUCUGUUUUCUUUCAGUGCCUGGAUUAAUCGGAUCUCAGAAUAUCACUUUGAGUAAUAACAGUACAACGAAUACCCUCAGUGUGAACUGGAUAAACCCAGGAGGAAAAGUGGAUAAUUACACAGUAACUCUGAGUGGAGACGUCAAUAGAAAAAUCACAACUAAUUCUACACAAGUGAAUUUCACAGACUUACUGCCAGGCAGAAACUACUCCAUCACUAUACAGACAGUUAGUAGUAACUGCAGCCAGUCAGCAGGUCCAGUGAUAGAGGCAACAUGUGAGUAUGGUGGGAUCAUUGGAGCAGAGCUAUAUAUUUAUGUGGAAACAGCGGAGUACAUACUGUGGUCGCAGGGGUCGAGGCUGCGACCGGGCCCAUCACUCCAGGGACCCCUGUGACCGGGUAUCCAGCGCCAUCAUGUUCUGCGGCCCCGGCCCACGCGGCAAACCGCCGGGGCCGCCGUCCAAGGUGUCCAUCGGGUGGCCCAUGCUGUCAGGGCCAACCGAUAGAUGUGGAUUGUCAGGGGGCCCGGUCAGCGCUGGGCGCUUUAACAACACGACCGGGCCCCCUGUGAUGACAUCACAAGCUGGGAGGAAGUGACCGCUCGUCACUCCUCCCAGCUAACACUGAGAGCCGCGCAGGAGGAAGAACAGGGAGUCAGAGUGGGAACUCUGACUCCCAUCCACCUGAGCCACCACUGGACCCCAGGAAAAGUCACCCUCCUGCACCUUAAAGGUAGGAAACAGGAGGGUGACUUAAACAUUUUGUGUGUGUGUAUGUUUGUAUGUAUGUAUGUAUGUGUGUGCCUGUCUGCAUGUAUGUGUGUCUCUGUUUGUGUGUGUGUCUGCCUCUUUGUAUGUAUGUGUGUGCCUGUCUGUGUAUGUAUGUGUGUCUGUCUGUUUGUGUGUGUGUGUGUCUGUAUGUGUGUAUGUGUGCCUGUCUGUUUUUUAUGUAUGUGUCUUUGUAUGUAUCGUGUGUGUGUCUGUUUGUGUGCAUGUCUGUCUCUCUGUAUGUGUGUGUGUGUGUCUGUAUGUGUGCCUGUCUGUUUGUAUGUAUGUGUCUGUGUGCCUGUAUGUGUGCCUGUCUGUUUGUAUGUAUGUGUCUGUGUGUCUAUAUGUGUGCCUGUCUGUUUGUAUGUAUGUGUCUGUGUGCCUGUCUGUCUGUCGGUCUGUUUGUAUGUGUCUGUGUGUGUCUGUCUGUAUGUAUAUAUGUGUGCCUGUCUGUUUGUAUGUAUGUGUCUGUGUGGGGGGGAAAUGGGGAGGGGGGGGGCCCAUGGAUCAUUUUAGCACCGUUUGUGUGUACGCCACUGUGUGGAAAUCAUACAAAUUGAAUCCUAGUAAACCUUUUAGUAUGAUUUGUAUUCAGAUGCUAAAUUUAGAUUUUUUUUGAAUUUUAGGGGUUAUUCCUUAAGCAGUGGAUCUUGCACAAAACCCGAUUCUAUAACAAUUGUUUAGAUGUGUUUUGACAAUCUAAUUUACAGCAUUAUAAUCAGAGAUUUAUUAACAACUGCAUGGAGGCAGAUGAUAAACCGAAGGCAUCUGAAAGGGUGCAUGCUCACACAUUAUCAAUUACUUGUUUUUUGUAGCAGGGUUAAUUAUGUGGGGGCUGAUCAACAUUUGGUAGCCAGCCACCAUAUGAAAAUAGUAAAAAAAGAAAAAUAAUUAAAUAAUUAAAAAUCUUAUGGAGUCAAUAAAACCCCCAUACUGCUAUUAUGGAGGUUGUAAACCUCCAUAUGCUCCAACUUGCAAACUCCCAUAUGGGGGCUUGUUGCCUAAACCUUACAAAAAUGGUGAUGUGGCCUGCAAAAAAUAAAGUGGGAUGAUAGUCCCACUAAUGCACCCACUCAUGGGUAUCUGGUGGAGGCUACUUUAAAAAUUAAUGGUGCAUGAUGCCGUGUUCCUCCCACCCAUGGGCAGCAGGAGGGGGUCCUAAUAUUAAUACUAAAGGGGCAGGACCUCUUGUCCACUUACUCUGGCCCCCAUCCAUGGGCAGCAGAUGUGGGCACAAAUUAAGUAUAAAAUUAUAGAAAUCGCCCAGGUGGCUAGGGGUGCGAAGUCUUCUUUCUUCUAAUUCCUCUGUUCUUCAGCCCUAAAUAAAAAUCCAGAAUACCCGACACCACUAAUUAAAAUAAAUAAAGGCCUGAUCAGAAAAAAAAAAACUUGAAGGGAUCAAAGCACGUUGCAAAAACAAAUGGAGGGCUCGUCCCAGACUGAACUCAGAUACCGCUGAAAACGCUUAUAUAGGUGUGGAAAGAUUUCCGGUACUUUGCAAUAUGACCACGAGUUCUCUGAUUGGUAGUCUCAAGAGAAUUUCCAGUAGGCAAACAGUUUGGAUUUUGGAAAUAUCCAGGCCCAAAUUUAACAGUUAAAACCAAUGGGGCCAAAUGUAAUUAUUUCACUCCGAAUUCAAUCCAACAGGCAGUGUUUCGUCCGGCUGAUACCCAGACCUAAUUCGAGCCCAUUUGUGAGGUGAUUUACAGUAUCUGCACUUUGAUGAAAUUAAUGAACAGUUUCCAGAUUUUGCAGUAUGAAUAACCUCAUAAAGAAAUGGAUGGUUUAGCCCCAUUCAGUACUUGCUCAUUGUGACAUUAGCGAAUAACCCUGUUUGUUAUUAAAAUAUUGAUUCCUGUAACAAUUUUCUAUAUAUUUUUUAUUUUUUUAUAGAUCCGACCCCGCCAUUUUCUUUAAGCUUAACUAGCAGCGGAACAAACAACAUUUCAUUGUCCUGGGGAGAACCAGUGAAUAUGACCAAUAUAUCAAAAACCUUUAAUAUAACUUACAGCAAUUCUUCAUCCUCUUGGACUGCGACAGUAAACUCAUUAAGUGCCACCCUUCAGAACCUCACAUCUGGGACUAAUUACACAAUCACUGUAGUAACAGUUGGUGCUCGGCAGUAUCAGAGUUCUCCAGUGACCAUAUCAGCGUUCACAAGUAGGUUUACACGGUGAUGUAUUUGUUUUACACUGUGCUAGGCGAGGUCCAGCUGAGUCAAUGCACCCCCCCAGUAUACCCACACAUAACAUAUCAACCUAUAUUUAGCCACUCAUGCAUUAAGUUGUUUGGAUAAAAAGUCGACAUUUUCUUUAAGGUAGUAUGUUUUAAAGUGUGUUCUUCAUUUAUUUUUGUAUUAGGAAAAUUACUAAAAAAAAAAACUUUUUCAAACAUAAUUUUCUUAUAAAAUGAUUUAUAUCCAAAAAUGAUUCGAAUUUGUUAAUGUCACAACUUGGAGCAUAUUUGAAACCUUUAUUUAAAACUUGUUUAUGUGAAUUAGUUAAAAAAAAAUCCUGACAAAUUAAAAAUUUCUACACUCUGCUCUUUUUCUUUAAAACAUAUCUCCUCCAUAUUUUUACUUCUCUUCUCUUCUUUUCUAUUUUCUAUUUCCCCCUCUUCUAGUUCCCUGUGUCUUUUUAUUGGGGAAUAUACUUUCCCUUUUCUCUCUGUCAUUUGGGGUAAAUCCUGAUCUAAAUUUCUAAAUCUUUCAAAACGAAUAGUAUAGUGGAUUUUUUGCAUGCACAAAUCUGUACAGUUUUCGAGGAAAACAUUUCUUUUAUAUCAUUCUGCACUAUAAGGAAACAGAUUCCGCCAAAUAACUAGACAGUACUGGUAUUGCUAAGGAAUACAGUUGAAUGCAACUAGUAGUAACUGGAAUAUAUAAUUACAAAGAAUGCCCUCGAAAAAUAAUAAGAAAGUCAAACAAGGAGCCGUCUGUUGGCUCGAUUGUAUCUGUUUCUGACAAUAUAAUCCUUGUCACAGGAUAUUAGCUGAAGAAUCACAAAAAGGUAUUUGUAGCAACAUUGGUACGUCUUACAUUAUCUUCACAGCAUACGCAUCUCACAUGGAAUACAUAAAAAGGGGAUCCAACAGUGCAACUCAAUAGUGCAACUCACCCAGUGUGUAUAUAAAAAGAGAAUACAAUGCACUCACAAAUAAAGAGCUUCCAAUUCAGCUCUUAGUAAGAUCUUAAAGUGGUAUGAUCCCUGCUAACGCAUAUAACUUGUAAAGGAUGUUUCUCCGUAUUUUCCAAUGGGUAUAUAGUAAUAGAUGGAAAAAAAGGAGAAUAGUGCUCUCUAUUUGUAUUGGAAAAUACAAUGUGUAAUUAAAAGUAAAUUGUACUCACAUUUAAAGGAGCAUAUACAUGCUCGUUGAAAUCAGCGUGGGUGGUACAAUCCCCACCUGGGAUAUCUAAGUAGAUAAAAUGCUGUGCUAUCAGCAGGUAUUUUCCAAGAAUGAUAAAAUAAUCAAGGAUAAAAUAAAAUAAAAAGCGGGACCAAAUAAAAUUAAAUAUGUUGAACAGCAAAAUCCACUUAAAUUAAAAUUUAAAAUUACAUUAUUUAUUUAAAAAAAAUAAAUAUAUAUAUAAUUUAAAAUUUUAAGUCAAGUGGAUUCCAUUGUUGCUUUUAUCUAUUGUACAGUGUUGCAGAAUAGGUUGGCGCUAUAUAAAUAAUUGUAAUUGUCAUGAACUAAGCUAUAACUUAUAAUAAAUCACGUUUUAUUUUCUCGCUCUAGAACCGAACGCAGUGAAACUCCCCAGAGACAAUGGCAAAACAUCAUAUUCUGUUUCCCUGAUGUGGGAUCAACCUGACGAGUACAAGGCUGAAUAUAAAUACAGAAUACUAACAGCAAAUUCAUCAUCUGUCGUGAUAAAUGAAAUUAUUGUGACAAAUCAAACUGUUAAUAUAACUAAUCUGACACCUGGGGAGACAUAUACAUUCACUGUAUUUACAAGAGCGGCUGAUAAUGUCACUGAAAGUCAAUCUGUCUCAUAUACAACCUGCACAGGUGAGUACAGACUGAUCUCUUUAGGGGGAGAAUUGUGGAUAUGGUCAUUAUAGCAGGUAAAGAGACUUAAAGUGUAUUGAAAAUAUGGUUUGAGGAUUUUCUCUGUCUUUCUUUUCUAUCCUAUUUUUCCUUUCGAUUUGUGUGAUUUCUAUUCUGAUUUGUUUCAGUUCCGGGUCUGGCUCAGAAUAUCACAGUAAAUAAUAAGAAUACUACUAAUUCACUCAGUGUGAACUGGACAAUACCAGCAGGGAAAGUGGAUAAUUACACCGUCACUCUGAAUGGAGACGUCAAUAAAAUAAUCACAACUAAUUCUACACAAGUGGAUUUCACAGACUUACUGCCAGGCAGAAACUACUCCAUCACUAUACAGACAGUUAGUAGUAACUGCAGCCAGUCAGCAGCUCCAGUGACAGAGGCAACAUGUGAGUAUGAUGGGAUCAUUGGGACAGAGCUAUUUGCUUAUAUGCAAAUCAUACACAUUAAAUAAAAUGUAGUGACACAAAUUAAGAUAUUCUAUCAUCUGUUUUCUGAUAUUAUUGGAUUAUUUUCAGAUGUUGGUUAUAAAAAUCUUUGUAUAAUUUUUUUUCUUCUUCUUUCAUAGAUCCGACCCCUCCAGCGUCCUUAAGCUUUACAAAUAUCGGAACAAAUGCCAUACCAUUGUCCUUGGGAGAACCAGUAAAUAUGACCAAUGUGACAAAGUCUUUCAAUAUAAUUUACAGCAAUUCUUCAUCCUCUUGGACUGUGACAGUAAACACGUUAAAUGUCACCCUUCAGAACCUCACGUCUGGGACUAAUUACACAAUUACUGUAGUAACAGUUGGUGCUCGGCAGUAUCAGAGUUCUCCAGUGACCAUAUCAGCGUUCACAAGUAGGUUUUCACAGUGAUUUUUUUUUUUUGACUGUUAUUUACAUCAAUUAUUUAAUUUUUUUUUUUAUUUAUUAUAUUUUUAUUUGAAUUUUUACUUCAAGUACAAGUAACAUGAAUAAGCAGUUCACAUAUAUCCAUGUAAAAUAACAACAUAAAAAAAACACCUUUAAACAUACUGUGCAAUCUAAUACUUAAGAGGGGCAUGUUUACAUUCUGGAUGAUCGGGGCAGAGUGGUUUAUGCAAUAAAUAUACUUUCUUUUAGACCGAUGAAUAAGCUCUAGAUUGUAUUAAACCAUUUCCAUUCCAUUUUGUCAAGGCUAUGUGGUGCAUAAGCCUUUAUAUAUGUACCACAGGAAUCUCAACCAAAAAUGUACGUCCAGAUGAAUAGAACAGAAACACAUUUACAAGGUGUAUAACCAUAGCAUCGAUCUUACACAAUACAUUUGCCCAGCACCAUAUAGGAUAAUUGUUGCUUCCCUUUUCUCACAGCUGCCAAAAUCAAAAAACAAGAAAAAAGAGAGUUUGGGGUAUUUACAUAGGUCCCAUAUACACAGAAAGCGUGUUAUGAAAACAAGGAAAAUCUAUACAUUGGCUGGCCAUCACAUAAUAAAAGAUAUAAUGUAUGUCUCGUUCAUCCACACUAAGUGACUGCCAUCACAGUGUAUUCAAUGUGCACGCCAGUGUGUAACUAUGGAUAUACUUUCAUGUAGUGCAUGAAGAACCCACUGACCCCCUAAUUUCUUCAGGUACGUGGACUGAAGUAUUGUGGGCAGUGUAUAACCACUCUAAUCGUUCCCCUGUGUAUAUAGCUCCCAAGGGUGCCAAGUCGAGUGGAACAGAUGGUAUUUGCCUAAGUUGGACAUUCUCAGUUCCUCCAUCUUGUGUAUAUUAUCUAUUUUGAGGAACCAGUCUCUCCUUAAGGGUCUGGUCUGGGAUUUCCAAUUCCCCGCUAUUACUGUCUUUGCUGUCGACAGGAGAUAGUACAAGAGUUAACGUUUAAAUUUGUUUUGAGAAAUUGGAAUGUGAAAGAAAAGUAGCGUCUCUGGUUUAAACGCCAGGGGUACUUUGCUAAGUUGUUCAGUUACUCGCGCCACUUCCCGCCAGAAGCCCACUACCCCUCUGCAGUGCCACCAUAUAUGUUGAUAUGUUCCCUAUUCCUUCCCGCAUCUCCAACAAAAGGGAGAGUAUUGUGAAUUAUAUUUGUUGGCAUCUACUGGUGUGAUAUACCAUUUUGUGAGAAAUUUGAAGUUAGUCUCUUGCAAUGGUAUGUUUGGGUGGGUUUUCAGCAUUUUCUUGAGAAUAUGGGACCAGUUGAAGUCAUCUAAUGGAGUAGAGAGCCAACUAUGCGAGGCUUUAGUGUACCAUGGAAGAUUUGCAUUCCCUGAUAAUUGUAGCAUUUGGUAGCAUUUAGAUAUUAUUUUCUUUGAUAUGGGUUUUGUGCAUAUUUUUUUCAAAGGUUGUUUCUUCUCUAGGUGACCAAUUUAGUAACUUCUCUUUACUCAGAAAGUGUUUGAGUUGAUAGUAUUGGAGUGUUUGCAACAUGGUCUGGUUUUUGGAGUCUGAGAGGUCCUUCAGGAGUUUCAACCCUUCGGACCCCAUAACCUCACCUAGUUCUAUGUAUUUCUCUUUCGACGGGAUCGCCCCUGAGGGACCCAGAAUAUAUCCUAAGUCCAUAUGGAAUAAUGGGUUGUGUGAUAUUGGGUAUUUGAUAGGUAUUGUGUUGAGUAAAUAUAAUAUGCGUGGGAGUAUAGUCAUCGUAAUGAUGUUGAUACGUCCCAUCCACCUAAAAUGUGGUUUAUCCCACGCUUCUAAAUCCGACCUUAUUGAGGAAAUCAGGCUUGGGAAGUUGGCUGAGUAUAGUGUGUGGGGAGAAUUAGUUAUCUGUACCCCCAGAUAUUUAAUGGAGGUUGUAGCCCACAUGAAUGGGUAGGAGCUUUGUAGUCUUAUAACUUGGUUUGUAGGGACAUUUAUAUUUAGGAUUUCACAUUUCUCUAUAUUGAUUUUAAAGUUGGUGAGAUCACUAUAUCUGUUUAAAACAUUCAUUAAGGAGGGCAGACUUGUCAUGGGAUUUUCGAUGGUAAAUAGAAAGUCAUCCGCGAAUGCUGAUACUUUAUAUUCCCUAUUCCUUACUUUAAUGCCUCGUAUGUCAGAUCUUCUGCAUACUUCCUGUAAGAGGGGCUCUAGAGUCAAGAUAAAUAAGAGGGGUGAUAGGGGGCAACCUUGGCGGGUACCAUUGCUGAUCUUGAAAGGCCUAGAUAGUUGCCCAUUCACCUUCAACCGCGCAGUUGGAGCUGAAUAGAUUGCCUUGAUCCAUGUGAGCCAUCUAUUCCCAAAGCCCAGAGCUUCUAAAGUGAGUAUAAGGAAUGACCAGUCCACCCUGUCGAAGGCCUUCUCCGCGUCUAUUGAUAACAUGAGAGAAGGUGUCCGGGAUUUAGAGGCUAAAUGUAUCAGGUUGAUAAUUUUGGUAGUGUUGUCUUUUGCUUCUCUUGCUGGGACAAAGCCGGCCUGGUCAGGGUGGACUAGUUCUGUCAGAAACAUAGAAACAUAGAAUGUGACGGCAGAUAAGAACCAUUCGGCCCAUCUAGUCUGCCCAAUUUUCUAAAUACUUUCAUUAGUCCCUAGUCUUAUCUUAUAGUUAGGAUAGCCUUAUGCCUAUCCCACGCAUGCUUAAACUCCUUUACUGUGUUAACCUCUACCACUUCAGCUGGAAGGCUAUUCCAUGCAUCCACUACCCUCUCAGUAAAGUAAUACUUCCUGAUAUUAUUUUUAAACCUUUGUCCCUCUAAUUUAAGACUAUGUCCUCUUGUUGUGGUAGUUUUUCUUCUUUUAAAUAUAGUCUCCUCCUUUACUGUGUUGAUUCCCUUUAUAUAUUUAAAUGUUUCUAUCAUAUCCCCCCUGUCUCGUCUUUCCUCCAAGCUAUACAUGUUAAGAUCCUUUAACCUUUCCUGGUAAGUUUUAUCCCGCAAUCCAUGAACCAGUUUAGUAGCCCUUCUCUGAACCCUCUCUAAGGUAUCAAUAUCCUUCUGAAGAUAGGGUCUCCAGUACUGUGUACAAUACUCCAAGUGAGGUCUCACCAGUGUUCUGUACAUGAGCACUUCCCUCUUUCUACUGCUAAUACCUCUCCCUAUACAACCAAGCAUUCUGCUAGCAUUUCCUGCUGCUCUAUUACAUUGUCUGCCUACCUUUAAGUCAUCAGAAAUAAUCACCCCUAAAUCCCUUUCCUCAUAUGUUGAGGUUAGGACUCUAUCAAAUAUUCUGUACUCUGCCCUUGGGUUUCACGUCCAAGAUGCAUUAUCUUGCACUUAUCCACAUUAAAUGUCAGUUGCCACAAUUCUGACCAUUUUUCUAGUUUACCUAAAUCAUUUGUCAUUUGGCUUAUCCCUCCUGGAACAUCAACCCUGUUACAUAUCUUAGUAUCAUCAGCAAAAAGACAUACCUUACCAUCAAGACCUUCUGCAAUAUCACUAAUAAAAAUAUUAAAGAGAAUGGGUCCAAGUACAGAUCCCUGAGGUACCCCACUGGUGACAAGUCCAAGCUUCGAAUAUAUUCCAUUAACUACAACCCUCUGUUGCCUGUCACUCAGCCACUGCCUUACCCAUUCAACAAUAUUGGAAUCCAAACUUAAAGAUUGCAGUUUAUUGAUAAGCCUUCUAUGUGCAACAGUGUCAAAAGCCUUACUGAAAUCUAGGUAAGCAAUGUCUACUGCACCACCCUGAUCUAUAAUUUUAGUUACCCAAUCAAAAAAAAAAAUCAAUAAGAUUAGUUUGGCAUGAUCUCCCUGAAGUAAACCCAUGUUGUCUCUGAUCUUGAAAUCCAUGUGUUUUUAGAUGUUCAUCAAUCCUAUUCUUUAACAUGGUUUCCAUCACUUUCCCCACUACUGAAGUAAGGCUUACUGGCCUAUAGUUGCCUGACUCCUCCCUAUUACCUUUCUUGUGAAUGGGCACAACAUUAGCUAACUUCCAAUCUUCUGGGACUACUCCUGUUAACAAUGAUUGGUUAAAUAAAUCUGUUAAUGGUUUUGCUAGUACACCACUAAGCUCUUUUUAAUAGCUUUGGGUGUAUUCCAUCAGGUCCCAUUGACUUAUUUGUCUUUACUUUUGACAGUUGAAAUAGAACCUCUUCCUCUGUAAACUCACGUGUAAUAAAUGACUCAUUUAUCUUUUUUCUCAACUGAGGUACCUUUCCUUCAUUUUCAUCUGUAAAUACAGAACAAAAAUAUUAAUUGAGGCAGUCAGCUAGACCUUUAUCCUCUUCUACAUACCUUCCUUCUUUUGUUUUUAAUCUAACUAAUCCUUGUUUUACUUUUCAUUUCUCAUUUAUGUAUCUAAAAAUGUUUUAUCCCCUUUUUUACUGACUGUGCUAUUUUCUCUUCUGUGUGUGAUUUGGAAGCUCUUAUAACUUGCUUAGCCUCUUUCUGCUUAAUCUUAUAGAUCAUUUUGUCUUCCUCACUCUGGGUUUUUUUGUAAUUCCUAAAUGCUAACUUUUUGUUUUUAACUAUUUUGGCCACAUCUGCGGAGUACCACAGUGGUUUCUUGAAUUUUUUGCUUUUACUGACAAACCUAAUGCAAUUUUCUGUUGCCUUCAAUAGUGCAACUUUUAAAUAAUCCCAUUUCUCUUGGACUCCAUUUAAAUUGUUCCAGUCUGAUAAUGACUCCUCUACCCAUAUUCUAAUUUUAGAAAAGUCUGUUUUUCUAAAGUCUAAAACUUUUGUUUUUGGGUGGUGUGACUCAGUCACUGUUCUUAUAUUAAACCACACUGACUGAUGAUCACUGGAUCCUAAACUUUCACCUACAGUAACAUCUGAUACCAAAUCUCAAUUUGUUAACACUAAAUCUAGUAUGGCCUCUUUACGAGUUGGCUCCUCAACAACUUGUUUUAGAGACAAUCCCAGUAGGGAGUUUAGAAUAUGUGUGCUCCUGGCACAAGUAGCUAAUUUUGUUUUCCAAUUUACAUCAGGAAGAUUAAAGUCACCCAUGAUGAUAACUUCCCCUUCAUUGUCAUUUUAGCUAUUUCCUCAACUAGUAGAUUAUCUAACUCUUCAAUUUGUCCUGGGGGCCUAUAAAUCACACCUACACGAGUUACUGUGUGAUUACCAAAUUCUAACGUAGCCAAAACGGACUCUAUGUUUGCCUCACUAGCUUUUAUUAGGCUAGAUUUUAUGCUAUCCUUCACAUACAAGGCCACCCCUCCCCCUUUCUUGCCUUCCCUAUCUUUCCUAUAUAAAGAGUACCCUGGUAUUGCUAUGUCAGUCAUUUUUCUCAUUAUACCAUGUCUCAGUAACAGCGACUAAAUCUACACUAUCAGUUGCCAUUAUUGCCACAAGUUCUUGGAUCUUAUUCCCUAAACUGCGAGCAUUUGUAGACAUGACUCUAAGCUUAUCAUUUUUUAACACACUUGCUACAGGCACCUUCUGUCCUUGUUUUGGGGGACAAUUGGAUUGAUGUUUUAUCACCCUUUUGCCCCCCCCUCCUAGUUUAAAUACAUCCUAGCAAAACCUCUGAACUGCUCACUGAGAACAUUUGUUCCCUUUUGAGAAAGAUGCAAACCAUCUUUUUUGUACAGCUUAUCUCCAUUCCAAACAGAGCUGCCAUGAGAAAUAAAGCCAAAUCCUUGCUCCCGACACCAUUCACCAAGCCACAAAUUAAAGUCCCUAAUACGCAUCCGCCUGUCGUUUUGAGUGUUAUGCACAGGCAGAACUUCAGGGAAUGACAGUGUGGAAGCAACCUGCCAUAUAUCAUUGGCAAAAACACUAAAAACUUCCUUAACCUCUGAAACCUCAUUGCAAGCCAAGUCAUUUGUCCCUAGAUGGAUAAGUACAUCCAAUUCCCCUUCCUGCUUUGCUUGCUUAACAAUAUUACAGAUACGUCUCCUGUCUCUGUGAGCAGUAGCUCCGGGAAGACACCUCACAAGACCACCAUUGUCCAUCUCCACACCUCUUAUAAUGGAAUCCCCCAACAACAACAGCUUUCUAUUAGGCCUCACCAUAGUCUCCAAGUCGGUCUCCACAACACCACUAGUCUGAGUGCCUCUCUCCACAAUACCACUAGCCUCAGUGCCUCUCUCCACAACACCACUAGCCUCAGUGCCUCUCUCCACAACACCACUAGCCUCAGUGCCUCUCUCCAUAACACCACUAGCCUCAGUGCCUCUCUCCACAACACCACUAGCCUCAGUGCCUCUCUCAGGAAGGGCCUCAGCCUAGAUGCCAUCAUUUUGGUGAGAAUCUUGACGUCCACAUUUAUGAGCGAUAUAGGUCUAUAGCUCGCGCACCUCUCUAGGUCUUUCCCUGGUUUAGGCAAAAGGGUUAUGGACACCUCUAGUGUUUGUUGGGGUAUUGUAUGUCCUGAUGGGAUGGAAUUUAUUGCCUCUAGAAAGUGACCCAUUAGUUUCUUUUGGAAUGUCUUAUAAUAUAUGGCUGAAAAUCCAUCUGGGCCUGGGCUUUUGUUAAGGGGGGCUUGUUUAAUGGCCAUCUGUAAUUCAGCCAAGAAGAAUGGCUGGCUCUUCUAGAGAUCUGGUGGCCGCCGCAGGUAGAGUAGUGUCAAAUUUGUCUGCUAGAUAUGACGUGAUUUCCUCGAUUUUGGGGGCCCUGUUCUGUAAGUUGUAUAAGGUGGUGUAGUAUUCUCUGAAGGACUCUGCUAUGUCCUCUGUGGUGGAUGCUAACGUGUUAUUGGCACGUUUUAUCCUAGGAAUGUAAGUCUGAGAUUGCUUUUGUUUCAGAGCUUGAGCAAGUAAUUUGCCACUCCUGUUUCCCUGAGAGUAAUAUAAGUGUUUGGUCCAUAGUAGGGCCUUUUUAGCAUUGUCUAGGAGGAGUGAGUGGAGUUCCUUUCUUAAUGCUAUAAGUGCUCGGAAUAUGGGAUCUGUAGGGUUAUGUUUGUGUGUUUCCUCUGUUGUUCGGAUCUCCCCCAGUAACUCUGCGAUCCGUUUGUGUUUGUUUUUUUGGGUUUGUGCGCCCCAUUUUAUUAGUUCCCCCCGAAUCUUCUCAGUGAUUUAUUUAUGUUUGACACUGCACUGGGUCCAGUUGAGCCAAUGCACCCCCCAGUAUUCUCACACAUAACAUAUCAAUCAUUCACAUGCCUAUAUUUAGCCACUCACGCAACAGUUUUGUCAUACAUUCACAAAUAAACAAGAUACAAAGAUAAACAUACAAGUUUGGUCUUGCUGUUUUAUACAAAAUGCUGAAAUAGACAAGCACACACAGACAUGCACAAACACAAAAAUACAGACACACAAAGAUUACCUAUUCUCACCCACCCCCUUGUUUCCUUCUCAUAUCCCACAUUUUAUCACCCCUUCCUCCCAUCUCUCUCUGUCUUGGUUGCUGUAGUGACAUGGUGCUAUUUGCAUACGAGAAAUAUUGCAUAGCUUCACAGAAGACUCAUCCUACAUUUUCCAUUCACGAGUGUCACCCAUUACUGCUCAUGUCUAGAGUCAGUAUUCCCAGGAAAUGUAUAGCUUGACCACAGCUAUAAAGGCACAACCAUUCUCUUCCCCCUUUAGCAUACAGUUCUAAACCUCAGCAUCAAGGAACAUUCAGAGCAUCAAAACAACUUAAAUGCAUCUCGUAUCAUCUGGCAUUAAUAGUGUUGUGUAUUUUUUGCAUGUGCAAAUGUGUACAGUUUUUGCAGAAAAACGGAAAUAUUUUGUAUCAUUCUGCACUGUUAGAAAACAGGUUGCGCCAAAUAACUACACAGUACUGGUAUUGCUAAGGAAUACAGUUGUAUGCAAGUAGUAGUAACUGGAAUCUAUAAUUACAAAGAAUGCCCUCGAAAAACCAUAAGAAAGUCAAACAAGGAACCGUCUGUAGGUUUGAUUGUAUCUGCUUCUGACAAUAUAAUCCUUGUCACAGGGUAUUAGGUGAAGAAUCAGAACAAGGUCUUUGUAGCGACACUGGUACGUCUUACAUUAUCUUCACAGCAUACGCAUCUCACAUGGAAUACAUAAAAAGGGGAUCUCAAUAGAACAAACCCAGUGUGUAUAUAAAAAGAGAAUAAAAUGCACUCACAAACAAAGAGCUUCCAAUUCAGCUCUUAGUAAGAUCUUAAAGUUGAAUAAUCCCUGCUCACGGAUAUAAUUUGUAAAGGAUGUUCCUCUGUAUUUUCCAAGGGUAUAUAGUAAAAGAUAGAAAUAAGGAGAAUAGUGCUCUCUGUAUUGGAAGAUAAAAUAUGUAAGUAAAAUAAAUUGUACUCACAUUUAAAGGAGCAUAUACAUGCUUGUUGGAAUCAGCGUGGGUGGUACAAUCCCCACCUGGAAUAUGUAAGUUGAUCAAAUGCAGCACUGUCAGCAGGUAUUUUUCAAAAAUUAUAAAAUAAUGAAGGAUAAAAUUAAAUAAAAAGUAGGACCAGAUAAAAUUAAAUAUGUUGAAUGGUAAAAUUCACUUUAAUGAAAAUUUUAAAUUACAUUGUUGUUUUUUUAAAUAAAAAUUUUUUUACCAAACAAAUAUUAAACGAUAAAUGCAUUAAAUACUUAACAAAUGGUUAAAAUCACAACACAUUUGGCAGAGAUGGCUUUUUUAAGUGACAAAGCUAUCUGGGCGAAACGCGUCGUGAUUUUAGCAGAUUGUUAAGUUUUUUUGUUUUAAUUCAAAAAAAAUAUUUAAAAAUAAUAAUUUCAUUUUAAAUUUUAAUUAAAGUGGAUUUUACCAUUCAAUAUUCAGUUUGGCUGGCUAUUCUGGUUUAAGAUUUGAAAGUUACUUUGAAUUCCCCAAAGAUCUGUGCAGGUUUAGAGUAUUAAACAGUGUUUCACUUUGAGAUGAAUACCGAUAGCUGAAUUGCCGUUACGCCCAACUGCAGGCCCUGUCUGCAAGAUAGAAGCUCAAUUCGCCAGUUGCCAGCAUGCAAUGCUGUCUGUCGACAGACGUAUUUUAUGCACAAUAUUGACAUUAGGCAGCCCGGGUUUAACUAGCACUAAAGUACGGAGAUCUCAGUAUGUGCAGUGCUGCAGAAAUGCUGCACAUACACACUCCUACAACCAUGACCACUUCAAAUCACUAAAAUACUAAGGGUGGCUGGGCUUUUAUUGUUGGUCUUUUUAAUCUAUUGUACAGUGCUGCAGAAUAUGUUGGCGCUAUAUAAAUAAUUGUAAUUGUCAUGAACUUAGCUAUAACUUGAAAGAAAAUCAUGUUUUAUUUUCUCGCUCUAGAACCAAACACAGUGAAACUCCUCAGAGACAAUGGCAAAACAUCAUAUUCUGUUUCCCUGAUUUGGGAUCCACCUGACGAGUACAAGGCUGAAUAUAAAUACAGAAUACUAACAGCAAAUUCAUCAUCUGUCGUGAUAAAUGAAAUUAUUGUGACAAAUCAAACUGUUAAUAUAACUAAUCUGACACCCGGAGUAACAUAUACAUUCACUGUAUUUACAAGAGCGGCUGAUAAUGUCACUGAAAGUCAAUCUGUCUCAUAUACAACCUGCACAGGUGAGUACAGACUGACCUCUCUAGGGGGAGAAUUGUGGAUAUGGUCAUUAUAGCAGGUAAAGGGGACUUCAAGUGUAUUGAAAAUAUGGUUUGAGGAUUUUCUCUCUCUUUCUUUUCUAUCCUAUUUUUCCUUUCGAUUUGUGUGAUUUCUAUUCUGAUUUUUUUCAGUUCCGGGUCUGGCUCAGAAUAUCACAGUAAAUAAUAAGAAUACUACUAAUUCACUCAGUGUGAACUGGACAAUACCAGCAGGGAAAGUGGAUAAUUACACAGUCACUCUGAGUGGAGACGUCAAUAAAAUAAUCACAACUAAUUCUACACAAGUGGAUUUCACAGAUUUACUGCCAGGCAGAAACUACUCCAUCACUAUACAGACAGUUAGUAGUAACUGCAGCCAGUCAGCAGCUCCAGUGAUAGAGGCAACAUGUGAGUAUGAUGGGAUCAUUGGGACAGAGCUAUUUGCUUAUAUGCAAAUCAUACACAUUAAAUAAAAUGUAGUGACACAAAUUAAGAUAUUCUAUCAUCUGUUUUCUGAUAUUAUUGGAUUAUUUUCAGAUGUUGGUUAUAAAAAUCUUUGUAUACUUUUUUUUCUUCUUCCUUCGUAGAUCCAACUCCUCCAGUGUCCUUAAACGUUACAAAUAUCGGAACAAACUACAUUUCAUUGUCCUGGGGAGAACCAGUAAAUAUGACCAAUGUGACAAAGUCUUUCAAGAUAAUUUACAGCAAUUCUUCAUCCUCUUGGACUGUGACAGUAAACACAUUAAAUGUCACCCUUCAGAACCUCACGUCUGGGACUAAUUACACAAUUACUGUAGUAACAGUUGGUUCUCUGCAGUAUCAGAGUUCUCCUGUGACCAUAUCAGCGUACACAAGUAGGUUUUCUCAGUGAUUUAUUUAUGUUUGACACUGCACUAGGUCCAGUUGAGCCAAUGCACCCCCCAGUAUACUCACACAUAACAUAUCAAUCAUUCACAUACCUAUAUUUAGCCACUCACGCAACAGUUUUGUCAUACAUUCACAAAUAAACAAGAUACAAAGAUAAACAUACAAGUUUGGUCUUGCUGUUUUAUACAAAAUGCUGAAAUAGACAAGCACACACAGACAUGCACACACACAAAAAUUCAGACACACAAAGAUUACCUAUUCUCACCCACCCCCUUGUUUCCUUCUCAUAUCCCACAUUUUAUCACCCCUUCCUCCCAUCUCUCUCUGUCUUGGUUGCUGUAGUGACAUGGUGCUAUUUGCAUACGAGAAAUAUUGCAUAGCUUCACAGAAGACUCAUCCUACAUUUUCCAUUCACGAGUGUCACCUAUUACUGCUCAUGUCUAGAGUCAGUAUUCCCAGGAAUUGUAUAGCUUGACCAGAGCUAUAAAGGCACAACCCUUCUCUUCCCCCUUUAGCAUACAGUUCUAAACCUCAGCAUCAAGGAACAUUCAGAGCAUCAAAACAACUUAAAUGCAUCUCGUAUCAUCUGGCAUUAAUAGUAUUGUGUAUUUGUUGCAUGUGCAAAUGUGUACAGUUUUUGCAGAAAAAAGGAAAUAUUUUGUAUCAUUCUGCACUGUUAGAAAACAGGUUGCGCCAAAUAACUACACAGUACUGGUAUUGCUAAGGAAUACAGUUGUAUGCAAGUAGUAGUAACUGGAAUCUAUAAUUACAAAGAAUGCCCUCGAAAAACCAUAAGAAAGUCAAACAAGGAACCGUCUGUAGGUUUGAUUGUAUCUGCUUCUGACAAUAUAAUCCUUGUCACAGGGUAUUAGGUGAAGAAUCAGAACAAGGUCUUUGUAGCGACACUGGUACGUCUUACAUUAUCUUCACAGCAUAUGCAUCUCACAUGGAAUACAUAAAAAGGGGAUCUCAAUAGAACAAACCCAGUGUGUAUAUAAAAAGAGAAUAAAAUGCACUCACAAACAAAGAGCUUCCAAUUCAGCUCUUAGUAAGAUCUUAAAGUUGAAUAAUCCCUGCUCACGGAUAUAAUUUGUAAAGGGUGUUCCUCUGUAUUUUCCAAGGGUGUAUAGUAAAAGAUAGAAAUACGGAGAAUAGUGCUCUCUGUAUUGGAAAAUAAAAUAUGUAAGUAAAAUAAAUUGUACUCACAUUUAAAGGAGCAUAUACAUGCUUGUUGGAAUCAGCGUGGGUGGUACAAUCCCCACCUGGAAUAUGUAAGUUGAUCAAAUGCAGCACUGUCAGCAGGUAUUUUUCAAAAAUUAUAAAAUAAUGAAGGAUAAAAUUAAAUAAAAAGUAGGACCAGAUAAAAUUAAAUAUGUUGAAUGGUAAAAUUCACUUUAAUGAAAAUUUUAAAUUACAUUGUUGUUUUUUUAAAUAAAAAUUUUUUUACCAAACAAAUAUUAAACGAUAAAUGCAUUAAAUACUUAACAAAUGGUUAAAAUCACAACACAUUUGGCAGACUUGGCUUUUUUAAGUGACAAAGCUAUCUGGGCGAAACGCGUUGUGAUUUAAACAGUGUUUCACUUUGAGAUGAAUACCGAUAGCUGAAUUGCCGUUACGUCCAACUGCAGGCCCUGUCUGCAAGAUAGAAGCUCAAUUCGCCAGUUGCCAGCAUGGAAUGCUGUCUGUCGACAGACGUAUUUUAUGCACAGUAUUGACAUUAGGCAGCCCGGGUGUAACUAGCACUAAAGUCAGUGGCGUCUCUAGGAUUCAUUUUUCGGGGGGGCACAUGGAGGGCCAGUGACAAAAGUAGGGGGGCACAUUUAACCCCGCCCUCGCCGCAGUUUGACCCCGCCCCUGUCACAUGUUAAGCCACGCCCCCGACACAAUGUGUUUUGUUUUUUUAAUAAUACCUGGUGGAGGAUUCAUUAUUUUCCACCAGGGAUUAUUAAAAAAACAAACACAUUAUCCUUGAUACAGUGCCAUAGUUGCCAACAUUUGAAAAAAAAAUUCCAAGGACAUUUUGCAGCACAGCUAUCAAUUACUGUCUGGGUAUAAUAUCCCUGGACAGUCAGUGCUCUCUGUAUAAUACAGGGUUGUGUGUAUAAUAAAUUGCGACACUCAGUGCUCCCUGUAUAGUGCUGCUCUCUGUAUAAUACAGGUCUGUUUGUGUAUAAUAUCCCAAGACAGAGAGCAGCACUAUACAGGAAGCACUGACUAUCCCAGGAUAUUUUAUACCCACAGAUCUGUAUUAUACAGAUAGCUGAGCAUAUACCCCAAUCUCUAGACUACUAGUACCUGUCAACAGCAGCUCCCAGGCGCGUGUAACAGGGCUAAAGUGUGCGGCAGCUCACACAGAUUAUUCAGCGGUAAAGUUCACUCGCUGGCAGAGCCAAACUGGGAGUCCCUGGGAAUCCAAAGCAGCCCUGGAAAAAAAAAAACGUAUGCCAUUCCUACAAGUCAAAAUAAAUAUAUAUAUAUAUAUAUAUAUAUAUAUAUAUAUAGUACAGUGAGCACACAAGCUCACUGACAUGCGCAAAUAGGCUUACUGACAGACAAAACUCCCUGACUCACACACAAGCUUACUACAGACACUCACUUGUAUAAACAGAAGGCUCACUACAAAGAAGUUCAGGGACACACACACAAGCUCACUAAAGACAAGCUCACUGACACACACAUGCUCACUAAAUAGAAGCUCACUGACACACACAAGCAGUACCAUUUUAACAGAGUUAAGGGCCCCUGGGCAAAGCAAUACACUGGGGCCCUUCCUACACAACAACUCACAGGAAUUUUAAUUAUUGAUAGACUGCGGAGUCCAUACACACACACAGACUGCUGAGUCCAUACACACACACAGACUGCUGAGUCCAUACACACACACAGAUUGCUGAGUCCAUACACACACACAGACAGAUUGCUGAGUCCAUACACACACACACACACACACACACACAGAUUGCUGAGUCCAUACACACACACACACACACAGAUUGCUGAGUCCAUACACACACACACACAGACUGCCGAGUCCAUAUACAUACACACACAGACUGCUGAGUCCAUACACACACACAAACUGCUGAGUCCAUACACACACACACAGACUGCUGAGUCCAUACACACACACACAGACUGCUGAGUCCACACACACACACAGACUGCUGAGUCCAUAUACACACACACUGCUGAGUCCAUACACACACACACACUGCUGAGUCCAUACACACACACACACAGACUGCUGAGUCCAUACACACACACCCAGACUGCUGAGUCCAUACAGUGUGUGUGUAUGGGAAUAGUGUAUGUGUGUAGAGUGUAUGUGUAUGGGGGGCAGAGUGUGUGUAUGGGGGGCAGUGUGUGGGGCAAUGUGUGUGUAUGGGGGGCAGUGUGUGGGGCAAUGUGUGUGUAUGGGGGGCAGUGUGUGUGUGUAUAGAGGAGGCAGAAAUAUGGGGGAGCAAUGUGUGUAUAGGGGGGGCAGUGGAGCAAUGUGUGUGUAUGGGGAGCAGUGUCUGUGUGUGUAUAGUGUGUGUGUAUAGAGCUGUAUGGGGGCAGUGUGUGUAUGGGGGCUUGAGUGUGAGGGAAAUGUGUGUGUAUGAGGGGCAAUGUGUGUUAGUAGUGUGUGUGUAUAGGUGUGUAUAAGGGGGUAUGUGUGUCUAUGGGAGCAGUAUAUAAUAGAACAGUUGUAAUGUGUAUAGGGGGCAGUAUGGGGGACAGUGUGUGUCUAUGGGGGGCAGUGUGUGUGUGUGUGUAUGGGGGCAGUGUGUGUGUAUAGGGGGCAGUGUGUGUGCUAUGGGGGGCAGUGUGUGUGUGUGUAUAGGGGGCAGUGUGUGUGUGUAUGGAGCAGUAUGGGGACAGUGUGUAUGGUGUAUGGGGGGCAGUAUGGGGACAGUGUGUGUAUGGGGGCUAUUAUGGGGGGCAGUGUGUGUGUAUGGGAGGCUGUAUGGGGGGCAGUGUGUGUGUAUGGGGGGCAAUGUGUGUGUAUGGGGGGCAGGGUGUGUGUAUGGGAGGCUGUAUGGGGGGCAGUGUGUGUGUAUGGGAGGCUGUAUGGGGGGCAGAGUUUGUGUAGGGGGGCAGUAUUGGCGGCAAUGUGUGUGUAUGGGGGGGCAGUAUAGGGGGCAAUGUGAGUGGGGGGGCCCAAGGGGGGGCACAGCAUGAUGUAGGGGGGGCCAUGGCCCCCUCUGACCCCCCCCACUAGUGACGCCACUGAUCUCAGUAUGUACAGUACUGCAGAAAUGCUGCACAUACACACUCCUACAACCAUGACCACUUCAAAUCACUAAAAUACUAAGGGUGGCUGGGCUUUUAUUGUUGGUUUUCUUUAAUCUAUUGUACAGUGCUGCAGAAUAUGUUGGCGCUAUAUAAAUAAUUGUAAUUGUCAUGAACUUAGCUAUAACUUAAAGGAAAAUCAUGUUUUAUUUUCUCGCUCUAGAACCAAACGAAGUGAAACUCCUCAGAGACAAUGGCAAAACAUCAUAUUCUGUUUCCCUGAUUUGGGAUCAACCUGACGAGUACAAGGCUGAAUAUAAAUACAGAAUACUAACAGCAAAUUCAUCAUCUGUCGUGAUAAAUGAAAUUAUUGUGACAAAUCAAACUGUUAAUAUAACUAAUCUGACACCUGGGGAGACAUAUACAUUCACUGGAUUUACAAGAGCGGCUGAUAAUGUCACUGAAAGUCAAUCUGUCUCAUAUACAACCUGCACAGGUGAGUACAGACUGAUCUCUUUAGGGGGAGAAUUGUGGAUAUGGUCAUUAUAGCAGGUAAAGAGACUUAAAGUGUAUUGAAAAUAUGGUUUGAGGAUUUUCUCUCUCUUUCUUUUCUAUCCUAUUUUUCCUUUCGAUUUGUGUGAUUUCUAUUCUGAUUUGUUUCAGUUCCGGGUCUUGCUCAGAAUAUCACAGUAAAUAAUAAGAAUACUACUAAUUCACUUAGUGUGAACUGGACAAUACCAGCAGGGAAAGUGGAUUAUUUCACAGUCACUCUGAAUGGAGACGUCAAUAGAACAAUCACAACUAAUUCUACACAAGUGGAUUUCACAGACUUACUGCCAGGCAGAAACUACUCCAUCACUAUACAGACAGUUAGUAGUAACUGCAGCCAGUCAGCAGCUCCAGUGAUAGAGGCAACAUGUGAGUAUGAUGGGAUCAUUGGGACAGAGCUAUAUCUUUACGUGGAAAUCAUACAAACUGAGUUCUAGUAAACUUUUUUGCAUAAUUUUUAUUUAGAUAUCAUUGGAUUAUUUUCAGAAUAAUGAAAUAUGGAUUUCUUUAACUAAUUAUUUUGUUCUUGGUUUUCCAUAGAUCCAACCCUUCCAGUGUCCUUAAACGUUACAAAUAUCGGAACAAACUACAUUUCAUUGUCCUGGGAAGAGCCAGUAAAUAUGACCAAUGUGACAAAGUCUUUCAAUAUAAUUUACAGCAAUUCUUCAUCCUCUUGGACUGUGACAGUAAACACAUUAAAUGUCACCCUUCAGAACCUCACGUCUGGGACUAAUUACACAAUUACUGUAGUAACAGUUGGUGCUCGGCAGUAUCAGAGUUCUCCUGUGACCAUAUCAGCGUUCACAAGUAAGUUUUCACAGUGAUUUAUUUAUGUUUUACACUGCACUAGGUCCAGUUGAGCCAAUGCACCCCCCAGUAUACUCACACAUAACAUAUCAAUCAUUCACAUACCUAUAUUUAGCCACUCACGCAACAGUUUUGUCAUACAUUCACAAAUAAACAAGAUACAAAGAUAAACAUACAAGUUUGGUCUUGCUGUUUUAUACAAAAUGCUGAAAUAGACAAGCACACACAGACAUGCACACACAUAAAAAGUCAGACACACAAAGAUUACCUAUUCUCACCCACCCCCUUGUUUCCUUCUCAUAUCCCACAUUUUAUCACCCCUUCCUCCCAUCUCUCUCUGUCUUGGUUGCUGUAGUGACAUGGUGCUAUUUGCAUACGAGAAAUAUUGCAUAGCUUCACAGAAGACUCAUCCUACAUUUUCCAUUCACGAGUGUCACCUAUUACUGCUCAUGUCUAGAGUCAGUAUUCCCAGGAAUUGUAUAGCUUGACCACAGCUAUAAAGGCACAACCCUUCUCUUCCCCCUUUAGCAUACAGUUCUAAACCUCAGCAUCAAGGAACAUUCUGAGCAUCAAAACAACUUAAAUGCAUCUCGUAUCAUCUGGCAUUAAUAGUAUUGUGUAUUUGUUGCAUGUGCAAAUGUGUACAGUUUUUGCAGAAAAAAGGAAAUAUUUUGUAUCAUUCUGCACUGUUAGAAAACAGGUUGCGCCAAAUAACUACACAGUACUGGUAUUGCUAAGGAAUACAGUUGUAUGCAAGUAGUAGUAACUGGAAUCUAUAAUUAGGGCAUAAAGAAUGCCCUCGAAAACCAUAAGAAAGUCAAACAAGGAACCGUCUGUAGGUUUGAUUGUAUCUGCUUCUGACAAUAUAAUCCUUGUCACAGGGUAUUAGGUGAAGAAUCAGAACAAGGUCUUUGUAGCGACACUGGUACGUCUUACAUUAUCUUCACAGCAUACGCAUCUCACAUGGAAUACAUAAAAAGGGGAUCUCAAUAGAACAAACCCAGUGUGUAUAUAAAAAGAGAAUAAAAUGCACUCACAAACAAAGAGCUUCCAAUUCAGCUCUUAGUAAGAUCUUAAAGUUGAAUAAUCCCUGCUCACGGAUAUAAUUUGUAAAGGAUGUUCCUCUGUAUUUUCCAAGGGUAUAUAUUAAAAGAUAGAAAUAAGGAGAAUAGUGCUCUCUGUAUUAGAAAAUAAAAUAUGUAAGUAAAAUAAAUUGUACUCACAUUUAAAGGAGCAUAUACAUGCUUGUUGGAAUCAGCGUGGGUGGUACAAUCUCCACCUGGAAUAUGUAAGUUGAUAAAAUGCAGCACUGUCAGCAGGUAUUUUUCAAAAAUUAUAAAAUAAUGAAGGAUAAAAGGAAAUAAAAAGUGGGACCAGAUAAAAUUAAAUAUGUUGAAUGGUAAAAUUCACUUUAAUGAAAAUUGUAAAUUACAUUGUUGUUUUUUUAAAUAAAAAAAAUAUUGCCAAACAAAUAUUAAACGAUAAAUGCAUAAAAUACUUCGGUUAAAAUCACAACACAUUUGGCAGAGAUGGCUUUUUUAAGUGACAAAGCUAUCUGGGCGAAACGCGUUGUGAUUUAAACAGUGUUUCACUUGGAGAUGAAUACCGAUAGCUGAAUUGCCGUUACGUCCCACUGCAGGCCCUGUCUGCAAGAUAGAAGCUCAAUUCGCCAGCUGCCAGCAUGCAAUGCUGUCUGUCGACGGACGUAUUUUAUGCACAGUAUUACAUUAGGCAGCCUGGAUGUAACUAGCACUAAAGUACGGAGAUCUCAGUAUGUGCAGUACUGCAGAAAUGCUGCACAUACACACUCCUACAACCAUGACCACUUCAAAUCACUAAAAUACUAAGGGUGGCUGGGCUUUUAUUGUUGGUUUUCUUUAAUCUAUUGUACAGUGAUGCAGAAUAUGUUGGCGCUAUAUAAAUAAUUGUAAUUGUCAUGAACUUAGCUAUAACUUGAAAGAAAAUCAUGUUUUAUUUUCUCGCUCUAGAACCAAACAAAGUGAAACUCCUCAGAGACAAUGGCAAAACAUCAUAUUCUGUUUCCCUGAUUUGGGAUCAACCUGACGAGUACAAGGCUGAAUAUAAAUACAGAAUACUAACAGCAAAUUCAAUAUCUGUCGUGAUAAAUGAAAUUAUUGUGACAAAUCAAACUGUUAAUAUAACUAAUCUGACACCUGGGGAGACAUAUACAUUCACUGUAUUUACAAGAGCGGCUGAUAAUGUCACUGAAAGUCAAUCUGUCUCAUUAACAACCUGCACAGGUGAGUACAGACUGACCUCUUUAGGGGGAGAAUUGUGGAUAUGGUCAUUAUAGCAGGUAAAGAGACUUAAAGUGUAUUGAAAAUAUGGUUUGAGAAUUUUCUCUCUCUUUCUUUUCUAUCCUAUUUUUCCUUUCGAUUUGUGUGAUUUCUAUUCUGAUUUUUUUCAGUUCCGGGUCUGGCUCAGAAUAUCACAGGAAAUAAUAAGAAUACUACUAAUUCACUCAGUGUGAACUGGACAAUACCAGCAGGGAAAGUGGAUAAUUACACAGUCACUCUGAGUGGAGACGUCAAUAAAAUAAUCACAACUAAUUCUACACAAGUGGAUUUCACAGACUUACUGCCAGGCAGAAACUACUCCAUCACUAUACAGACAGUUAGUAGUAACUGCAGCCAGUCAGCAGCUCCAGUGAUAGAGGCAACAUGUGAGUAUGAUGGGAUCAUUGGGACAGAGCUAUUUGCUUAUAUGCAAAUCAUACACAUUAAAUAAAAUGUAGUGACACAAAUUAAGAUAUUCUAUCAUCUGUUUUCUGAUAUUAUUGGAUUAUUUUCAGAUGUUGGUUAUAAAAAUCUUUGUAUACUUUUUUUUCUUCUUCUUUCAUAGAUCCGACCCCUCCAGCGUCCUUAAGCUUUACAAAUAUUGGAACAAACUACAUUUCAUUGUCCUGGGGAGAACCAGUAAAUAUGACCAAUGUGACAAAGUCUUUCAAGAUAAUUUACAGUAAUUCUUCAUCCUCUUGGACUGUGACAGUAAACACAUUAAAUGCCACACUUCAGAACCUCACAUCUGGGACUAAUUACACAAUUACUGUAGUAACAGUUGGUGCUCGGCAGUAUCAGAGUUCUCCUGUGACCAUAUCAGCGUUCACAAGUAGGUUUUCACAGUGAUUUAUUUAUGUUUGACACUGCACUAGGUCCAGUUGAGCCGAUGCACCCCCCAGUAUACUCACACAUAACAUAUCAAUCAUUCACAUACCUAUAUUUAGCCACUCACGCAACAGUUUUGUCAUACAUUCACAACUAAACAAGAUACAAAGAUAAACAUACAAGUUUGGUCUUGCUGUUUUAUACAAAAUGCUGAAAUAGACAAGCACACACAGACAUGCACACACACAAAAAUUCAGACACACAAAGAUUACCUAUUCUCACCCACCCCCUUGUUUCCUUCUCAUAUCCCACAUUUUAUCACCCCUUCCUCCCAUCUCUCUCUGUCUUGGUUGCUGCAGUGACAUGGUGCUAUUUGCAUACGAGAAAUAUUGCAUAGCUUCACAGAAGACUCAUCCUACAUUUUCCAUUCACGAGUGUCACCUAUUACUGCUCAUGUCUAGAGUCAGUAUUCCCAGGAAUUGUAUAGCUUGACCACAGCUAUAAAGGCACAACCCUUCUCUUCCCCCUUUAGCAUACAGUUCUAAACCUCAGCAUCAAGGAACAUUCUGAGCAUCAAAACAACUUAAAUGCAUCUCGUAUCAUCUGGCAUUAAUAGUAUUGUGUAUCUGUUGCAUGUGCAAAUGUAUACAGUUUUUGCAGAAAAACUGAAAUAUUUUGUAUCAUUCUGCACUGUUAGAAAACAGGUUGCACCAAAUAACUACACAGUACUGGUAUUGCUAAGGAAUACAGUUUGAUGCAAGUAGUAGUAACUGGAAUCUAUAAUUACAAAGAAUGCCCUCGAAAAACCAUAAGAAAGUCAAACAAGGAACCGUCUGUAGGUUUGAUUGUAUCUGCUUCUGACAAUAUAAUCCUUGUCACAGGGUAUUAGGUGAAGAAUCAGAACAAGGUCUUUGUAGCGACACUGGUACGUCUUACAUUAUCUUCACAGCAUAUGCAUCUCACAUGGAAUACAUAAAAAGGGGAUCUCAAUAGAACAAACCCAGUGUGUAUAUAAAAAGAGAAUAAAAUGCACUCACAAACAAAGAGCUUCCAAUUCAGCUCUUAGUAAGAUCUUAAAGUUGAAUAAUCCCUGCUCACGGAUAUAAUUUGUAAAGGGUGUUCCUCUGUAUUUUCCAAGGGUGUAUAGUAAAAGAUAGAAAUAAGGAGAAUAGUGCUCUCUGUAUUGGAAGAUAAAAUAUGUAAGUAAAAUAAAUUGUACUCACAUUUAAAGGAGCAUAUACGUGCUUGUUGGAAUCAGCGUGGGUGGUACAAUCCCCACCUGGAAUAUGUAAGUUGAUAAAAUGCAGCACUGUCAGCAGGUAUUUUUCAAAAAUUAUAAAAUAAUGAAAGAUAAAAUGAAAUAAAAAGUGGGACCAGAUAAAAUUAAAUAUGUUGAAUGGUAAAAUUCACUUUAAUGAAAAUUUUAAAUUACAUUGUUGUUUUUUUAAAUAAAAAAAAUAUUACCAAACAAAUAUUAAACGAUAAAUGCAUAAAAUGCUUAACAAUCGGUUAAAAUCACAACACAUUUGGCAGAGAUGGCUUUUUUAAGUGACGAAGCUAUCUGGGCGAAACGCGUUGUGAUUUUAGCAGAUUGUUACGUUUUUUGUUUUAAUUCAAAAAAUUUUUUAACAAUAAUAAUUUCAUUUUAAAUUUUAAUUAAAGUGGAUUUUACCAUUCAAUAUUCAGUUUGGCUGGCUAUUCUGGUUUAAGAUUUGAAAGUUACUUUGAAUUCCCCAAAGAUCUGUGCAGGUUUAGAGUAUUUAAACAGUGUUUCACUUUGAGAUGAAUACCGAUAGCUGAAUUGCCGUUACGCCCAACUGCAGGCCUUGUCUGCAAGAUAGAAGCUCAAUUCGCCAGUUGCCAGCAUGCAAUGCUGUCUGUCGACAGACGUAUUUUAUGCACAGUAUUGACAUUAGGCAGCCCGGGUGUAACUAGCACUAAAGUACGGAGAUCUCAGUAUGUGCAGUGCUGCAGAAAUGCUGCACAUACACACUCCUACAACCAUGACCACUUCAAAUCACCAAAAUACUAAGGGUGGCUGGGCUUUUAUUGUUGGUCUUCUUUAAUCUAUUGUACAGUGCUGCAGAAUAUGUUGGCGCUAUAUAAAUAAUUGUAAUUGUCAUGAACUUGAAAGAAAAUCACGUUUUAUUUUCUCGCUCUAGAACCAAACGCAGUGAAACUCCUCAGAGACAAUGGCAAAACAUCAUAUUCUGUUUCCCUGAUUUGGGAUCCACCUGAUGAGUACAAGGCUGAAUAUAAAUACAGAAUACUAACAGCAAAUGCAUCGUCUGCAGUGAUAAAUGAAAUUAUUGUGACAAGUCAAACUGUUAAUAUAACUAAUCUGAUACCUGGGGAGACAUAUACAUUCACUGUAUUUACAAGAGCGGCUGAUAAUGUCACUGAAAGUCAAUCUGUCUCAUAUACAACCUGCACAGGUGAGUACAGACUGACCUCUCUAGGGGGAAAAUAGUGGAUAUGGUCAUAAUAUCAGGUAAAAAAGACUUGGUAAGAGCAGGUAAAAGUGUAUUGAAAAUAUGGUAAAAAUGUGAAGUUUCCUCCCUUCUUCCCUCUCUCUCACUCUCUAUGCCUCUUUUCCUUUCUGCCUGUUAUUUGGUAUUUUAAACUGACAAAGUGGGGACAAUCUGUUAGCCUCCCCCACCCCUCCCCAGCCCCCACCAGCAGCUAAAGAGUUAAAAAAAACCUUUGCUCACUUACCCGAUUACAGCACUGAUGUCAUCAAUGGGGGAGGGGGCUAAUGCGCGGCGAGUGCCGCAAGCGCACAAAGCCCUCCCAAUAGUAAACUAUUGCUUCAAUUCUUUCCUAGGUGGGGAUUUCACUGAUGCUGGAUGUCCUCAUGCAGAGCGUGAGGAUGUCCAGUGUCAUUUAGAGGACCUAGAGUCCAGUAGCAUCCACAAAGUGCCUCUUGUGACUGUCUGACUGACAUCCACUGGAGGCAGUCUUAGUCCUGCAAAAUAUUUAUUACAGUUUCUCAACAACUGCAAUGAUUUACAUUGCAGGAUUACGUAGGAUAGAGACAUUGCACCCAGACCAGAAGUGUCCCUUUAAUAAGUUAAACAAGUUGACCAUUUUGAGGCAAUUCAGUUUACAAGUGUAAUUUAGCCACAAGAUGUCACCAAAGGAUUACUUUUUAAAACUAAUUUUACCAUAAAUGUUUGAUAGAAUUUCUCUAGCCACAAAAAUGAAAAAUAUUUGAGAUUUUGAGUUAUAAAAUAUUCUACCGAGGAAAUUCUUCAGGAAACUACUAUAUAACUAAAAAAAAAAACUAACACAAAAAACACAUUAAAUAAAAUCAAGAAAAACAGAUACAGACACAUAUCUGGCACAUAAUCUUUGAUGACCACACUUACACACACUCACAUACACCCAGAAACACACUCAUACAAACACUGACACACAUACAUUGGCACAUAAUCACAAAAGCAAACAUUCUAACUGACAUACACUGGCACACAUACAUAAGCACUGUGACCCAUGCAAACACACUGACAUAAACACUGGCACACACACUCACAUAAACUCUUUAACACACACUGCAACACAUUUAUCUACACUGACACAUGCACACAUUGAUGUAUAUUGACACACACACAGUGCUCCAUGCAAACAAUGGCAUGCACACACUCACAUAAACUCAUAAAACACACUGACACACAUUGAUCAGUACCAACACAUACAUUGAUCCAUAUUGACACAAACACACACACACAGUGAAUAAUACAAACACUGGCACACACUCAUUAGCACACACUGGCACACUCUCACAUACACUCAUUAACACACACUUUCACAUAUUGAUCCAUAUUGACACACGCAUUGAUCCAUAUUAACACACAGUGACUCUAAAAACACUGGCACACAUACUCACAUACACUUAUUAACACACUCUGGCACACAUUGAUACUUAUCGACACACACAUUGAUCCAUAUUAACACACAGUGACCCUAAAAACACCAGCACACACACUCACAUACAUUUAUUAACACACACUGGCACACAUUGAUCCAUAUUGGCACACACAUUGAUCCAUAUUGACACACAAACACAGUGACCCAUAAAACACAGAUACAGUCAUUCACACACACUGGCACACAUUUCUCCAUACUGAUACACACAUUGACACAUACAAUUACUGACACUCACAUACAUGCCCAUAAAUUCAUAUACAUACUAGUCAUGUUCUUUCCUCCCUUGCCAGACACUGUGUAACUGCGGUAGUACAGGCUGGUAAUGCCUGUCCUCUGCCGCUCGGUUGACAUCAUUAUCUCGACAGCCUUCAUAUCUGUGACUUCUGCGAGUAGCACCUGGCUCCCACCACUUCUCGCACCUCCCACCGCUCUUUUCAUUUCAUGGUAUCUUAUAAAACUUAAACAUGUCCCUUUUACACUUUGUCAAAAGACAGCUUGAAGCAUCUCCCUCUGUAUCAUCAGAACAAUAAUUCUCAGCUGCAGCACAAAUCUCUUGUAUGCUGGAACUCAGGAGUCAGUUAUUGCUCUGCUAUUAAAAUAACGUCAAAAUGUGAAAUAUAAAGCAUAGAUUGUUAUUAAUAUUCAUUUUCUUCCAUGUAACCUGGUACAAAAUAUGUAUUGAUUUUACAAAAGAAAAACAUCCUAUCUUUUCAUUUCAGUUCCAGGGACUGUGUCUUCUUUCAGUUGUUCUUCCAUAUAUUUGGAGAAAUCCCUGUCAUUCACAUGGACAUGUCCUGCCGGAGUGUAUACCUCCUUCACUCUCAGUCUAUACAACACAAGUAACAGCAUCUUAAGUACCACCGUUACUGUUAAUCAGAACUGUAUGAAUGACACACAGACUUAUAUUCAGCCAGGCUUGCAAUAUUACACUAAUUACACUGCUAAUAUAUCAACUUCCAUGCAGUCGUGCAGCCAAACAAGUGAUGACGUCAUGAUUGCCAACUGUUUAACUUCCAUAGGACGUAAGUAACAAUAAUUAACGCGCUUAUAGUAUAGACUUUCCCUCUGAGCUAUCAGUUCCUAAUUGAUGAGGGCUGACAUUUUACCUUCUUGACCACCAUUGGUAUAAACAAUUUGAUAUAUUACAAAACUAUAAGAUUAUUUUAAAAAGUAUAAGUAGAGGCAUAAUCAUGUGUUGAUAUAUUACAUAAAGAUGUAUUGUAUAUGAAUUAUAAACUCUUUACUAAAGGAUUAUUCAGAUUAAAUACAUCUGUUUAUAUAGAGUGAAGUAGUUUCAUGAUAUACAUUUAUGUUUUGUAAUAUUGUAUCUGCUUUGUCUUUGCAAAAAAUGCUUAAUAUUAUAAUUAUUAUUAUUAUUAUUGUCAUUUAUAUAGCGCCAACAGAUUCUGUAGUGCUUUACAAUAUUAUAAGAGGGGGGAUUUAACUGUAAAUAGGAAAAUUACAAGAAGACUUAAAGGAACGAUAGGCUGAAGAGGACCCUGCUCAAACGAGCUUAAAGUCUAUAGGAGGUGGGGUGUAAAACACAAUAGGACAGGGAAAAGCAAUCAAAAUAGGUGGGAGUGAAGCAGAGCUGGAGGAGAGAGUAGAGUGCUGCCCUUCAGCAGAGAGCAAGAGACAGUUAUGUGAGGUAGAGGUUACUUUGGGAGGCCAUAAGCUUUUCUAAAAAGAUGGGUUUUAAGGCACUUCUUAAACGAUUGAAGACUAGGGGAGAGUCUGAUGGUGGUAAGCAGGCUAUUCCAUAGGAAGGGAAGUCCUGCAAGUGUGAGUUGGCUGUAUGGAUGCCAGUAGCGGACAGGAGGAGGUCAUGGGCAAAGCAGAGAGACCGAGAAGGGGCAUACCUAUGGAUCUGUGAUAAGAUAUAAGAGGAGCUAGAAUUGUUCAGUGCUUUAUAAGUAUGGGUUAGCAUUUAGAAUUGACUCCUAUAGGAAGGAAGCCAAUGUAAGGUCUGACAAAGGGGUGAGGUGUGAGAGGACCAACUAGAGAGGAAAAUCAGUCUGGCGACAGCAUUCAUUACAGACUGUAGCGGGGCAAUAGGGUUUUUGGGAAGACCAUUUAGGAAAUGGUUACAAUUAUCCAUGCAGGAAAUUACUAGAGCAUGAACAAGCUGUUUGGUACCAUCUUGUGCAAAAAAGGGGCGAAUGCGGCUAUGUUUCUAAGAAGGAAUCUACAGAAUUUGGUAACAUGCUGGAUGUGAGGCUCAAAGGUGAGGUUAGAAUCAAAUAUGACACCAAGACAGCGCGCUUGCAAGGAUGGACUGAUGUGGAUACCACUGACUUGAAGGGAGAGCAAAAGAAGAGUUCAGUAUUAGGAGCAGUGUUAUUUUGGAUUUGUGCUGCCCUAGGCAUGACUAGAUUCGGGCACCCCCAAAAUCUAAAUUUGCCCCCGCAAUUCGUGUCAAGGCCACUUUUCUGACUGACAGACACAUGCCCUAAUUGAUACAUGCACUGAUAUACACUCAUGGACAGAUACACAGUUAUUGGCACACACUGUUUAACCAACACACACUUUCACUGACAGACACACACUGACACACCCACUCACUGACAGGCACACACUCUCAGAUACACAUAAAAUGACAUACACACACUGACACAUACUCACAGGCACACCCAUUCUCACUGAAAGACACACACACUUUCACUCGCUCACAGACACACACUGACAGCUACACUCAAUCACAGUAAGUUGGACAGCUCCAGAACAAGAGGCAAACAAGGCAUUUGUCUGGGAGCUUGGGGUGGAGUUUUUUGGUGCCCCCCCUUGAAAGUGCUGCCCUUGGCAAAUGCCUUGUUUGCCUUGUGGUAAAUACAUCCCUGAUUAGGAUGAGGAAAAACAAGGAGUUCAGUUUUAGUGAGAGUUAGUUUUAGAAAGUGGGGGGACAUCCGGUCAGAGAUGUAGGAAAGGCAAGCAGUGACAUGUUGCAGGACGGCAGGGCAGAGGUCUGGGGAGGAGAGAUAUAGCUGGGUGUCAUCAGUGUAAAGGUGGUAGUGGAAUCCAAAUGAGGCAAAAAGUAUACAAAGAGAGGCAGUAUAAAGAGAAAAUAGAAGGGGACCAAGGACAGAGCCUUGGGGGACUCCAACAGAGACAGGAUGAAUGGAGGAGAUAUCAUUAAAAAAAGAUACACAGAAUGAGCAUUGUGAGAGAUAGGAGGUAAACCACGAGAGGACAGCGUCACAGAGACGAGUGAUUGAAGUGUUUGAAGAAGGAGAGCAUAAUCAACAGUGUCAAAGGCAGCAGAGAGGUCAAUAUGUAUUAGUAUGGAGUAGUGGCCUUUAGAUUUAGCUGCAAUUAGGUCAAUAGUAACUUUGAUAAGAGCAGUCUCAGUGGAGCGGAGGGGGCGGAAGCCAGAUUGAAGAGGUUCAAGGAGAGAGUUGGAAUUGAGAAAGUGAGACAUACGGAUAAAGACAAGUCUUUUCAGAAGCUUUGAGGAAAAAGGGAGCAGGCAUAUACGAUGCUAGUUAGAGGGGGUGGACCGGUCAAGGGAGGUUGCCAAAACAGGGCGAAGAAGAGAGUUAAAGGUGUCAAAGAGAUGCCUGGGAUUGCGGGAGCAUGAAUUAAUGAGAGAGGGGGGGUGUCCUCCUCGAGGUGCAUGUUUGAAGCAGGGCUGCAGUGUUCAAGGCAGAGGUGAGGGUAGUGUUAUAUGUGGAGAUGGCCAGUAAGGGAGAGGAGAGGGAAGGGAUGGAUAGGGGUUGCGAAUCAAUAUCAGCUGACAGCUGCUGGAGGUCAAUAUAAUUAAGGUUCCUCCUGAGUUGAGGGGAGUUAGGCUUAGGUUGUUGGGUGAGAGGGUACUCGAGAGCAAAUGAUAAGAGGUGGUGAUCAGAGAGAAGAAAUUGAGUAUUGGAGAUAUUAGAUACUGUACAUGCAUAAGAGAAAAUGAGGUUGAGGGUAUUGCCAGCUACAUGGGUGGGAGAAUUAGCCCACUGCGAUAGCCCAAGGGAGAAAGUAAUUGAAAGUAGUUUAGAGGCUGCUGAGGUCAGGGGUGGGUUAAUGGGAAUAUUGAAGCCCCCGAGAAAUAGGGAUGGUAUGUUAGAGGAGAGGAAGUAGGGUAGCCAGGCAGUGAUGUGGUCAAGGAAGAGGAGAAGGGUAACCAGGGGGGCUGUAAAUAACAGCAAUGUUAGCAGAGAUGGGUUUGAAUAAGCAAAUUGAGUGAACUUCAAAGGAGGGGAGAGAGAGGGAAGGGGGGGGGGGGGGAUAGAGUUUUGAAGGAGCAGUGAGGGGAAAGGAGAAACCCUACACCACCACCUUUACUGUCAGACUGUAUUGGGUUGUGUGUAAACUGUAGAUCACCAUAGUUUAAUGAGGCAGGGGGAAUGUGUCAGAAGGAGAGAGCCAAGUUUCAGUUAAAGCAAGUAAGUUAAGGGAGCGUGAGAGGAAUACAUCAUGGAUGGAAGUAGAUUUAGUUUGGUUGCACACAGAGCGUGCAUUCCAAAGGGCAGAAUGGAAGGAGGGUUUAAAGGGAGAAAUACAUGGGAUGGAUAUAAGAUUGGAGAGGUUUCUAGGGUGGACACAAGGUAGGUGGGUAGAUACAGGACCAGGGUUUGGAGAGACAUCGCCAGCUGCCAGGAGUAGAAGUGUAGUCCUUGGUCCCCUACUGUUCUCUAUAUAUACUGCCUUUCUUGGUAAACUCAUUAGCUCCUUUGGCUUCCAAUAUCCUUUCUAUGCGGAUGACAUCAUGCAAACCUACCUGUCCUCUCCUGAUCUCUCCCCGCCCCUCUUGACUAGUGUCUCUGACUGCCUCUCUGCAAUUUCUAACUGGAUGGCUGACCACUUCCUUAAACUCAACUUGACCAAAACGGAAAUUCUAGUCUUUCCUCCCUCAAAUGUUGCUACUCUUGUGUCUGUCUUCCUCCAAGUCAACGGUGCUACCAUCAGCUCCACCACGCAGGCUCGCUGCCUAGGUGUUCUAUUUUGUUAUAGAGGAGGAAAUUAUAAAGGCAGCUAGCACUGUAGGAGAGUGUGGCGGUAUUACAUGUGAGGAGAAGAUAAUAUACAUGAUUGGUGUGUUUGGAAAACAAGGUGAUUUGAACUAUCUAUAAAUGUAGUGAAAACCAUGGGGAUGGUGGGAAAUACUACCUCAGCAUAAGGCUUUAGUGCUGCAAGACUGGCUGGCUGUGAGUCUGUUGGGCUCUGAUUGAAAUAGAAAUUCUGGGUUUAGAUAAAAAACAUAAAUUGUGGGUGGAGAUAUAUAUGCAGGCACUGGCGUACAUACUGUGGUCGCAGCUGCAACCGGGUUUGUGUGCCAGUUUGUCAGCCUCUUCUCCUGGGGGGCCCACUCUCCCAUGAGCGCUCUCUGCCCAUCUCCUUGCGCACCGCAGUGAUGCUGGAGCCGGAAUAUGACGUCAUUCCGGCUCCGGGAUCAGUACACGGCACGCAAGGGAGCUGAACAGGAGGCUCAGUGCUCCCUCGCCGCCUGCAGGACCGGCCGCCCAGCAGCCCCACUGGACCCCAGGGAAUCCCCUCAGCACACCCAAAGGAAAGGAGGCCGGGGGAUUAAAUUUAAAAAACAUGUUUGUGUCUGUGUAUGUGUGUUAGUGUUAGAGUGGGUGUGUGUGUUAGUGUUAGUUUUUGUGUGUCAGUGUGUGUCUGCUAGUGAGUGUCAGUGAGUGUUAGUUUUUGUGUAUUUUACUGUGUGUGUUUGUGUGUGUCUGUUAUUGAGUGUGUGUUAGUUUGUGUGUAAGUGAGUAUGUGUGUCAGUGAGUGUGUUACUGUGUGUGUCUGUUACUGUGUGAGUUAGUUUGUGUGUGUCUGUUAGUGUGUGUGUCUGUUAGUGAGUCUGUUUGGUGUCUGUUAGUGAGUUUGUGUUUGUCGGUGAGAGUGUAUGUUUUGUAAGUGAGUGUGUAUGUGUGUCUGUCUGUCAGUGAGUGUGUAUGUAUGUCUGUCAUUGAGUGUGUCUCUGUCAGUAAAUGUGUGUCUGUUAGCUAGUGUGUAUGCGUCUGUUCGUGAGAGUGUGUGUGUAUUUAAGCACUUACCUUUCUCCAGCGCCGUACUCCCUUGGCGCUGGGAAACCUCCGCCCGAUCCGCCUCUCAGCUCCGAAUACGCAUGCGCGGCAAGAGCUGCGCGCGCAUUCAAACCGCCCAAAGGAAAGCAUUACUCAAUGCUUUCCUAUGGACGUCCAGCGUCUUCUCACUGUGAUUUUUACAGUGAGAAUCGUGGAAGCGCCUCUAGCGGCUGUCAGUGAGACAGCCACUAGAGGCUGGAUUAACCCUCAGUGAAACAUAGCAGGUUUUUCUGAAACUGCUAUGUUUUUAGCUGCAGGGUUAAAACUAGAGGGACCUGGCACCCAGACCACUUCAUUGAGCCGAAGUGGUCUGAGUGCCUAUAGUGGUCCUGUAAGUGUGUGUAUCUGCAUGCACUGGCAGGCACACUGUGGUCGCAGGCAGGGCCGCCAUCAGAAAUUUUGGGGCCCCUGACAAAGCACAAGGUCUGGGCCCUCCCCCCCGGGCCCGCCCACGCCCUACCUAGUCCGCUGACAAUGAUGCAGGACUGAAUGUGGUGUGUAUAGUGGAAGUGAAUUAGAAUGCGUGUAAUGGAUGUAGUGUUUGUGUGUAUUAUGUGUGUGUUGUGUUAGUGUAUGCAGUGUGUGUGUGUUGUGUUAGUGUAUGCGUUGUGUUAGUGUAUGCAGUGUUUGUAAAUGUGCAAUCUGGGGGUGGAGGAAGGGAGGGGCAUUUUCACAUUAAUUUUUGAAUUUUAUAUUAAAUGUAUUAAAUGUUUCUCCCCCUCCCUGCUUCUUACCUGAGUCCAGGGAGGGGGGAGAUUCCAUCCCUGGUGGUCUGGUGGCACAGUGGAGCCCCCAGCUCCCUGUUACCGCAGAGGGGGCCCAGCACACUGUCUCUACUUUUCUAUUCUCCUCUCUUCUAAUAACUCUCAUGAGACUCGCGGUCUGCGUACCGCGCGGAGCAUUGCCAUGGCAACGCUCAGAAGGCCGCGGGUCUCGCAAGCGUUAUUAGAAGAGAGAAGAGUAGAGGCAGUGUGCUGGGCCCCCUCUGCGGUAACAGGGAGCCGGGGGCCCGCAGCUGCACACAUAGCGAUAUUCGCUAUCUAUGUGUGCAGAAAGGGAAAGUGGGGCUCGGGACUGCCAGAGCAGUCCAGGACCGCCGGGCCCAUGACAACCAUCAUGGUUGUCACCCCCUGAUGGCGGCCCUGGUCGCAGGUAUCGCAGCCCUGCGACCAGGUGCCCGCCGCCAUGUGUUGCGGCCUCGGACCGCGCAGAGUAAGUGCAGGGGGGUGGGAGGGCCCACAGAUCAAUUUUCGCAGUGGGGCCCCAUGGGUCAUGUGUACGCCACUGUAUGCAGGUAUAUAAGUGAAAGAGGGCAAUUAAGGGAUGAAAGCAGAAGAGAGGAAAUGUGGGAUUCAGAGAUAGGAGGGCAUGGUAGAGUUCCAAUAUGUGAAAAUAACAAAUGUUGUACUUAAAUUAACAGGACUAUAAAUUAACAGGACAAUAAGUUCAAUAACCAAACUAACAAAAAAUAAAUAAAUACAUUUUAAGUUAUCAGUUAAGCAAAUAGACUGUAGGGGGGACAAAUAGGACAGCAAAAGUAAAUGAAACAUGACUAAAAGUGCAUAUAUUCUUGUGGAAAUUAUCCAGAAAUGCUACCUCAGCAUAAGGCUUCAGCCUGCGAGCCGUGCUGGCUGUGAGUCCUGGGCAACCUUCAAAUGUGUCUGUUGGGCUUUGACUCAGCAUAAGGCUUUAGUGCAGCAAGACGUGCUAGCUUCUCUGUCUAUCUAUCUGUCUGUCUGUCUUUCUCUAUCUCUCUCUCUCUUCCUACCUAUCUACAAGGAGUUGGACACUAAAAAAACAAAUUCAUUGAAAAAAAGUAUUCACCAACACACCUCAAGAAGACAUUGGAAAUCGUCACUUGUAAACCCAGAAAUGACCGCUUAGCAUACAAACCAAAAAACAAGGAAGAUUCUAUAUAUAUAUUUAUGUCUGUCAUAUUUAAUUUUAAUAAUAAAAGCAAAACUUCGGACCCCAAUACAAAGUCAAAAACUAUGCACUUAAUAUCCAAUAAUACUGAAAUCCUACGCUAUAAAAGACCUGAUAUGCUGCAAAUCCAAAAAUUUGAUAUAUUUACUUGAGUGCCCAUGCGGCUUACAAUAUGUGGGCAUGACUUCAAGAUGCUUAAAAACUAGACAGACGGAGGAGCAUUGUCAUGAUAUUAUAAAAGGAUACCCUAAUCACUCUGUAUCUAAGCAUUUUUUUUUUUAAAACAUGGGAAAAAUCCCAAAUAUCUAAAGUGCACAGGGAUCCAAAAAUACAAACUCCUUUGGAGAGGUGGAGAUUUAAAAAAAAACUUUAGGUAAAAAAGAAAUGUAUUGGGUGUUCCUUUUAAAAACCCUUGCCCCAGAAGGUUUAAAUGCAGACUUCUAUCUUUUUAAUUUUUUAUAACUUAUUGUACAAUUUUAUUUUCACUUACCAAUAAUUUAUCAUUACUUCUUAUUUUAUUUUAUUUGUUUUACUAUUGUAAUAUACGUAUUUUUGUACAUGCAAAUAUUUGUAGCUUGUAUUAUGAUGUAUUGCACUUUAUUAUGCAACAGUUUUCCCUCCUGUCUUCCCCCCUUUAGUUAAUUUCACCAGUCUAUUAUAAUAUUUGCUUAUAUAUUCUUAAUCUAUUAGCCUUUUCACGGCUGAAAACCACGCCCCUUUUAUCACACAGCUUUACACUACGUUUCCCAUAAUUCCCCUAAAUGGUCAACGGCCAAUAACCACGCCCCCUUUUCCUCGCGCAGCAAGGUAUGCUCAUACUACAUUUCCCACCAUUCUACUCAAGGCCAAUGGCUGAAUACCACACCCUUUCCCUCCUCCCACCCAGCAGAUAAUGUCCGAUACCACAUAUCCCAAACUACAUAGCGGCACGUCCCGGUUUCCACUAUGGCCGCUGAUCAUGUGAUUUCUUUUAACAUAAUUUCUAACCAAGUUAAAACCUUAAUUUUCACUCCAAAAAUGAACUACAAGUCCUACAUAACCCACACUAUUCAUAUGUAUAACUCUUUUUACAAUUUUAAUAUGUUUAUUUUAUACCUAUGAUGUCAUUUGGGCACCAAAAUUUGUAAUUGUUUUAUUACCUGUCUCCUAUAUAUACCAAACCCUACCAGGCAUGUCUUUUUUUUUUAUCUCCACUUGAGAAAGCCAUAUAGGCGAAACGCGUUGUGGAUAGGCCGUUGGUUAUCCUCCUUGCAAGUUGUGCAUUUGCACUCUUCUUUCUUCUUUUUUUCUGCUAUUGAUUGUGAUCUGUUACCAUCAUCAUUGUUAUUGGACUCUUUCAUAUAUUUUUGAUAUUUUAUGAUUUUCAUAUUACUUCCAUUAUCUUUCUAUAUAGUUUGUUAUUUGGCGCAACCUUUUUUCUAUUUAUCUUGUCUAUUACAUUUGUCAGUGGGGCUUAGAGGGAGCCCUACCUCAGUUUUGCUGCCCAUUAUAUCAUUUUAUAGUUUUGGUUUCUUUAGCAAUGUUCCCCCUCCCCAUGUACCCUCCCCUGCAAUUUUUACUCCACAAUUGUUAAUGUCCUAAAAAUCUAACAAUCCAAAAUCUUUGAGAAUAUCUACAUUCUGCAUCUGAAAAAUUUACAUAUUUCCUCCCUAUUACACUGCACAUUGAAUUACACAUAGAUUCAGGUAUAUAUGUACAAAGUACUAAAUGCACACUUCAUACCCCAUGCCCUUACAGUAGGGUAUCUGUCAGUGGGUUUUGUUAUAGACAUUCCGUCCUGUUGUGUGUGUUUUUUUUUUUUUUUUUUUUCCGUUCUCAAGGUUAUCAAUCAGGCUUUCUAUGCCACAAUAGCAAACACAAUACAUUUCAAAAGACAGUGCACUAUGGCAUGUGAGCACUAUUUUUUUGUUUUUUAGAGAUGUUAAACAGUUUAGAUCAGGAUGAUCAGGAUGUGUCAGUAAAUGAGUAAGCAAAAGGAAAAAUGGAAACAUGCUUUGUAGACUGACACUGGGGUGAGAAAAUAGACUUGUGUUAAAGACAGUACAGGUAGAAUCGAUAUAACUGUAGAUUAUUAUUCCCCUAGGAGGCAGUGGUGGACACAUACAUUUAAGCCAUGAGUCCCAAUAAUCCCAUCACGCAGCCCCACUCAGCGGAUGCCCUCAAGUGGUAGGGUGCUGUUGUGUGUUUUAAAACUGACUCUCCCUUUACUUUGUGCUUACAUAUCACCAAGACAAAAAUAUGUCUUACCAGCUAACCCUUGUCUUUAAUACUAUAACAGCUUUAAGCAACAAUCGCUUUGCUUAUAAACCUGUCCCAUUCUACCUAUGUUUUGGAACCAAAUCUAGGUGCACUGUUUAGUGAAUAUGCUCAUUAACUUGAAUAUGAUACCCAAACUUGAGCUCACUAUAUUCUUCACAAAACAUGAGUCGCUACAGCUCACACUCGUUUGCUUAGAUGGUUUGCAGUGUGUCUCUCGAAGGUGGUAGUUUAUGACAAACAGUACAAUUCUUUGUAUAUAUUCUCUCCAGAUAAAGUUCUAACCUGAGGGUUUUACUAAAAAUCAGUGCUACAUUGGGGUGGGCUAACCAUGUAUUUUUUAUAUUUGCAGCACCAAUACAGAUAAAUACUACAGAUUAUUCCAUAACUGGACCUCCUACAUUUAAUCAAUUUGAUUGUACUUUCAAUGAAUUUGAUGCCAGCAAUGGACGCAUAACGCACUAUGCCGUUAUCGUUACUACACAAAAUGGUAAGAUAUACUUACGUUGAAUUAUUGGAUUGCUACAAUGUUAAUUGUGUUUUCUAUAGGUAUACUUUGUAAUAUUGUGAACAUAUAUAUAACUUUGUCUAGGACUAUGUUAGUCAAGUAUAUGUUCACUAGCUGGCCUGAUGACUCAGUGUCUUGAGCACCACUAGCUUAAAGGCUAUUGAAAAAGUUUCAUAUAUUAGUAAAUAUUUCAAAUGUUUUAUAGUCUUAUUACUUUAACUUCAGAAUCGUGUACAAUUCCACUACACUCACUACAUUAAAAUUGGUACGAUGUUGCUGUAGGCUAAGUUACUCUUUUCUUUUUGAGAAUUUGAAUCAAAGUAGUUGUGAUUUUUCAAACAUUUAAAGCACUUUUGAAAUAGUUUAUUUUAUACAGUCAUAACAUCAUUGCUAAAUGUUUCGCUGUUCAAUAAAGGUGACAUCAUUACAUGGCAUUAAAACAUGUAAGGUUUGAUUUAAGAGGAGGCUAAGAUACGGUUUGUUGUAUACUGACUUAACCUAACACAGUGGGGAUAACUAUAUAAAAGUUCUCUUUCGUGGGUUGAGUAGUAAUUCUGACCAUAGACCACACAGGUUAGUGAUAGUUAGUGUUUGUUCACCAUCUCUGGCAAGCCCUCAGCAUCUCAAAAAUACACCAUGAGGGGGUGUGGGCGAUUGAGUAACUGAAUAGACACAUGUUCGCAGAGCUCCACACAUACUCUGUAAUAAAAAUUGAAUUAUUCUACUUACGAGCUUAGCAGAGACCUCUGCUAUACUUCACCCCCCAGAUGACAUUAUAGGGCGCAAGCACAGAAAAAAAUCCCACCAGGGAGCCCUAAAAUGCCUGAUAUUAGGCUUUCAUUUGAGUGGUCUACACCGCAAGUACCCCCCAAGAUGGCGCCUGAGACAAGUGUUGAGGAAGAAGCCUCAGUUGAGUCCCAGGAGGAUGUGGAGACACUCACCUCAUCCCGACAGGGCACGGUUAAUCAGGAGAUUGACUCCGAAGAAGACCCAUCUCCCUCCACGAAGGGGGAUAUUACCAGAGGAUCAGAAGGGAGGGGCUGCUACCCUACAUCCAGAGGCUUAUCGCAUCUGUGGGUCUUAAAGAAGGGGCAAAUCCCUCUACGCUGUUCUCGGUGUCCAGAGUACGUAAAUCCGCAAUCAUGCCUGAUCCAGGGCACUGGGAUCAGUAAAAUUCAAAGGAAGCUCGGUGACACUGUUUGGAGACCUUUCAUUUAAUGUCCUUCUGGAGAAACGUAAGCUGGCCUGGUCACUAAAAUGCUACAAGAUCACUCCAUCUGAUACCGCUGGGGAGUGGAUGGCGCUCGAGUGGUCCCACACGGGGACACAGUCCUUACCUUCACCUCAGAGGGAGACCCAGAGACACUCUUACAGCACCACAACCGGGGGUGGCCACGACUCGGAGGGAGGGGAACAUGACACAGAGAGAUCCCAGAGAAGGCAUUUUAAAAUUCCCGACCGAGCUAGCUAAAGUUACAGUAAUCAGACAGUGAUCCCAUACCAAACAUGCUGGUCUUGUGAGUUCUUUGCUCCCUUUCCACUGCCCACAAAGGCUGCAGCUUACCUACAUGACAGCUUUCCCACUGUGCAGUGUAUUACACACAUUAUAGUAUGGCAGCAAGUUUUUUACAGCCUCUAGAAGAAAUAUUGUUCCUAGGCAUCUGUCACGUUGUUUACCCUACGACCAUGUAAUGCCUGCACUCACUGUUGAACUUUAGGUUUAACAUUUCUUAUCUUCAUUUGUUUGUUACUAUUUUCAUGUUAUGCACAUCUAAUGUAUACCUGAGUAUGUGAAAACCAAAUAACAUGCAAAUGGAAAAAAAACAAAAAGAAAUACACUGUGAGAUGGAUUUAAUAAAUUAUGUUUAUCGUAAAUGGUCACAUUACUGUCGAUUCUUACCAACGGUUGCCUAAAAUGGACAUCUUCUAUGAAAAAGGGUAAGACAGGAAAUGCAAAUGAAAUUUGUAAAUUACAUAUACCUAUUGCAAAAUAAUACAGAUUAUAUGUGACAUGUAAUGGUGACAGUUUACUUUUAAAUAAAAACAUAGAUUUUAUUUUUCUAAUAACACAGUUCUUAUUAAUAAUGCAGUUUUUUUUCACACAUCUUGUUUUGUUCCCAUAUUGAAUUCCUCAGUUGCUGGUACCUUUCCAACAAAGGAUAUUCUGUCUAAGACUUACGCUGAUUUUAAAAGCAAGACCACCACUGCUUAUGUAACAAAAAUCAUAGAAAACGGGCAAAAAACUCUAUCAAACAGGGCAACAAGUAAAAAGACUGUGAGAAUUGGAGAUGCAUCUAAAACAUAUGGCUAUACCAAUGAGCCCUUGGAACCCUUAACAACAUACUGGUAAUUACAAAUCUUGUUUCAGACAUAUUGCUAAGUACCUUAUUUUAUAUCAUAAAAAAUGUAGCUUUUGUUAUUGUAGUUAUAUUAGCUCUUCAAAUUGCAUACUUAACAUUUGGAAAAGUGUUCUUUUUUCCAAAUUCUUAUUUUUUCCACCUGGAGGCUCCAUACAAUGGAAAUGUUUUGUUAUGCUUUCAUGACCAAUCUAUGACUAGUUAUCCUGGAGAUUUUUCUUCGUCUUCCUCAUCUUGUAGGGUUAAUCCAUAUCAGGUAGUCCAGCAUGGGUUUCUCGACCAUUUUUAAUUUUCCUAUUUUCAUUUGUAUAACAAAUAGUUUUUAUUAGAGUUUCAAUAAACAAUAAAAAAGAGAAUAAGUGGCAUCAAUUAUCUAAAAAUAUACAAUUUUGCUUUUGUUAAGAGGUAACAAAUAUUUUUAUUACACAUAAAUCUUAGACAUGGAUAGGCGAUAUUGGAUAAACAUAGAUAGAACGAUAAGUCUUCAUGUCAGUAUCCUAUUUUCUUUUUUUUUUGUGAUUACCUCUGUUUAUUUGUUUUGCAACCCCCUUCCCACCCCCAAGUUUUUUAAUUACUCUUAUUUUUAACUCUAUUUAUUGGUAUUGCAAAACCACCAGUGUUUAUUUUUAGAUUACUUGGUUUAACCAUGGUGGCCAUAUUUUAAUCAUGGCAUGUGGCAAAAUUUGGUUAAACAGAUGUUUACAGAAACCUCAAUAUCUCAGCAAACAACAAACUGACCGGUUUAGCCAAUGGGAGUCAAGAGAGCACCAUUUAAACUCCUUAAUUCUUUAAAACUGUUCCCCCUCGAAGAGCUGCCUGACUGGUGAAACGUGGGUCGGGGCUCGGGGAAGUGUUUAGGAAGGCUGUGCAAGUCACAUGCAGGGAGGUGUGACUAGGGUUCAUAAACAAAUGGAUAUAACUCCUAAAUGGCAGAGGAUUGAGCAGUGAGGCUGCAGGGGCAUGUUCUAUACACCAAAACUGCUUCAUUAAGCUAAAGUUUUUUUGGUGACUAUAGUGUCUAUUUAAAUACCCCUUAAGGACACAUGACAUGUGUGACAUGUCAUGAUUCCCUUUUAUUCCAGAAGUUUGGUCCUUAAGGGGUUAAACAUGACUUUCUAUGCUUAUUUCAAGAACAUGUAUAAAUAUGUUAAAUAGAAGAUGUCACAGAAAAGAACCCUGUGGACCCACUUACCAUUUUGUCUAGCUUAAAAAUAUACCAUUAUUGACAACUCUCUGUACUCUAUCUUUAAGCCAAUGUUCUACCCAAGAACGAGAAUUUUCACCUAGGCCAAUUUCUUUUAGUUUUAAUAGUAACCAGAUUGGUUUUCCUAAUAACAAUGUUAUCUUAACUAAUAACACUAACUUUUUAUUUUUUUAUUUUUCUGUCCGUUAAAUUCAGCAUAUAUACAUUGCGAAUAUGUAAAAUUUACUUCUGUUCAUUGCAGAGGUUGGGUUAACUUGCUUUCACUAAAAUGAUUAUUCAUUAAAGGGAGAAUUGUCAUGAUUUUAAAGUGAAUUCAGAGUAAAUUAUAAAUUCACAUACAAGCUAGACAAUUUUGGCCUUACAUUUAAAAUUACUUUGAAUGGCUGACAGUUCUUAUUUUAGUGAAUAAUUCCUGUUAGAAAAUUCAAUAGAAUUCAUUAUUUUGUCAGCAGCACCCAAAUAAUUGCAUAAAAGUGUAGUUUCUCAUAUAUUUACAUGUUUUCUAUAUGUAUUUCAGGGUCGCUGUGGCUGGAUUUACUAACUUUACAACUACCUCUGAUAUUAUUUCAGCAGAAAAAAGUGUAUUUUCAUUUGCUCCUUAUGCAUUGGCAACUACAACCACCCAGAACCCAGGUGGGUCUUUUUGACUAUAAUAUUUGCAGUACAAACAAAACACUCACAGUUCAAAUUGAAUUUAAAAAAUUAUCUUCUUUCUUGAGGCAGUUGAAGUAUACCUUCAAAACAAAUCAGUUUAUUAAUUCUUCAUCUCCGAAGUUGCUUCUAAAUUACCUCAAACUGCGCCGAAUUUAUAAAUAAAUUUUGAAAAAAAAUCACAACAAUGAACAACCUGACUUGUAUCACUGCUUAUUUUAUUAUAUUAAAGGACCACUAUAGGCACCCAGACCACUUCAGCUUAAUGAAGUGGUCUGGGUGCCAGGUCCAGCUAGGGUAACCCUUUUUUCUAUAAACAUAGCAGUUUCAGAGAAACUGCUAUGUUUAUAAAUGGGUUAAUCCAGCCUCUAGUGGCUGUCUCUUGACAGCCGCUAGAGGCGCUUGCGUGCUUCUCACUGUGAUUUUCACAGCGAGAAGAUGCCAGCGUCCAUAGGAAAGCAUUGUAAAUGCUUUCCUAUGAGACUGGCUGAAUGCGCGCGCAGCUCCUGCCGCGCAUGCGCAUUCAGCCAAAGAGGCGGAGAGGAAAGAAGGAGGAGAGCUCCCCACCCGGGGCUGGAGAAAGAGGUAAGUUUAACCCCUUCCUCUCCCCAGAGCCCGGCGGGAGGGGGACCCUGAGGGUGGGGGCACCCUCAGGGCACUAUAGUGCCAGGAAAACAAGUGUUUUCCUGGCAUUAUAGUGGUCCUUUAAUAAUAUAUAUUCUCCAUCUUUGACUACCAUGUAAUAUCAUGUCGUAAAAUAAUUAUUACUAAAAUUCUCUAAGCAUUUUUUUGUGAUCUAUAAAUCUAUUUUAUUCAUGUCAGUAUGCAUAAAUAACGCAUUAUUUGAUAACAAAACAUCAUCUAUACUGUUGGAUGUAGGACACCACUUCCACUGGGGUAUUGUUAUCAACCCCCACCUCCCUUUCCCCCCCAGAUGUCUGAAACCACAGAUAGUGGCCAAUUCUAUGUAUACAUGUAUACAGGUAGCAAGGGUAGAGCACACUAUUAUCGAUAGUAGCAAACAAUAUAUAUAUAUAUAUAUAUAUAUAUAUAUAUAUACACAUGUAUACAAAUUUAUAAAUUGAAUCAAAUCAUUAUGUACAGUAUCAUGGUGAUAAAGUUUAAUUUAUACAUUUGGCACAAUACGACAUUAACACAAAUGACUAAUACUGUAAUAAAAUACUGAUAAUAAACACUCGUCUUACUACUUCUUCGUCAAAAGGAUUACUGCAAAAUACUGCAAUAUAGUGAGACUUGACAAGACCAUACAAGAUUUCAUCACGUGCAAAGAUGAAUUCUUGGCACCACAGUUAGGUGAAAGCAAGAGAAAUUGAGUUUUCCCUGUAUUUAUCCUUAUUUAGCGGACUGUGAAAAAACACAAUUGAGUUACAGAAUAAUGGCGUAAAACUAGAACAUAAUCUUAAUUUCCAUUUUUGCAAGUUAUUAAAAUGUUGAGAAACAUCUAUAAAAGUGAUUUGGGGGGGCGGAGCCAAGCAACUAAGCAGCCCGGACGUGCAGGGCAAGAGCUCUCACGUCUGGGGACAGAAAACGGGAAAUUACACCCAGCCACUACUCACUACAACCCGCAGGCCAAGAUAAUCAUAACCGGGAGGGGCUUCUGCACCAAACAGUACCUCUCCCGAGUACCGUCACAGCCAACUGGACACAUCGAGGCCUGCGGCCUACCAGCGCCCGCGCCCGGGGAGACGGCCGCUCCCCGUGCACGAAAACAGAGACUGGACCCCAGGGAAAAAGCCUUCCCCCCCCAGCACCGGUGGGGGUUAUCCCAGUCCACACAACAGAGCUGAAUACCCGACCAAACGCAACAGACAAGCGAGAGCCACAAGGCCGGACAAAAAAUGGCCGACGGCACCAAUGCACAGCAGCAGACUCCCAGCGACUGGGCGGUGGCCUCCAAUGCGAGGUUCAAAGCAAUGUGGGAGAAAUUCUGGGCUUGACUAGAACGCAAACACAAGCCACCCAGGCCACCACAGGUCAGAGUGGGGUCCAGAGCACCUACGGCACAGAAAUCAGCAGAGGCUGUACACCCUAACCAGCCCACGACCGGGACAAGAAAACAAGUCAUAUACCUGAGACAAGCCACAGUACCCGCGAGGCGUACUCACACCCGUUCGGGCCAGAAAGCACCUCCUGCCAUCCAACCGAACUCCGGCAAAUGCAGAGCCCCCAGCAAUACCUCCAGGAGGAAAAGCAGGAGGAACAGACCCCGGCAAGCCCGGGGCAUAGGCGCUCAAUGGAGGAAAGGCCUACGUAAGCCACAGCGCCUAGCUCACACACAAGUAUACACACCAAUUGGCACAGAGAACUUUCCCCAACAGACUGAGCUGCAGGCAUCUUUGACGCAACCAGCCCAACAGUGCUCCAACGACCACCUUGGGCGACACCCGAUCCCUGCGACCGGACUGCGGGCGCUGAGAUCUGGAAUCGGAUAAGCGAUUACCCUAAUCUGGCUACCGGAGCCCAACACCUACUCCGGGUUCCGUUGGGACGCUAGCUGACCUUGCCUACACUGCGGACAUGUAUAACUACAGACAACAGAGGACUCUAAUUAUGGCAAGAAAGCAAAACGUACCUUGAUUUCCUUCAUGUUGCAUCUAUUGUUGUACUUACCUUUCUUUUGCUCUAAAUCUGCCCCACAAUUGCAACUACACACUAGGUGCACGACUAGCCCCACAGUCGAUAACUAUCCACUAUGCCCAAUGUCCUAGUAGCGCAACGUACAUAUAACAAGCAAUUUAACUCAGCAUACACUACUAUCCAUACCAGAGAAUAGGUAAUAGGAGUAGGUGAUAUGUAGAGUCCCACAAGGGGAAACCAACAUCAGGAGAGCUCCACUGUAUAAGAAAUUAGGAAGGGAGGCCCUACCUUUAAUCAAUGUAAGAAUAAAAAGGAUAUGCAAACAAAAAGUAUAACUUGAAAAAAAGGUUUAGUAGAUGUCCCUUGUUUUCAAGUUAUACUUUUUGCUUGCAUAUCCCUUUUUAUCCUUAGAUUGAUUAAAGGUAGGGCCUCCCUUCCUCAUUUCUUAUACAGUGGAGCUCUCCUGAUGUUGGUUUCCCCUUGUGGGACUCUACACGUCACUUACUCCUAUUACCUACAUAUUUUGGAGGGUUACCCCCUCAUUGGAGCUCCCUAUUAGGUGGUUACAGUGGUCUAGCUCAUGAGCCCUUGACUUGUAUCUGGACUCCUGACCAGCACUCUGUUUACUUUAUUUCUCCAUUUUGUGUUUCAUACCAGAGAAUAGCCUCAAAAUCUUACUUCCAAGGUUGGUCCAGCAGACCUACCCGUGAGACCACUAAUCUAUCACCUUAAAGGUCAGGAGGGCUCUGGUUACCCAUAAGCCCAACUCCCAUACAUAAGUUAACAAACCAGCCUGCUGUGAGGAAGCACAAUUUAAUGUGUCACUAACCUAUGUCAGCCAUGUCUAUAUAUAACUUGUAAAUAUAAUAAAAAUAUAUAUGGAAAACACAAGAGACCGGAAGGUAGGGAGAAAAGAACCUACCUCCCGUCUCUCGAGUAAAUAAGGUCACCAAGACUGGGUAAUAGGGGAUAACCCAAAAAAUUAUAAAUUAGAAAAUAAUACCCAAAAAGCUACCUUACUAGAAGAUAGCCAAUAGGAGAAAGACCCAGUCCAAUCUCAACAGUAAGUGUAAAAAUAACAAACAAAAAAAAAACUUUAUUAGAAUCUAGUAAAAACCUGGGACUAGACAAAGGUAUCUAGAAUCUCAUAUGGAGAGAGGUGUAGCAUACUAAAAGGCUAAUAAUAAGCCUAAUAUGAUAAAGGUCCUAAAAAAGGGGGGACAAUAGACUAAACAAUGCACACCUCAGGGGAUAAGAGCAAAGAAGACAUGGAAAGGGAAAGGAGGGAGGGUUAAUUGAGUAGGUCCAGAGUAUGCAGUAACCCAAAAAGGGUCAUAAAACCCUAAAUUACGUAAAGGGAUGCAAAUAGCAAUACUAAACCCAUAAGCAAAAACCCUUUCCCAAACCAAAAAAAUCCCAACCAUCUCUCUGAGCUAAUCCUCUAUCUCCUAUAUAACACCUUCAUGGGUGUUCUGAUCUAGUAACUCGACCUAAAUAUCUGUAGCCCCAGGUGAAUGAUACAAAAAUAUCAUUAGUGCAGAGUGCUCAUAAGUGCUAACAAACAAAAUAAAUAAAUAAACCCGACGCGCGUUUCGGCGUAACCGCACGCCGUCCUCAGGGGUAUCGCAAAAGAGGCUAUCCCGGCGGUAUAAUAUAUACCCGUUGUGAAUUACAAUCACCUGUGUGUCAGUCAAUAGGUACGUUCGGCUAUUCAGGUCGCCUCACCAAUAGUAUUGUGGGGGCGUGGUAUAAUAACCAUCACCUGUGUGUCAGCCAAUAGGUGCAUUCAGCUAUUCCGGUCGCCACACCAAUAGUAUUGUGGGGGCGUGGUUUAAACGCCACAAUUCCUGCCCAUAAUGUGUGCGGCCGAAACUAUCUGAUAUAACCAGGUUCAAAGAAUUUUAACCCUUAGUGUUCCGAACUGGCUAUUCAUGCAAAAUUAUUCAUGCAUAAUCGUAAGUGACCAGAAUCAUCUAAUAUAAUAUAACCGGGUUAAGAAAAGUUAAGUUAACCCUUAGUGCUCCAAGCUGGCAAUUAAUACAAAUUCCUAGACUUAAAUCAAUGAUUAAAUAGUCAGCUUGACAAUAUACAUCAAAGGAACAACUAAACAGAAUACUAAGUUACCACUAUGAUCUAUCGAAAAUUCGGUACAUAAUGUUGCCAGUACACCUGUGUAUGAGUACUCAAUUUAACAAUGUGUACUCAUACAUAAUCUUGGGCAAAUUUAAUAGUGUGUAUAACAGAACUAUGGUACAGGCACACUAGGUAAAAAAGGUAAAUAUAUAUUUCAUAAACCAAUCAUGUAAUGGGUAUAAAAUCAAGGGAUAACCGAAAAAAAAAAAAAACAACUAAUAAAGAAUUAUAUACAUAUGUGCAAACUUAACAAGAUAUACCAUUAUGCAUUUUAUCAGUCAAUUAAAUAAACGAAGAAUAAGAGAAGCCUUCAUUCAACCCAAGUGGAGACAAAGUUUUAAGACAGUAAAGCCAAAAGGCCUCUCUUUGUCUUAGUCUUAAAUCCCAACUUCCUUUUCGCGGUGGCUGUGGUAUGUGUUCAAGACCCAUACAAUGGAUACCUGCUGAAGAAUGAUUAUGAACCCGACGCGUGUUUCGGCAUAACCACACGCCGUCCUGAGGGGUAUCGCAAAAGAGGCUAUCCCGGCGGUAUAAUAUAUACCCGUUGUGAAUUACAAUCACCUGUGUGUCAGCCAAUAGGUACGUUCGGCUAUUCAGGUCGCCUCACCAAUAGUAUUGUGGGGGCGUGGUUAUAUUAUAUUAGAUAAUUCUGGUCACUUACCAUUAUGCAUGAAUAAUUUUGCAUGAAUAGCCAGUUCGGAACACUAAGGGUUAAAAUUCUUUGAACUUGGUUAUAUCAGAUAAUUCCGGCCGCACACAUUAUGGGCAGGAAUUGUAGCGUUUAAACCACGCCCCCACAAUACUAUUGGUGUGGCGACCGGAAUAGCUGAAUGCACCUAUUGGCUGACACAGGUGAUGGUUAUUAUACCACGCCCCCACAAUACUAUUGGUGAGGCGACCUGAAUAGCCCAACGUACCUAUUGGCUGACACACAGGUGAUUGUAAUUCACAACGGGUAUAUAUUAUACCGCCAGGAUAGCCUCUUUUGCGAUACCCCUGAGGACGGCAUGCGGUUACGACGAAACGCGCGUCGGGUUUAUUUAUUUAUUUUGUUUGUUAGCACUUAUGAGCACUCUGCACUAAUGAUAUUUUUGUAUCAUUCACCUGGGGCUACAGAUAUCUAGGUCGAGUUACUAGAUCAGAACACCCAUGAAGGUGUUAUAUAGGAGAUAGAGGGUUAGCUCAGAGAGAUGGUUGUACUUUGGGAUUUUUUUGGUUUGGGUUUAGUAUUGCUAUUUGCAUCCCUUUACGUAAUUUGGGGUUUUCUGACCCCUUUUUGGGUUACUGCAUACUCUGGACCUACUCAAUUAACCCUCCCUCCUUUCCCUCCUGUAUGCCUGCACUGCAAAAAUAAAGAAUUCAAAAAAAAAAAAGUGAUUUGGAUCUGGAUGCAUACAUCUGCAAUUUUUCUAUAAACAUCAUUAAUAUUGAAUAGAGCUAACUGACAGCACUAUGAGCAGUGACAUAUUAUUUUCCUUCUUAAAUAUAAAAUUAAUUUAGAUGUGAUGAUGAUUUCGUCAACAACAGAUUCAUGAUAUAUCCAACUACACAGUGUAAUGAAAUCCUCAGAUUACGGAUCAUUUUUAUCUUGACAAGGUUGAUAGAUCACUGUCUCCUCUAGGGUUUUUGAUGAAAAGCAUUUUGUAUCAAAUAGAUGAUUUCACACUACUUAUUAUUGCCCAAAAUGAUGAAAGAAAAAUAUUCUUCCGCCCUUUUUACAGGUCACAAUAUACCCCAAGUGAUCCGCUUUACGAGGGACAUUCCCUAUGUUUUGUAUCUUCAUAAAUUGACCAAGAGUUAUUAAAACAUAUUAUUCCUGUAUGUCUCUCAUGGGUAUUAUUCCAUUAGAACUGCAAAGGAUACAUUUUGGGGCUACAUUUAUCCCUCUGAGUUGUCUUUUGUUUUACAUGGGAAGUUGAGCUGGAGUGGGAAUGCCAUCGGUAUAUGAGUGUCAUUUUACACACUCACUCUCACCCUAAUUAACCCUAACUGGGCAAGUAGCAAAGAUGUAACACUAGCCAGCCAGGAUGAGGCCAGGUGCAUGCUGGUAAAUAGAAUUUAAUAACGAGGCCACUUUAUUAGUUACGCAAGUUUGUACGCUUUUUCAUGCGGGGCCUUCUUUACCUUUUGUCUCUGUUAAUAUUUUAUGAAUCAACUACUUGUUGUUCAUUAUUCCCAUUCUAUGACUGUAAAUGGCUGUGGAAUAUCUUGUAACUAAUAAUUUGGUAUCAUUUUUCAUUAGGUGUAAUCGUAGGAGCCGUUGUGGGAUGUAUCCUCGGAGUUAUUGUGAUUGGUAUCAUGGGCUUUUUUAUCUGGCGGAGAAGAAGGUAAAAUUACCAUUACUGUCCGAUAUGGGAAACCUGCUACAUGCCAAGCAUUUACAGUGUUUAUCUUUCUUUAAAAAAAAAACUGUUUAAAAGAACAUAUUCAUAGAACAAGGAAUGAGUUUUCUUACAUAGCGGAACAAUAGGUGAUUUUUCAUAGUUAAAUAAUUUUCCAUAAACAGAACACUGGAUUCAGACAAUGGCACUUAGUCAUAAUUAAAUGAAUAAACGUUGUGACAAACUCCCCUUCCCACGUGUGUUUGCCACAAGCUUCUGGAGGACCUUGCUUGCCAGCCUCCUGCCCACAAACUAUAGGCCCUGCAGGGAAACCUGUAAAAGACUAGUGAACUUGACCAACCGUUAGCACUGAUUUCAUGGAACUGUUUUGUGCAUAGGACCAUGUGCACGGUCGGUCAAAAUUAUGGCUUCCAUGGAAAUCCUGAACCAAUCUGGGUGGUUUUGGGAUAUGUCGGUCCCCCAGAUCGGGGCUACCAGGGGAUAUGACUUUUGUGGGGGUUCCCUGUGUUUUAGGGGUACUUUUGGGAUGUUUUGAAAAAGUAUGUUUUUUUCUAUGCUUGGAGAUAAUUGGAUUAGACUUAGUACAGUUAUUGAACCAAUUAUCUCACAGAGGGGAGGGACUAUAUGGCAAAGGGGGAGGGACUAUAUGCUUGUAUAUGGGAGUUUCAUGUACUUAAACACCUUUGGCCCCAGUCAAGUCACGGCGACUGUGGGCAGAAGUGCUGCGGUUUGUCCUCUGUUCCAGCUAGGAAGCAGUCCUUGGCAGAGGUACCCAGCCGGGGUAUAGGGAGCUCUGCUACAUACGUCUCCACAUAUUACUCAACAAAUAUAUUUAGCAACCUAUUGAACAUGCUAACAUAAGAAAAAUUAUUAAAUAAAAAUUUAAUAAAAUAUCCAGGAGUAGUUUAUAGCUUUGGACUGAUAUUUAUGUAAUGGUUAUAGAUUGCAGAAAACUAUUCAAUAAAAAUGAAGCAGUAGUAUCCAAUAUUGUGCUUUCACUGAAAAAGAAACUUGAAACUUUAAAGUCCAAUAUAUUACAGUCGGAAAGCAAUGCAGUGUCGUCCUGAAAGGACGACAUUCAGGACGACACUGCAUUGCUUUCCGGCAUCUACCGAAAAACUGCCGACUUCUAUCUGGAACGCAGAAGGGGAGCUCGGUGAAACGGCUUGAAUAUCACCGAUCCAUCUAUCCAUCGGACGUUUUAUUUAUUUUUUCCUAGCUGCUUACACCAUCCUCCUGCUUCAAAUCCAGCAUAUAUUUUAUACAAUGUGAGUGUAUCUUUUACUUUUUUAUACAAAGCUUAUUCUACAAUAAAUAUAUUUUUUAUCAGCACUUGGAUUUUAUAACUUUAUUUCCUAUCAUUAGGAAUAAAGUAUUACUAUAACUAAAGGCUACUUAUUAUAGUCUGUUGGUUACGUUAUGUUUCCUCUUUUGGUACAAGAUACAAUAUUUCAAUUAUAAGGACCACAUACAUUGUUAUAUUGUACUAUACUAAAUAACUAAUUCAGUAUCCAGAUACCAGUUCAUCAAUAACUGGAGUGAACUGAAUUAGCUUACAUUUUUAUUUUUAAUUUUAAUUUUUUUUUUACAUAGUAUUAAUCGAAAGACUGUAAUAUAUUGGACUUUAAAGUUUCAAGUUUCUUUUUCAGUGAAAGCACAAUAUUGGAUACUACUGCUUCAUUUUUAUUGAAUAGUUUUCUGCAAUCUAUAACCAUUGCAUAAAUAUCAGUCCAAAGCUAUAAACUACUCCUGAAUAUUUUAUUAAAUUUUUAUUUAAUAAUUUUUCUUAUGUUUGCACUAUUAGGGAUUUUUUAGUGGAGUCUCUAUUUUUCCCAGUUGAGCAGUUUUAGCCCUGCCAUAAUUUAUUCUCUAGACAGAGGUUUCUUUUCUUUUCAAGUAAUCUCAACUAUUAACCCUAUUGAACAUGCUGCUGUUUGUCUUACUAUGUAUUGUCAAUGUAUUGAUAACAAACUAUCCCAAAAUAACAAGGGGGAAAAAUCCAAAACAGUUUUAAAAAGUAGCCAGCUUUAUGGCUCCAAAUUCUUCCUCCUUUCAUCCCGUAUAGAAGAAGCAAAUAGUAUAUUUUAUGGGAAUACAAACCACCUUCCUUAGCCAUGAUUGUAUUUUCAUUAUGUGUAAAUAAUGACUAUGCAUACAUAAGAAAAAUAAAGUGCAUCUUGGGUGUAAAAAAAGGUCAGAGUACAGAAUAUUUGAUAGAGUCCUAACCUCAACAUCUGAGGAAAGGGAUUUAGGAGUAGCUAUUUCUGAUGACUUAAAGGUAAGCAGACAAUGUAAUAGAGCAUCAGGAAAUGUUAGCAGAAUACUUGGUUGUAUAGGGAGAGGUAUUAGCAGUAGAAAGAGGGAAGUGCUCAUGCCAUUGAACAGAACACUGGUGAGACCUCACUUGGAGUAUUGUAUUGUAUUGGAGACUGUAUCUUUAGAAGGAUAUUGAUACUUUGGAGAGUAUAUCAGGAAGUACUACAUAACAGGGAGGGUAGUGGAUGCAUGGAAUAGCAUUCCAGCAGUGAAGUGGUAGAGGUUAACACAGUGAAGUAGUUUAAGCAUUUGUGGGAUAGGCAUAAGGCUAUCUUAGCUAUAAGACAAGGCCAGGGACUAAUGAAAGUAUCUAGAAAAUUGGGCAGACUAGAUGGGCCGAAUGGUUCUUAUCUGCCGUCACAUUCUAUGUUUCUGUGUUGCUAUUUACUCCAAAAUGUACACACAUAGGUACAUGUUUGUAUGCCUCUUGGUAUCACCAAGUUUCAUUUCACUGUGGAUAUGUGGAGAUUAUCCAGCAGCUUUUACUGUUAAUUUGUACAAUUUGACAUUUGCCAUUGCAUGCGUUAAAUGUCAGCUGCAGUUUGUAAAUGUUGUUACACAUUGCUUGACUGUUUGUGGCCAGCAUGUGGCAGUGUUGUAUCAUUUUAACACAAUGUAACAUGUAUUAGUUCAUCUGAUUAAUGUUUUUGAACAAUUUACUGAGAGUUGCACAUUCUGCUUCUUGCCAGAGAGAUACAAUUCAUUACUUAUAUAAUGCUGUCAUAUUUUGCCGCAUUGUGCACUUUAUGGAAGGAUAAACAAACUGAAUGUGAAGAUUAUGCUAGAAUUAUGUUAUUAUAUUAAUACCUGGCCAAGUGAAAAGAAUUGUGCGCAUUGCAAUUGUUUUUUAUUUUUAUUUUAAAAAGAAAUGUAUUAAAUAACAAAAUACACAUAAGUAUAUCUGGAAAAAUCUAUGUUUUCCCCAAAGGCUACGGGGUUUAUUUAAUAAAACCGCGAAGAAUCUUGAAUUGUGAAGAAACUACAGUGAAAUAGAACUAUUUAGACCGAAGUAGCCAAAUUUGUAAAAUUCUUCAAUACAGAGAUGUAUUCCGUUUCUUAUCGUUUAAAAUGUGCAUUUGCCUUUUCCAUUUUUUCAAGUCACCACAUGCCCUGGUUUAAUAAAUAACCCCCUAAAUAUUUGUAAGAAUUCUUAGAUAAGUGGCCAGAUUAAAUGCUUUUUUUUUCAAGGUGAUAGGCCAGGAAUAUUAUCAGGGUGAAAGGGCAGUUUAUCAGAGUGUAAGGAUGAUGGGAGGAUUGUCAGAGCUUUAAGGUGAAUUGACAUAAUUUGGGGGUUUUGGAGUAAACUGACAGAUUCCCAGGGCUGCAUAGUCUGGGUUCACACAAUAUUCUUUCUAAAUUUGCAAAUACUUGAGCCUUACAACUCUUUUAUUACUAUAUUAUUGUUGUAAGUCCCACUUUUAAUUCAGUAAUGAGUUUGAUUUUUUUUAAACUAACUUGCAUAUGAAAUUAGGACAAGGCAACAAUCUCAUGCAUAAAUGUCUAUACAGUUCCUUGGCUACAUCCAGUCAUCUUUGCUGUGUAAAUAAUAAUAGUUGGAAUCUGAAGUAGCAGUUGUAGCAAAAUGAAAAUGAUAGGUAGAGAGACACAGACAGAUUCAUUCACAAACAGAUCACAUCAUAUGCAGUCACCUUAAAUCACAGAAAGACAGUUGUUCCACAGAAACACGCAAUGUCAAGCUUUGGUCUUCAUUAUCUACCUUCUUGCCUCAAUCUUAAUUAAGAAGUGUAACUGAUCUCACACACAUACCCAAACCUAUCUAAAGUUACAGGUCUCCUGUAAAUUGAUUUUUGAGUCAGCACACGAUGUGAGCAUAUGAGAAGCUAUGCUGUAGAUUUUGUAUAUUCGUAGAUAGUCUUCAGGUCGUGUUUACAAUGUUCUUUGAAUAUACAGCAAGUCAAUUAAUUUAGCAUAUAUACAAAAUAAGUGUUUUCCUUAUUUGUCAGUAAAGUGAUGGCUCGUUAUUUUUCUAAAAUCUUAUACUUCUUUGAUUCCCUGCAGGCAAGGAGACAAAAAGGAGACAUUAGAGGGAGAAAAAAUGUUGUAAGUUCUGAUUAUUUCACAUUUUGUAUUUGUAGACUUUGAAUGCAUUAUGUGACAUAAGAUAUGUUAUUACAUGUAAUGAAGAUGGCUGUUCACUUAAAGGGCCAUUGUAAUGAUGUCUAAUUGACUUGCAAUUUUUAGACCUAAAUAUAAGAUUUUUAAAAAGUUCCAUCUGGGCUUAAUGGCUGAUAUUCUUUUUCUUAAUCCACUAUGUCACCUAAACUGUAAGUUAGUUUCACACUCAGCCCAUUUUUUUGUAGACAUUUUAG